GCUGACCCAGAACUUCAGCAAUUACUCAGAAGUGGAAAGAAUACAAAUGAAGGCAAACAUGUGUACGAGUUCUUCCUGGCAUUGGCAGCUUGUAAUACCAUUGUGCCUCUUGUUGUAGACACGUCUGAUCCUAAUGUGGGAUUAUUAGAUUACCAAGGGGAGUCCCCAGAUGAACAAGCAUUGGUUUAUGCUGCCGCCGCCUAUGGUUUUAUGCUUAUUGAACGAACCUCUGGUCAUAUAAUUAUUGAUAUCCAAGGGGACAGGAAAAGGUAAUUUGACAAUGUCUUUUAAUUAAUUUAUAUAUAGAUACUUUUGACUUUGAGUAAUCAUGCUUGUGUAAUCCCUGUGAUUACAAUCUAGUAAAUUAAUACUGAACUUCCUUUAGAGAGUAAAGACCUUUUAUUUCUAGUUCAUAACUUACCAUUCCCGGGCAGUGCAGGUUCAAUGUCUUGGGUUUGCAUGAGUUCGAUAGUGAUCGGAAGAGAAUGUCGGUUAUAUUGGGGUGCCCUGAUAAGACUGUCAAAGUCUUUGUAAAAGGUGCUGACACAACCAUGUUCAGUGUAAUAGACAAACGAUUGAACUUGGAUAUAAUAAGAGCAACAGAAGUCCAUAUUCAUGCUUACUCCUCUUUGGGUUUGAGAACACUUGUGGUGGGCAUGCGAGAACUGAGUGCUACAGAAUUCGAGCAGUGGCACUUGUCUUUUGAGGAAGCAAGCACUGCUUUAAUUGGUAGGGCUGCUCUACUUCGCAAUGUUGCGGGCAACAUAGAAAACAAUCUCAUUAUACUAGGUGCCUCUGGCAUUGAAGAUAAACUGCAACUGGGGGUGCCUGAAGCAAUAGACUCUCUAAGAACAGCAGGGGUUCAGGUAUGGAUUUUGACAGGGGACAAGCAAGAAACUGCCAUAUCAAUCGGCUACUCCUCAAAGCUUCUAACAAGAAGAAUGACACAGAUUAUAAUUAACAGUAGCUCUAAGGAUUCAUGUCGAAGGGGUUUAGAGGAUGCCGUACUAAUGUCUAGGAAGCUCCUGACGGUGUCUGCAGAUACACACACCGACGGAGGAAACUCUGGACAUGGUGGAACUCAAGUAGCUUUAAUUAUUGACGGCACCAGCCUUGUGUACAUUCUUGACAGUGAACUUGAGGAAAAGGUAAUUGCUUUUAGACCUACCUAUUUAGUUUUCUACAUAUCUAGACAAUGCCAUAUGUGUUUUAUUUAUUUAUUCUGAGAUGAUGUCUUAUAUGCUGAUCUAACAUAUUUUUACUGUAGCUCUUUGAACUAGCAAGUAACUGUGCUGUGGUGCUUUGUUGCCGAGUGGCUCCAUUGCAAAAGGCUGGAAUUGUAGCCCUUGUGAAGAACAGGACGACUGAUAUGACACUUGCCAUUGGGGAUGGUAAACGCUAUUCUAUUUAUUUCACUUCUGUAGAUAUCUUAUGUUUCCAAUACCAGAAUUAGUAUAUGCCCACUCUCAUUUACAUUUGGUGUUGACAGUAGAAGGUUCUUUUGUUAUAUUGAUAGGUGCUAAUGACGUUUCAAUGAUCCAAAUGGCUGAUGUGGGAGUUGGCAUCAGUGGCCAAGAAGGUCGGCAAGCUGUCAUGGCAUCCGAUUUUGCAAUGGGGCAGUUCAGAUUCUUAGUUCCCCUUUUAUUGGUACACGGUCAUUGGAAUUACCAGCGGAUGGGCUAUAUGAUAUUAUACAAUUUCUAUAGGAAUGCAGUGUUUGUUCUGAUUUUGUUUUGGUGAGUAAUUCUUCGUCAGAUAAAUUUUCAGUUACACUGUGUGGUUGUUCUGCAGAUUACAAUUGUUUUCCUUGAGCCUGAACUUUGUCUUGGACAUUGUUUUUCUUUUAAAAAUUAAAUAAACAAAAUACUAGGGAGAGGAUUGCACAUGGUUGUCUAUGUCAGAACUCACUGUCAUUGAGAGGAAGAAUCUCUGGCUUCCAUAAAAAAAAAAAAAUUCAUCAUCUAAUUUCUAGCUAGAAAUGUUGUGGAAAUGACAUUUGAACGUGAUGCUAAAAGUAUGAAGCUAGUCAGAUUUGGAUACAUUUGCGCCAAAAUAGGUCUCUGUGUCCGAAGUGUAAUCUGUUUGAAAUUAUAAUUGACGUAUAGAUCAUGGUGUGACUAUUAUUAUUAUUAUUAUUAUUAUUAUUUCUUUUGAAGGGGAGGACUGAAUGGAGCUAACCAGUAAAGGAAAAUAAAAGAAAGAAGAAUCUGUAUGAAGUCUUUCUUAUUAUUUUAGCUGACUAUAUUUCAUGUGGUCUGUGUAGGUACGUGCUCUUCACUUCUUUUAGUUUGACAACUGCGAUCACUGAAUGGAGCAGCAUGUUGUAUUCUAUAAUUUACACUGCAGCACCUACAAUUGUUGUUGGGAUUCUUGACAAGGACCUAAGUAGAAGGACACUUCUAGAUUACCCGCAGCUAUACGGAGCUGGUCAGAGACAAGAAUGCUACAACUCAAAAUUAUUUUGGUUAACGAUCGGUGACACAUUGUGGCAAAGUCUGGCUGUCUUCUUUAUCCCUCUCUUUGCGUAUUGGGGCAGCAGCAUUGAUACAUCAAGUAUAGGAGAUCUUUGGACACUUGCAGUGGUAAUUUUGGUUAAUUUUCAUUUGGCUAUGGAUGUUAUCCGGUGGAAUUGGAUUACACAUGCAUCAAUUUGGGGAUCUAUAAUUGCGACUUGGAUUUGUGUCAUUGUCAUUGAUGCUAUACCUUCACUGGUUGGCUACUGGUAUGCUCUCUAAUCGUAGUAUUGCAUGUAUAUCUUUAUUUUUGCACAAACAUAAUUGCUUCUAACUUGUUUAAACUAUGACACCCUAUAAGAAGCAGCGGCAAGCAUUUAUGUUGCAUUUUAUGUCAUGCAAUGAUCAAAAGAUUCAAUAUCAUGAUAUAUAGGUCCUCUCAAACUCGUACACUCAUUCAAUUAGUGCAAGUGCAAUAGCUCACAAUACAGAGUCAAAUAAAGAACACAAAACUGGAUGUUAAGUUAGUUCAUGAUUGCUUACUAAUUUCAACAAAUAAUUAAAUGCAAGUGUUUCUUUGCAUUGGAGGCACAGUACAUCUAUCCCAAAUAUUAAUGUAGGCAGAAUUCAUGCUUCUGCAAUCCAUUCCCAAAAUAAACAUCGUUUCCAGAAAAAAAUUAUCUGAAAUACAUCGGGGUUGUUGAAUCUCUUUCAAAACUUUCCUAGUAACGAACAGUCUCAAGUCGCUUUACAUAAUGAAAAACUCUGUUAGAAGUAUUACAUCUUGGUUUCUAUCCAUGAACCCUUUUCUUUGGUUACAUGAAGUGCUAAACUCAUUAUCUGCAGCUCAUGGUAGGACAUGAUAUUCGUUAUCUUUUUCCCCUCUCCUAGAAAUAGCGAAAAAGCCAUCUAAGAAAUCGCCAUCUAAGAAAUCGCCAUCACCAACUUUAUUAAUGUAAUUUUUUUAACUGGAACUGAAAAUAGUCAUUGUCACAAAUGCCAACAAGUUUAUUGUGCUUUGAGAAGCUCCCCACAUGCAUUUCUGAAAUUUUCUAUUAUAGAUGGCACUUGCAUUUGUAUAUGCUAAUCUUUGCAACUCCAAUAUAAUUUGACAGGGCCAUUUUUCAAGUCGCAAAGACUGCAUCGUUUUGGUUAUGUUUGUUGGCAAUCGUCACAGCUGCAAUCGCUCCACGCUUUGUUGUAAAGUUUCUGUAUCAGUACUAUAGACCUUGUGAUGUUCAAAUUGCAAGAGAAUUUGAGAAGUUCGGCAAUCCAAGCGCGUCAAACCCUGCACAAAUAGAAAUGGAUGCGAUCUUGGACCUGCGUAGGAGAUGAGAAGGUGAUGUUAUUGCUUUCGACAUCUCCCUCUUUUUGUAUCUUUUGUAAAAAUGUUAUUCUUUAGGCUGCUUCAGAGUAUCUCUCUCCUAGUUGCCUCAUUGUUUAUUGUUUGCUAUCCGAAGGAUAGGGUUUGUAACUUUGUAGUGCCAGGCUUAUAUUUUGUGUUCCUCUUUUGUUUUGCUGUACCUUAAGAUUCAUUCGGUGUAAUUAGACUUGUUUAAAAGAGAGAAGAAUUAGACAGUCGAUACAAUACAUGAAUUUUACCACUGAAGUUUUGAUGUGUUCAGAUUGAAUCCUUCAUACUAACUUGAAAUCGACCAAAAAGUACAGGGGUUUCUAGUGUUAGAGAACAGAUGUAAGAUAGAGUUCUACAUCGAAGAUAUAAAAAAAAUUUAUACAAAUUAUACAGCAUUAAAUUAAGUUAAGUAACAUGAAACAAUAUGAAACAAUAGUAAAUAACAUUAACCAACAUAUAAAUUAUACAAUGGCGGAUGGUGAAGAUGAUGUUGAUUGUGGAUAUUAAAUUUAAGUUGUUGUAGUUUUUAAAUUCAAGUUAAUGUUGUUUUUAAAUUUAAUUUGUAGUUUUUAAAUUUAAUUUAUCGUUUUUAAAUUUAAGUUGUUUUUAAAUAUAAGUUGUAGUUUUUAAAUUUUUAAGUUGUUGUAGUUUUUAAAUUUAAAUAAUAAAUUACGUUUGGCCUUUGGCUCUCGGUUGGAGACGGAGACAAAUAUAACCUUGUACUGUUUAUUAAAAUAUUAAUAUCUUUGAGGAUCAGAUGGCUAAAACGAGCCAUCUGACCAGUCCUCAAUUGGAGAUGGCCUUAGGGUACCUUUGCAAGCUCGUCAAUUGAAGCCAUACACAUGUUUUGAAAUGUGUGUUCACUUCAAUGGUGCUCAUCAUUCUCGCGUGUGUGAGAGGGGUAGAUCCGUCCAAGCCGCCUCCUUCAAUACACGUGUAAUUAUUUAAAACCACGUUGAUUUUUUUUCUUCUAAUUAAUUCUAAUUAGUUAUUUACUUUUAAUAAAUUUGUUUUUUAUUAUACAAGUUAGUAUUUUAAACUAGUCUAAUUUUUGGAGAAAUUUACGGUUUUUUGGUGGAAGUCUACUACCGUAUGAAAUUUCUAGUUUCUCAAUCUGUCAUGUUGAGAGCUCAAGUACACUAUCAUAUGAAACAUUGUGUUUUGGUCGCUCAAGUGUGAUGUUUCCUGUUUUGGUUUCCUUGGUGUACAAGCUUUUGGAGUACUUAUCCUAGUAGGCUUUUGUUAGGGGGAUUAGGGUUUAAAUCGAGAAUUUGUCACCAUCUGUAGGGUUUUUGGGGGCUCUCCUUCCUUGAAAGCUUAAAGAUAUGAAAAUUUAUGAGUUUGCAAGCUUGUGAGAUUGGUUGUGACCGUUUCAGUUAAAGACUCGUUACAAUCAAUCGAACGGCGUGGGCAUCGAAACAUAUGAGUGUCAAUAUGUUCUUAUGCUUUAAUGUCCAGUUUUGAAUGCUACGUUGAUACUACGAGACAUGCUCCAACUGCCUCAGUAUCGUAAAACAUGGUCCAACUGCACGCUUCAAUUGAACAACACUCGGAGCUUAAUUUUCAGUCAUGCAGAUAUUCAUGAUACAUGUACCGAAAAUUGGUAGAUCACAUCUCUUACACAUACGAAUAGGAUUCUACGUACGAGUUCCACACAAAUGAGAGAUGCGAAGAGCAAUACGUAAUUAAAUGUGCUAAAAAAUUAUUGUUAUUUAUGAAACUGAACAUCCAGUAUAUCAGACACUAAGGUACCGUUUGGUACGUGAGACAGGACGGAAUGGAGUGGGACGAGGCACAUUUGAUGCGCCUAAAAUGGGUGGAAUGCGUUGUUCCAUGGGACGAAUUUUGGAUGAAUUUUCGUUCCGCUUCACCCCCUGGAAUGACUAUUUCCAUAUUCGUGGAACACAAAAUUAUAACCUCUCUGUUUCCUUUUUCUUCCCCCUUGUUUCCAUCUGAGGGCAUCUUUGCUCCAUCUCCGUUCGGUCCCAUCCCGUCCCAUUCCGUUCCGUCCCAUCUGCAUACCAAACAAUACCUAAAGCACUAAACUUCAUUAUAAAUUAAAUAAAGGAGACGGACGACUAACAAACAAGUAAAACUCUUGUUUCAAAUCUCAGAACAUCAAGUGUCCGACAGUCACAUUUUGCAGCAGACAAAAUCUGUGUAAAGGACGCGCUACUCCUAAACUAACUAGGGUUUGAUGGGCUGAGCUCGAGGCCUCCAGAGUCCUAGCCUAUACUUGUGAGUGUGUUUCAAGAUGAGCUUCCUCUGCAAAAGAAUCCAGCUAUCAAAUUUUAAAAUACAAGUCCAGGUGCAGUAGUGAAAUUAUUUUCACCAUGAAAUGAACACCAAGUUUGCAACUUUCAAAUCCUUGAAAUUUAUUCCUUUUUUAAAGAAAGGGAGACACGGUUUUCGUUCCACACUCAUUAAUCAGCAAGACAGAAACUUUACUGCUGUUAAGUAGGUACUACAGCUAUACAUUCCUAAAUUACGAGAAUUGAUAAAAUAAAAAAAACAGAUACUUUACUGUGUUAAUGCCCAGCGGGUGCUGAAUAAUACAGUUAUUAAUACCGUACAAUGAGUGUUAGACUAAGAGAUUGCUUGCAUGAGUGUUAGAAUAAGAGAUUGCUUACAUGCUUGCAAGGGACGCCAAGUUUCUUCAGCCUGAGAGUACGAAUGACAAGCAACUUUUGGAAGUCUCUGAUCUCAGACUCAAGCUUGGUUACAUGGGAUUCCACUCCAUUGCCAAUGCCAUUCAAAAACUCUGGUAUCCCAACUUUCACUGCAAGAAAAAUAAAAAAUAAAAAAGCCACGCAAACCCAAUCUUGAUGUUUCCCACUAAAUUAAAUCCACUAUUCAACAGAGCUUCAAUUUCACAGAAGUGCUUGAUAUUCUGACACGAGAAUGUAGAGCACCUAUUUUAGCCCUAACACAGCUAGUUAUAGACUAAGCUAUACGCAAAAAAUAUUCACUUUUCAUUCCAUUCAACAUUCUCAAUCUUUUAGCACCAGAUGAGAGCAAAGCAAAUAGAUAAUGCACUUGCAAAGCGAAAAUAAGGAACACAGCACAAGUUCAAUUUCCAGGAGUAGAGAAAAUUUCCUCACAAAAAUAGAUAGUUACAAAGAAGAAACAUUGAAUAACAAAACUCAACAUUUGACUUGACACUGUUUACAUCCCCCAACUUUCCCGGAAACCAGACAACUGUGGCAACACAAGCAUAACAAACCUCAUUAACCAUUCCUUUUACUGUUUGUGGAGAAGUGACCAAUAAAGUUUUUCACUUCUAUAUAUUUUUUAGAAAAGAAAUGAUUUAUUUCAAAAGAAAAGCUGUACAUCAAAGUGAACACGUAAUGCACAAGUAAUCUAUAAGUAAACUAAAACAUCAAGACACUGCAGCCUAGCAUCCAAGCUAGUAUAAUGCUUGAUAGAGGUAUAUUCCUAAAAAUAAGAGAUACAAAAGCCCAUAACGUUGCUCAAUACUUGACCUUUUUCCCACACUUCCGCCAUUUCCAAUCCCCUACAAUCUUCAAAAUUCAAAUAGCUGUAUGGGUUUAGAGUUUAGGGUUUAUGGUAGUAUAAUGGUCGAUAGAUGUGUAUCUUAUAAAUAGGAAAUACAGAAGUCCAUAGAGUUCCCAAAACUAGACUAUUUCCCACACCUCCGCCAUUUCCAAUCCCCCAGCAUCUUCAAAUAUCUGUUGAUUCCUUUAUGACCACCAAAUACCCCAAAUAAUACGCAGCACCAGACGUACCCAUUUUUACCACCAUCCAGUAUUCUAAACUUCUCACUCAACGGCUCCUUCGAAACCACCCAACAAGCACUAAUCAAAUAAAAAAAGCAUAUUUAUUUCUAUCAAAACCUAAAUUAAAAGCAUUACAAAAACUAACCCUAGAUUUAUUUUCCCAUUUCUUUCCACUUUUUCCGGCAUCAAACACCAACAUAGCUACUUAACUAGAAAUUUUCUUUAACAUUUAAACAAGUGCAAAUCAACAAAUGCACAUAACCCAGAAAUUUCUUUCCUAUCCAUUUUCUGGAAGCCAAGAAAAAAAAAAAAGGAAAACGCGACCAAAAUUUGGGGUUACCUAGGUAUGGGUUUGAUUUGGUGGAGAAUCUGGCCAACCCCGGUGUCGAAAACAUUGAUCUGGUGUUGAAUAGCAUUUGCCUUAAUGCCAUCUUCUGUCUGUGUCGAAUAGUAAUGUUCAAAUUGAUGAGUGUAUAUGGAUUUGAGUUUAUCCUUAUCCAACGUAAAUCAAAGUCUAUCAAACCUAAAACAUUUGCAAACAGAGCAAUUCAAAAACUUUCUCGGGAAAGGACCCAGAUUUUCCCGAGAAAAUUAGACAAGAAAAUGGAGUUCAAAAUUUUACCUGUACCUUGCUGGCGGAGGGCGGGAGGGGAAGCCAACGAAGAGUAAGACUGCGAAAAGAGGUGGGAGGGAGACGGCUUUCAGUUGCUGCACGAGGGGGAAAGGAAAGGGGUAUGUUUAGCAAUUUUAUUUUAUUUUUUCUUUAACAUAAUAAAAUCGGGUGGGUAUGUUUAGCAAAUAAAUUGGUUCAAAUAGAAUUUUGGGUAAAAGACUGUUUACUACCCUCAUGUUUCAUGGUUUUCAACAUUUAGUACAUCAAGAUUUUUUCGUCUCAGAGUCAUACCUAAAUUGUAAAUUUUGGGACAGUCUCAUACAUCCGUUAGUCAAACUGUUAAAUAUACCGUUAAUUGUGACGUGGCGCUCAUGUGAACAAUGACUGGACGUCACGUGUCAGCCACGUUUUUUUUUUUCCUUCCUUCUUCUGCAGACUGCAACCUUUUUUUUUUUAUCUUCCUCCUUCUCCUUCUUCCUCCCCCUUCUCCUUCUUCGUUCUUCCUUCUUCUUCCUUCUCCCUUCUCCCUUCUCCUUCUCCUUCUUCUUCCUCCGAAUCUGGGGAGGUUUUUUUUUUUUUCCUUCUUCUUCCCUUCUUCCUUCUCCCUUCUCCCUUCUCCUUCUCCUUCUCCUUCUUCUUCCUCCGAAUCUGGGGAGGUUUUUUUUUUUUUUUUCCUUCUUCCUUCUUCUUCCUCCGAAUCUGCCCAGAUUCGAUUUUUUUUUCUUUUUUUUCUUCUUCUUCCUCCUUCUUCCUCCUUCUUCCUUCCCCUUCUCCUUCUUCUUCUUCUUCUUCCUCCAAAUCUGGGGAAGUUUUUUUUUUUCUCCUUCCUCCUUCUUCCUUCUUCUUCUUCCUCCUCCGAAUCUGCCCAGAUUCAACUUUUUUUUCUUUUCUUCUUUCUUCUUCCUCCGAAUAUGCCCAGAUUCGGCUUUUUUUUUCCUUCUUUUUUCUUCUUUCUUCUUCUUCUUCCUUCGACUGCAACUUUUUUUUUCUUCUUUCUCCUUCUUCCUCCUUCCUUCUUUUUCUCCUUCUUCCUUCCUCCUUCUUCCUUCCCCUUCUUCUCCUUCCUCCUUCUUCCUUCUUCUUCAUCUUCCUCAAAAAAAACCUUCAUCUUCCCCAGAUUCGGAGGAAGAAGAAGGAAGAAGGAGAAGAAGGGGAAGGAAGAAGGAGAAGAAGGGGAAGGAAGAAGGAAGAAGGAAGAAGGAGGAAGGGGGAAGGGGGAAGGAAGAAGGAGAAGAAGAAGGAAGAAAAAAAAAUAAAAGGAAGGAAGAAGGAAGAAGAAGAAGAAGAGGAAGGAGGAAGGAGGAAGGAAGGAGGAAGGAGGAAGGAAGGAGGAAGGAGGAAGGAAGGAGGAAGGAGGAAGGAGGAAUGAAGAAGGAAGGAGGAGGAAGAAGGAAAAAAAAAAGAAACUCCCCCAGAUUCGGAGGAAGAAGAAGGAGAAGGAGAAGGAGAAGGGAGAAGGAAGAAGAAGGAAGAAGGAAAAGGAAGGAGGAAGGAAGAAGGAGAAGGAAGAAGAAGAAAAAAAAAAGUUGCAGUCGAAGGAAGAAGAAGAAAAAGAAGAAGAAAGAAGAAGGAAAAAAAAAAACGUGGCUGACACGUGGAGCCCAUUCAUUGUCCACAUGGACGCCAUGUCACAAUUAACAGCACAUUUAACAGUUUGACUAACGGAUGUAUGAGACUGUUCCAAAAUUCACACUUUAGGUAUAACUCUGAGACGAAAAAAACUUAAUAUACUAAAUGUUGAAAACCACGAAACAUGAGGGUAGUAAACAAUCUUUUACCCUAGAAUUUUUAUUUGAAUUUUUGAACUUGUUUCUUUUGGGGUGGGUCUUAUACCGACCGAACCGUUCAAACCGACCAAUUCGAACUGUUUUGGUCGGUUUGGUUUGAUAUUGACUAAGAAAAAAAAUCAAUUAAUUUAAAAUCAUUCGAUUUUAUAUCAGUUUGGUUUGAUUUUGAUACUUUUGAAACUAAUUAAAACCAAACUGAAACGAACUAUUAUUUUUUAAUUAUCAUUAUUUUUAUUUUACACAUGUGAACAUAUUAUAGAUUAUUUGAAUAUCUAACCAUACACAUAUUAACAUAUUAUAGAAUGUGCGAGAUGUAUAGAUGUUUAGAAAAUUAAAACCCUUGAAAUGUUAGAUAUUAUCCAUUGAUGUGAGAGAAAUAGGUUCAAACACACCGAAUCAACCGAUAAUAAUAGUUUGGUUUGGGUUCAAUGGUGGUAUUGAUCGAAACUGAAUCAAACCGAAUCAAACGGACUAUGGUGGUUUGGACAUACCCCCUCUGCAUAUCCUCAUCCUCAACAAUCUCUCCUACAAUUUCAGUUAGCAUAUAGUUACAGUGGUGAGCAUCAAUUCCCUGCUACGAAAUCGUUCUUGAGAAUGUAGAAUCAGAGUUUCAUACCAAAGCACAAGCAAACAAGCACCAGAUAUCUUCACUUGCCGGUGAAUUCGGCCGCCUCAAGGAUAUCCUGAAGAAGCAGGCAAAGGAUGUGGAUUUCAAGCUGCACUUGAUCGAUGCUAUGUAUGCGAUAUCACAGUUACUAUGAAACGUGACAGCGAGAGAGUAUACACAACUCCCUAUGGCAAGAGAUUGUAAACUGGAUUCAUAAAUACUUAUCACAACCUUGUGAUUGUAUGAACUGAGAAGCAGCAACAAUCUAAGCCACAAAAAUUAAAAACAAAAAAAAGGCAGGCACUGAGCAAAACGAAGCAGCACAAUACGCAAGCAAAACAAACUCCCAAAACAGCCACCCGUUUGGUGAAAAGAAGGCUCUAGCACUCCAAAUUACCACCGACACUUCAAGAAUCAUUUACCAGCAAGCACACACCACAGCGUAACAACAUACAGACAAAUCCUAGACCAAAAUUUAAUGCACAAGAAAUAAUCUUCAGAACCAAUAUCACAUAAAAGCAUCACAGCUCUAACAACAUACAAUGCAAUGGAAACUCUCAUACAAAAGCAUCAACUGCUACAAGACAAGGAACAGCCUACUUAGUCAAGGCAAACUUUGGUAUUUCCUGAUGCAUGUUCAGCACAUAUAGAAGAUAUGGUCUCCGUUGCAUUAAGCCCAGCAAUUUUCUCAAGAAAUUUAGGCAUAGUGUCAAAGCUUUCGGCAAAUUUUGCUACAGUAUACUGGUCCAAUCUGCAACAUCAUUGAUUCUUUAGUUCGUUAUUUCACUCAUGGCCAACCCACCUCAAAAGGAAUAUUGCAUAUUUUUUUAUUUAUUUAUAUUUUAUUUUUUAAACUAAACAGGCAUAUUGCAUAUGAAAUCACUGAAAGUGAGCAAAAUACGACGUCUGUGCACAUUACCUGAAUGUGAAACACAGCCAUCCAAUGCACACUGCCUGAAAAUGACAAUGUUCCGUUUCUGUAAAAUAUAACUCCUUUACUCUCCUAGCUCACUCAAUUCAGUAGCUGCAGCUCCAAGAACAGUAUACAUACACUAGCAGUUGUUGCCUGAAAUGAAAGCGAUCAUGAUAGCGAAGAUAUAAAUUCAAUGGUUCAGACACCUAAGUUUUUAAAAAGUUAUACAUACACUAGCAUUUAUUGCAGAGGUGAAACAAAACAAGCCUAGCAAUAUAAAAUUCUGAAUGUUCCUUGUAAAUUACCUUGUCUGUGUUCACUCUGCCAUCCACUGCUCCUUCAAUAUCAUCCAAUAUACUGUUACUAUACCCUCGAGAAGCACAGUGAAUACAGAGUUACCACCUUCGUCAUUCUUCAUAACAGUGGUACAUGAUAAAUCAAUGAACAUGUUACAAAGAAAUAAGAAAAAACAAUGAGGCAAGAAUCAAAAAAUACCAUGUUCAUCAGUGUUUUCAAAGUCGGCUAGUUGCACUUUGGGGCAAGGCCGAAUAUUCCCCUGGCAUAUGAUUGUUUAGCGAGGAAUGCUUAUUCCAAGAUUUGGCGGCGCAAGACUCAAACCAUUUUGCAGUGGUGCCAAGAAUGGGAGAAACAUCGAAAGCCCCAGAAGAAAGAUGACCAGUAAACCUACUUUUGCUUUCAAAAGUCUUAGCGGCAAUGGCACCUUUUGGUCAUUGGUGAUUGCUUACUUUUAACAUAAGGAUUUGUGUCAUCUGUUAGAUAAUGUUUUUUCUUUUAAACAAAAACUACCGCCAUUGUGUGUAUUCGCUUAAGGCCUCACCAUCUUCUUCUCCUCCCACCCAACAGAGAAGCCUAAUCCCCCAUCAACCUCUUCGAUAUCCUAUUUCUCCUUCCAGCAGACAUGAAUCAGCCUCCCACCUACAUACCUCAAUCCUUCUCUCCUUUCUCUGUUCCAGCCCAAAGAAGUUGAGCAGCUGGUUUUUUGUUUCGCUGUCCCAGCUCAUAAAACCAGCUCUGUUAUCUCUUCUCGAUACAUUUCAAUCUUUCCCCUAUAUUUUUGUAUGAUUUUUGUUUAUUGUUCGAAUAAUUCAAACAGCUUUAUUCUGAUAGAGUAUGAGCCUUUCUCGAAUUGCUGUUUGUGCAGUCAUAUACAAAAUUUUAUUUAGGACCAGGACAGAUGUUUUAUGCAGUUAUCUAAUAUUCUUAUUCGCUAGACUGAAAUUUUGGGAAUUUAAUUUCAGUAAACUAGAUCACCUAAACAGAUCCAGGAUAUCAAGGAAAGAAACCCUUUAUGCCGAACGAGUAAACAUCCUCUUUGGAGCUACAGGCAAUAUUUUUAAAGACAUAAAAUACAGUAAUAUGAAGUAAACCAGCAAUUCAUAUUUCUGUCUUUUUCUUUCCUUCUUUUACUUACUCUGUCACCUUGGUUUGGUUUAGACCACUACAUCUGCAUAAUGACAUACGUGAAUUGAAUUGCUGAGCUUAAAAUCCGGACCUCCGCGCACAUUAUGAUACAUCUUAGUUUCUAUCCCAUGCUCUUUGAAAACUAUUUAUUUUGUCAAUGCAUCUCCUUCUGAGUUCUGACCCAAGUUAUAAGCACGCACACAGAAGCACGAAAUAAAUGAGGCCUCUCAAUCAUAAAAACUCCUUUAAAAUGAAAGGAACAAAAUCAAAUAUUGAUCUAACAUUUCUUUAUCAGCAUAUUAAGAAUGUAAAGAUAUAGGAAGACAUAUAUAAACAAAAGUAAACAAUCAACCUUUUAUAGUAAAAAUUUGGAGUACUUUGCUUACAAAGUAUAUUAUUUAAAAUAUAAUAUCUCAGACCUUGAAGAAUUGUAAAACAUCAUUGCUGUUACAGGUUAAGAAAUAGACCAACAAAUAUGAAAGAGAAUCAAGGGUUCCCUCAGAAUUGUUCUUUUAUAAAACAUGCAAGAGUUUGCAAUUCUUAACUUUUGGAUGCAUACAUUGUAUAGUAAACCAUCCUUUUUCUCUGUCUGAGAAUCAAAGCUCUCUUAUUCCUCUGUCGUACAACCAUUAAAUGUAUCUAAGAAACCAAAUUAUCAAAAUUUGAGGUCAAAAAUCACUUACACGAAAAGUAGGCUGUAAUACACAAGUUUACCUCUCAGGAGUAGUUAGUAGUUGUCCUGAGUUCUAAAUAAACUGCUCUCAAUAAUGCUAACCGGUUACCCUGCCAAAAGUAACACAUAUUUCAUAAUUUGUUUCCAAAAGAAGUUAAAAAUGAAAAUUAAUAUAUAAAAAGUGCUGGUGUUCUUUCAGUAACUUUUGAAGAGCAUUAGUUUAUUUAACAACUCAAAGAAGAUCUAUUAAAUCAGUUGGAAUAAGAACAGAAACUCACAGUGGGUCCAUCAAGUGAAGAACCAGCAUGACUGACAGAUGAAUUUGAGAAAUGUUUCCAGUCAUACAUGAAUAUGGGAAGUAGUGUAUUUGCUACAAGUAGUGUCUUUCUGUUAUGCACACCGGCAGAACCACUGUCAGAUUAGCAAUGCAAGGCAGUGGCAGGGUAGUUAGUCGCCUUACAUUCAGAUUCCAUAUUACUCUUCACCAUUAACAAUCAGUGCUGGGUAGAACAAGCUUACCACCCAAAACAACUUAUGUUUACGGAAUAUGACUAAAAGAGGGAUUUUAAAUGGUGCUGUCCAAAAUGCGAAUGCAAAUAUGAUGAAACUAAUUUUCAGCAGCAAAAGCACGGCCAGUUUUUAACGUAAUAUUCUAGCCACUUGAAUUUUCCACCGAAGCUUCCUUGCUUCAUCUGUAUACCCCGUACUAUGAAGACCAUCAAGGACAGCUCGUUGGGUAGCCUUGAGUAUUUUCUUGCCAUCUCUUAAACAUUUCAUCAUAAGCUUGGACGCACAACGGAACCUUCCAGCCUUGCAAAGAUUGUGCACCAAAGAGGUGUAGGUAAAGGAAUCUUUAGUCUCCAUUGAUUUAUACAAGUCCAUUGCACGAUCGAUUUGACCAGCUUUACACAAGCCAUCAAUCAUGCAGUUGAAGGCAACCAAGUUUUCACGGAAGCCAAUCAUUUUCAUAUAUUGUAAAUGUUGUUCAGCCCCGAUAAUAUUACCAGCCUUGCACAAUCCAUCAAUUAUAAUUGUGUGGGUAUACUUGUCACACCGCAGACCUCCAUUCUCUAUUUCAUCCAUCAACUUAUAGGCAGCUUCAAACUUACCUUCUCUACAAUACAUAUUAAGUAAAGUGUUAUAAGCCGCUAAAUCAAGUUCAAUGCCAUUUCUCAUUGUCUGUUCCAUGCAAGCAUUUGCCUCUUCUAUCCUCCCAGUCUUAACUAAAGCAGCAACAACUGUGCAGUUUGCAAAGCCAUCAAAAGUAUACCCUUUACUCUUCAUCUCUGACAUAAUCUCGAGCGCUUCGUCAUACUGCUUAAACUUAAAGCAGCAUUUCAUAACUGUAGUGUAGGUUAUGGCAUUUGGCUCAUAACCUGAUUCCCCCAGUUCCUUUAGCAUUUUUCUUGCUUGCCCCAAUCUGCGUGCCUUGCAUAGCCCGUGGAUAAGAAUAUUGUACGUCACUAAUCGGGGAACAAAUCCAUGACGUUGCAAAUUCCUAAAUAACAUAAGGGCAUUAUCAAUGUAUUCAUUUUUACAAAGGCCAUUAAUCAUUAUGUUAAACGUAGCUGGGUGGGGAGUGAGAUUGCGAAGUAAAAUAUCCUGAAAAACUCUGUUGGCUUCAUCAGGUUUUCCUAACUUAAAGAAACAAUGCAUCAGAAUAUUGUAACUCCAUACAUUAGGAUGUAUGCCCGCUUGUAACAUUUCCUCAAACAGAUCCAGAGAUUGUGAUAAUAGGCAAUUCCUGGUGGCCCCAGAUAACAAAGAAUUGUAUGUAAUGACAUCUGGACUAAUCCCAGCCUCUUUCAUUCUAUGAACAACAGAAUAAGCUGAAUCCAAGCUAACAAACCGAGAAUAGGCAUUGAGCAAAGUAUUGUAAGUUACCACAUCUGGAAUCACCCCCAAUCUUAUGCCAUCAAUUAUAACGGCUUCUGCUCUCUCCAGUAGCCGGGACUUACAAAACGAAGCUAUGCAUAUGUUCAACAACCUAGUCGAUAAUCCAGAAACCAUCAUUCACAUCAAACAUACUGACUUCCCAAGAGAAAACCAAGCCUGCAAUAUGUCCAAAUACAAUGUGUUAACUUACACUCCUAUUUCUUAUCAGUAAAAAACCAAAUAUUGUAUAAGACUGUUACUAAAACAUGUCAAUCUUGAAGCUUUGUUCCCCUUAAAACCCACAUCAGUGAAGAUACAAAAUGGUAAUGGUAAUAAAGCAGCAAUCAUCAAUGAAACCACUUCCCCUCCAAUUUAUUCACAAAUGUGUAGGGGAAACUUUUAGCUUUAGGCAACAAUUUUAUAAUAAGGAACCUAAACAUAUAUCGGCUGUGAUGACAAGUCCCGCAAACUAAAAAGUCCACCAGCUAGAGCUAGAAAUAGUUUUUUGGGCAAUAAUAACAUUAAAAAGUGUUAAUCUCGUACUGAAUACAACAACAACAAAGCCUUAUCCCACUAAAUGAGGUCGGCUGUAUGAAUCUUAUAAUACCACUACACUCGGUACUCACACUGAAUAAAAAUCUAAAUUGAUAAUGUUUUUCAUUCCAUUGCAUAAAUCUGCAUUAUCAAAUACCAAUUGUGUUUCUCAACGUGUGAUACUACGCUAUGAUUCAUCAAUUGAUUUCCCAUUCGAUUGAAUAAUCAAUUAUUCACAAUAUUCAUAGUAAAAUACGCACACAAUAUUAUUCCAAGACCAAGAUAUAAACAAGUGCAGUGGAAAGAUAUAAAUUACUCAAAAGCAACUCAACAGCGAAAAUUGCUUGAGCAUAACAGAAUUCCAUGGCCAGGUAUUAGGUAUUGUUGAGAGAGAGAGAGAGAGAGAGAGAGAGAGAGAGAAUACCCGCUGAAAAAUCCAAAUCCAAACAAUGAAGGCGGACCAAAACAAGAGGCAGCCUGGUUUCGAUUUGGGGGUUUCAGUUCUGAGGGCAUCUCAAGUAAAAGAACAAGUGAAGAUGUUCAAUCAAUGAUAGGAGUCACGGUGGAGGAGUCGGAGAGGGAAGGAGGGAGAGUUGGACGCAGAAGACGCUCCUACUCCUUCUUGGUCGAGUUGAGUGAAGUGAUUGAGGUGCCGAGCAAAGAGUAGUCAGAGUACUAGGAAGCACUGGAGGAUUUUUUAUUUUUUUUUUGGGUAUGGGCUGGGCUAGUAGUAGGUAUUUAGCAAAUCCGCCCACCAUCAAGGGAUGCCAAGGACAAGUGCUUGAAACAUACAUGUCCUUCAACACAAAAACAACUUCAGCAGCCAAAAUGGAAGAGGGCAAGUAGUGGGCCAUGCAAUGCUCGCUCAAAAGACCGAGCAAGAUAAGCCCAGCUUUGCGCCUUGCAUCAACUGGCUAACGUUACUUAUACCGGCCCAAUCUUGCGUCAACUAGCAAGGCUAACGUCAACAUGACGUCAGAUAGCAAGGUUAAUGUCAACAAGAGGUCAGCCACGGUCUUUGAUUUUUUUAUGUGCAUGACGCGUGCAUUGCACACGCAAAAGGGAUAGUGAGCCGAUAUAAACUGUAGCAGUGAGCCCUGUUGCAACAAAAGAGCCCAACGACUCUGACGUGGCACAUCUCAGGCUGUUGGAUUUCCAACGGUAUAAAAGAAAUACCAUUGUGACAUACGACAAGUUCUAGUGCGUUUGAUUUUAAAUGAGUUUGAAAAUCAAGUGCAAGGAUUAACCCAGCAAUAAAAAUUACAAAACAUAGGGAAAAAUAGGAUUUUUUUUAUAAAUACCCAACCAUUCCCCACAUUUUAUUAUUCUAUAAACACCCAACCAUUUUAUUAUUCUAUAAAUACUCAACAUCUUAUUGAAAUUAGACGAUCAUUUUAUUUUCAAAGAACAAACUUACAAAGCAUAAAAAUAAAAUAAAAUUAUAAAAAUUGUGAAUAGUAUCACCCUUCCCAUUGCCCUUACCUAACAGGUGGAGUUGUAAAAAGGCAAGUACUAUUUAGAGUAAAUAGUAGCCCAAUUGUAAAAGUCAAAAUGUGAGAUUUGAGUCCAAUGUUUUCUCCUCCAGUGCAAAAACUCAAAUAUAAAAUUGAAAUAUAAGAAUAUAAGGCUAUCUCCCAAAAAACAAGAACAAAUGAUAUUGAAGAAGACGCCCCCUUCUUUGCCAUCGAUACCAACUAGUGAUUUGUAUAUAUACAAACUAGUGAUUUGCAUAUAUACAUAUAUAUAAUAAAACAAGAACAAAUGAUAUUGUAACACAACCAAGAAAAAAUUAAUCAAAUAUAGAAGGGGAGGCAUUGGCAGGGGAUGAAAUCAUAAAACAGUCCCUACAAACCCCACAAACCCUAAGACAAAUCAGAAGCAUAACUCCACAAACAGAUAUAUAUAUCUUUCUUAAUCUGUCCAUGAAUGGUUGUUUACUUGCACUUAGGCCUUGACAUUGUCAAGCUCACUUUUUUACUAAUCGCUUGCCAUAACUAUUUUAAAAUGAAAACCUCUUAUAAAAAGUUAUUUUGAAACGAAAAUCACUCAGCACGAACAGAGCUAGGCUGUUCUUAGAUUAUUACUUGCUCUAGAAGCAGAAAAAAAAAGAGAUGAGCAUUUGCUUAAGGCCACAUGGUGGUUGUAUGAAAUUUGAGAAUGUGCCAAAGUCGUGCAUGAUGUGAUUGUAUGAAUCUAAUGACAUGGAGAGCUAUUGAAAAGAAUUACGACCAUCACUAGAACAAUGUUUUGGACCAUCUAUGAAAUGCCACAUAUCCUCUAUAUAUUAUGUUAAUAUUUGACAUUUUAUUGAUGCUUUUACAAAAGUUGAUAAAGUCCACCAAAAUAUUGAUCCAACAAAUAGAACUAUCAAUUCUAUUUCGUUUUCAGGAAAUGAGCAAUUCAGAGCAGUGCACAGAGCAAUUUAGAUAAUGACAAACAAGAAAAUUAAUCUAAAAAAAAUUAAUCAAGAAGUAAUCAAUUUAGAUAAUCAACAACUAUGAACAUGUUUCCUCCAGACAUUCUAAAAAAAAAAGUUAAUCUAAAACAAAAAUUCAGGGCCUGUUUGGUAUUGGAUUUGAGUCCAAAGUUUUUAACUCAAAAACAAUUUUUAAGUUUUAAGGUAAAAAAAACUUGUUUGGUAAGCCCAUUUUGCAAAACUGGACUAAAAAAAAUUUUAAAAACAGCCCAUUAUAAUUUGAAAACAACAAAAGUCAGGUUUUAGGGUUUUUUUUCUUUCACAAAUUCGUAUCCCUGCGUUGCAACUCGCGAUGGAGGUCUGAGAGACCUGCGCCGCAGACCACGCCUUGCGCCUCACCUACGACGAACGACCAAGAGAUUCCGGCCAAUAAGGUGAAGGUUCUGGUGAAUAGCUUUAAGCCUCGAAUCUCUGAGUGCUUGAUUGGGGACGAAAUUGGGCCAUUCUUUUCUCUGCAAGAAACGAUCAAGGUAAUGGGUCUGUCUCUUACUAUUUUGUUUGGUUCCUUGGAAAAUGGAGGAAAUGAUGGGAAAGUUGAUUUAUGUGUUUUGUUUGUUGGGUUGUGAGAAAUUGAGUUUAUAUAUCUAUUGGUAUGAUUUAUUUGUGUACUGUGUGUAUAUAUUAACCUAACUGAGCUCGAUCGAGCUCAUAGCUUGGUAAUUAAUCUGAAAACUCUAUUUAUGUUUUCUGAUGUGCCCAUGAGGAUUGAUUUGUGAACUGAAUUUGUUGUGAUGUGGGUUUUCUCCGAUUUGGGAUAUUUCAGUCAUACUGUCAUUUUUGUGGACUGAAUUUGGUGUAAAGUCUAACUGAUUUUGGGUUGAAUGAGAUGUUACUUAAGGUUCGAUGACUGGUUUCGGAUGUAACGUAUAAUCAUGUGGUGCUUCUUGUGUUGUGUUGUGGUUAUGUGAGGUUGAAUCUAUUUCAACUUUGCCUAAGUCCCUUGAGGUGGAGCUGCCUCAUACUGUUUUCUCUAAUAUGAAAUAUUUCAGUCAUAAUUGCCACCUAAAUUUAGUAUGUUAUGUUGUUUGGAAACAAUCCUAUUUGCCCUUUAAUUUCUGAUAGAGCGUCCAUAGCCUUUGGUAGUUGAUCCCUGUGACCUGAAGUUUGAUUACUUACUGUCACUCUUUGAGUUAGUAGCAAGUUCUGUUAGAAAAUAUCAGAAAGUGAUAUCUUUUCUACCAUGUUUCUUUCUAAUUGUGUUCAUCUACCCUCAUGUGGCUGGUCUCGCAUUAAAGAUUUGAUAGUUGUGUGUGAAUGUAACGUGGAAAGUCUGCUUAGAAAUUCUGGCUUUAGAUUGUAGUUGUCCUUGCAUUCCUUAUCAUGAAAAUUAUUUGGUUGGCUUAUAUUGAUGACAACUAAUUGAAACGUAGACUGGUUGAGCGGUGCCAUAUAUUUGAAAGAAAUAAUACCACAACUCGAUAAGGAAAUAGAAUUCCCUGUUAGUCGAGGAAGAUUGUAGUUAUACAGUUUAAGAUAAUUUGCUUCCAUCCACAGAAGAAGUAGAACAAAUAAUACCAAAGCAUUAUAAACCAAAAAUGUAUUUGAUAUCAAGCAUGUAGUUUCGUGACAAUUUUUGAAGUUACCUUCGGAACAUGGCUUCCUUAUCGAUCCUCAAGCCUACCAAUUUGAACUCCAAAAUAAUUUCACAUAUCAUAUCAACCAUCGGAUAUCAAGCACCUUUUAAAUGCUUAGACAAACACCAUCCCCCAACCCAAACCACAACAAAGAGGAAAAAUAAAGGUUUUAGUUGGACAGUUCAAACACCAGAAAGCUUUGUGAAUAUGAGACAACUAGGAACAAUUACUUCGAUAGGAGCCUUUGUGAAUAUCCUGUUUCUUUGCUGCUGUCCUAAUAGUCAAGACAAUUGAAUGAAGUCUCAUACCAUCACCAAAUUAACUGAGUCUCUGUUUUACACCAAAUAUAUACGUUGUCAGUUAUUGUUAAACCUUUGUCUUGUUCAUGUGUAGUUUUCUGUUGUUUUUUGUGUUUUUUGUACAUUCAUACCUUAAGUUUUAAUAUUAUACUUUAGCAUUAGCAUUCGUAAGUGAAUGUAGCUUUUAACUUUGUAUUAAUUUUCGAUGUUUCUAUUUACAUUAUUCUAGUACGUGUCUGAGAGAUGUCAAACAAGGACUUUGAAAAUGACCUUGAUGAUAAAGCUAAUUGGCCAAAACCUAUUGAAGACUACUUUAUUAGUCUGUUGUAUGAAGAGACAAAAAAAGGCUUGCAAACCAACACUUUAGAAAAGAACCAGUGGGAUGCGAUUGAUAUGAAGUUGUUUGACAAAUAUGGUAAGAGAUACACUCGUGAAAAAUUGAAGCAAAAAUAUAAUCGGUUGCGGAAGAUUCAUCGUGAGUUUGCCAAGCUUGUUAAUCAUACUGGGAUGGGUUGGGACCCUGUUGCAAACACUGUUCAAGCAUCGGACGAAGUUUGGUCAGCUUAUAUUAAGGUAUUUAUUGUAUUAUAUAAUGUAUUUUCUUUAUAGAUAUGCAUUAUAUAAUAUUAUUUUCUAAGUGUGGACAACCUAUAUUAAAAUUUUACAGAAAAACAAGUUUGCUAGCCGUUUCCGUAGCAAGGGGUGUUCUCAUUAUGAGGUGCUUGGACAGAUUUUCAAUAAUACCACUGCUACUGGUCAAAUGCAAUAUGCGUCCACCAAUUCUCCUCCAAAUUCUGAUUCUGAGAGAGAGUUAGAAGCUGGGUUUCUUACCACUGGUGCACACAUUAGACAAAGUACCGGGAGUGGUUCAAAGGCUUUUAGUGAGGGACAUGAAGGAACCAGUACCAAGCGUUGUGCUCUUUUCCCUCCAAGUGAUAUUUCCUCAAAGUCAAAGUCAUCCAAGUCAAACAAAAUGGACGAAGCUAUUGCAGCUUGGGCAAAGUCACUUGAUGCCAAGACUGAGGCUACAUUAGAAAAGGUUAAGCGUAAAAGAGAGAAGGAAGUAUCCUCCCCAUUGAGAGAGUUAAGUACCAUUGAAGAUUGUAUGGAAGUACUUGAGGGCAUGGAAGAUGUUGAUGAUACCGCUUAUUUGAAAGCUUUGGAGAAGUUCACUAGCUCGGAUUGGAGGAGGAUGUUUAUGAAGAUGUCUGAGUCGAGGAAAAAAUUAUGGCUCAAUAGUCUAAAAUGAAUAGUUAGAGCCCUAGUAAGAAAGCUCAAUAGUCCAAGUUGGUUGUUAGUUAGGGUGUUGGUAAUACGAUGAAUUUGCUUAGAAUUAAUGAUAAGGGUUAGUAAGAUGACUAUGGAUAUGCUUUUGUGUUUGGUAUUAAGAUCUUUUGCUUUAUGAUGAACUAUAAUUAAAUGAGUAUGGAAAUGACUAGUGUUGGUAAUAUGAUUAAUGUUAUGUUAUUAUUCUAUAAUAUUGUCUUGUCACUUUGUUUAGCUAUUAAUUACUUGAUAGUUGUAAAAUAUAAUUAUUUGUUUGUCUAUAUAGGAUGGAUUCAAAUGAAGUGGACAACAAUGGUUCAAGUUCAGAAAGUGACUCAUAAUCUGAUUUGGAUGAUUCACUUGGAGAGUUGCUUUUAGUUACAAGAUUAUAUGACCAUUACUCACGUUUAAAUAAAGAGCCAUGCAUGACUUCACAUUUUUCAGGCCGCCAAUAUGUGAUAGAAUUAUUGAAUGGACAUCCACAUAGGUUAUUUGAUAUUGUAAGGAUGGAUAAAAACACGUUCAGAAAUUUGUGCUCGACAUUGAAAGAAUUAAACUUUCUACAAGAUGAUAGAUCAGUUUGUGUGGAGGAGGCCGUAUGCAUGUUCUUGUUUACUAUCAGUCAUACAAUCUGCAAUAGGGUAAUUGUUGAAACUUUUCAACAUUCUAAAGAGACUGUGUCAAGACAAUUUAAUCGAGUUCUCAAAGCAAUAUGUCGACUUGGUACUCGUAUAAUUCAACCUCCAAAUAUGGAUAAGACACCUUCUGAGAUUUUGGGAAAUCCGAAGUACGACCCAUGGUUUCAGGUAACAUAUUUAUAAAGUACAUUUUAUUAUUUAGUUAGAUCAUGACUAUUAUUUUUCUACAAAACCUAGAAAGAUAUAUGUUUAAAGCUCUAGAAUAACAACUUAGGUUGAAGUAAACUAUAUUUUGUGUACUAACAUGUUAUGAUUUGAACUAUAAAAUGGUAGAAUUGCAUUGGUGCUAUUGAUGGAACACAUAUCAGUGCAUGGGCUCCUUCAUCAAAACAAAUUUCAUACCGAGGUAGAAAAGUUAGUGUGACACAAAAUAUUAUGUUGGCGUGUUCAUUUAACAUGAUGUUCACAUAUGUCUACACCGGAUGGGAAGGAACGGCUAAUGACUCGAGAGUGUUGAUGGAUGCAAUAACAAGAGAAGAGAAUAGGUUUCCAAUGCCUCAAGAAGGUACGAAGUCAUUGAAACGUAUCAAAUUACUUGUAAUUUUUUUCUUAUUGUAUUUGGCUCAAGUGAAAUACUUAUAUGCAUUGUUAUUGGAAUAGGAAAAUAUUAUGUUGUUGAUUCCGGCUAUGCCAACAUGAGUGGGUUUCUCGCACCAUAUCGCAAAGUGCGUUAUCACUUGCGUGAUUUUAGAGGAAGAGGUAAACGUCCAAGAGGAGCAAUAGAAUUGUUCAACUUUAGGCACUCAUCACUACGUAAUGUUGUUGAACGAUGCAUUGGAGUGCUUAAGAAUCGUUUUCCUAUUCUAAAGUUGAUGCCAAAUUAUCCAAUUAGGAAGCAAAGACGCAUUCAUGUUGCAUGUUGUGCCGUGCACAAUUUCAUUAGAAUGCAAUCAAGGAAUGAUACUUUGUUUCAACAAUUUGAAGAUAAUGAUGUUGAUGUGGUAGAUGAAGAAAGCUCGUGGGCGAAUCAAGAAGGGGAAAAUAUGCAUUUGAAUGACGACAAUGUUAUGAAUGAUGUUAGAGACCACAUAGCCGGAUCAAUGUGGCUUGAUUAUGUCAAUAACAAUUAGUCUCAAAAUUUAUUGGUUUUCUAGAAUGUUUUAACGUAAUAUUUAUUGUCUAAGACUUGAAGUUUAAUUUGAUUAUCGAGCAUAUAUUUGUUGUAUUAGCACAUGGAUAUCAAAAUGUUAUGUUUAAGUUUUAAUUUCUUAUGUUUUGUAUAUCUUAAAACAAAUACAUAAUUGAAAAAAAAAAAACCUGUUUUCAAGAGUUAAACCAAACAAGUUUUUAAAUUUUUAGAUUCAAAAAUAGUUUUUAAGUUCAAUGCCAAAUACAUUUUUGAAACCUUAAAAAAAACUGUUUUUAAGAGAUGUUUUUAAAAGUUAGUUUUAAGAACAAUUCAAGUUUUUGAGUAGGAUACCAAACAGGCCCUUAAGUUUUUUAUAAACACUUCAAAUCAAUUUUUUUUUAAAGUUAAUGAUGAAAAAAAAAAAACUGAAAACCCAAAGCUGGGAAAGCAUCUUAAAAAAACAGCUUAUUCCAGGGUUGAACAGAAACAAAUAAAUGAACUUAUGUAGGUAAAAUAAUAAAUAAAUGAACUUUUCAAAUUUCUAAUUCUGCCCUUCUUUCUCUCUAUCAUCAGUCUCUCUUCAUCCGCCGCUGCCAACCUAGGCAGAGCAGAAAGCGACGCCGCCUCCAAUCUCUAGCCUCCCCCUCUCAGCCGUCAGCCAUAAACUCCAGGUUUAGUGCUUCUCUCUCCUCUGUCUAUCCCUGUCUACCAUGGCUGCAAUUGCCUAGGGUUUUCGUUUACUCUCUCAAUCUUAAAUCCUUCCAGGGUUUUUGUUUACUAUCUUAAAAUUAAGCCCUUCUAGAUUUCAAUAUUCGUGAAGGAAUUUAAAAAAUAAUAACCGAAUUUUAGUUUUAAAUUUAUUGCCUAGCUGAACAGUUUAUGUGCUACUAUCUUCUCCAAUUAAAGUUCUUGCCUGUGUAAUUUCAACUUAAUUUUCGUGUAAAGAAGAAACAUAGAAAGCUGAAUUUUUGUUUUAGAUUAACUUUUUUUUUUAGAAUGUCUGGAGGAAACAUGUUCAUAGUUGUUGAUUAUCUAAAUUGAUUACUUCUUGAUUAAUUUUUUUUAGAUUAAUUUUCUUGUUUGUCAUUAUCUAAAUUGCUCUGUGCACUGCUCUGAAUUGCUCAUUUCCUGAAAACGAAAUAGAAUUGAUAGUUCUAUUUGUUGGAUCAAUAUUUUGGUGGACUUUAUCAACUUUUGUAAAAGCAUCAAUAAAAUGUCAAAUAUUAACAUAAUAUAUAGAGGAUAUGUGGCAUUUCAUAGAUGGUUCAAAACAUUGUUCUAGUGAUGGUCGUAAUUCUUUUCAAUAGCUCUCCAUGUCAUUAGAUUCAUACAAUCACAUAACAUUGUUCUAGUGAUGUUUUUAAAAGUCGUGCAUGAUGUGAUUGUAUGAAUCUAAUGACAUGGAGAGCUAUUGAAAAGAAUUACGACCAUCACUAGAACAAUGUUUUGGACCAUCUAUGAAAUGCCACAUAUCCCCUAUAUAUUAUGUUAAUAUUUGACAUUUUAUUGAUGCUUUUACAAAAGUUGAUAAAGUCCACCAAAAUAUUGAUCCAACAAAUAGAACUAUCAAUUCUAUUUCGUUUUCAGGAAAUGAGCAAUUCAGAGUAGUGCACAGAGCAAUUUAGAUAAUGACAAACAAGAAAAUUAAUCUAAAAAAAAUUAAUCAAGAAGUAAUCAAUUUAGAUAAUCAACAACUAUGAACAUGUUUCCUCCAGACAUUCUAAAAAAAAAAGUUAAUCUAAAACAAAAAUUCAGCUUUCUGUGUUUCUUCUUUACACGAAAAUUAAGUUGAAAUUACACAGGCAAGAACUUCAAUUGGAGAAGAUAGUAGCACAGAAACUGUUCAGCUAGGCAAUAAAUUUAAAACUAAAAUUCGGUUAUUAUUUUUUAAAUUCCUUCACGAAUAUUGAAAUCUAGAAGGGCUUAAUUUUAAGAUAGUAAACAAAAACCCUGGAAGGAUUUAAGAUUGAGAGAGUAAACGAAAACCCUAGGCAAUUGCAGCCAUGGUAGACAAGGAUAGACAGAGGAGAGAGAGGCACUAAACCUGGAGUUUAUGGCUGACGGCUGAGAGGGGGAGGCUAGAGAUUGGAGGCGGCGUCGCUUUCUGCUCUGCCUAGGUUGGCAGCGGCGGAUGAAGAGAGACUGAUGAUAGAGAGAAAGAAGGGCAGAAUUAGAGAUUUGAAAAGUUCAUUUAUUUAUUAUUUUACCUACAUAAGUUCAUUUAUUUGUUUCUGUUCAACCUUGGAAUAAGCUGUUUUUUAAGAUGCUUUCCCAGCUUUGGGUUUUCAGUUUUUUUUUUUCAUCAUUAACUUUAAAAAAAAAAUGAUUUGAAGUGUUUAUCAAAAACUUAAGGGCCUGUUUGGUAUCCUACUCAAAAACUUGAAUUGUUCUUAAAACUAACUUUUAAAAACAUCUCUUAAAAACAGUUUUUUUAAGGUUUCAAAAAUGUGUUUGGCAUUGAACUUAAAAAUUAUUUUUUGAAUCUAAAAAUUUAAAAACUUGUUUGGUUUAACUCUUGAAAACAGGUUUUUUAUUUUUUUCAAUUAUGUAUUUGUUUUAAGAUAUACAAAACAUAUGAAAUUAAAACUUAAACAUAACAUUUUGAUAUCCAUGUGCUAAUACAACAAAUAUAUGCUCGAUAAUCAAAUUAAACUUCAAGUCUUAGACAAUAAAUAUUACGUUAAAACAUUCUAGAAAACCAAUAAACUUUGAGACUAAUUGUUAUUGACAUAAUCAAGCCACAUUGAUCCGGCUAUGUGGUCUCUAACAUCAUUCAUAACAUUGUCGUCAUUCAAAUGCAUAUUUUCCCCUUCUUGAUUCGCCCCCGAGCUUUCUUCAUCUACCACAUCAACAUCAUUAUCUUCAAAUUGUUGAAACAAAGUAUCAUUCCUUGAUUUCAUUCUAAUGAAAUUGUGCACGGCACAACAUGCAACAAGAAUGCGUCUUUGCUUCCUAAUUGGAUAAUUUGGCAUCAACUUUAGAAUAGGAAAACGAUUAUUAAGCACUCCAAUGCAUCGUUCAACAACAUUACGUAGUGAUGAGUGCCUAAAGUUGAACAAUUCCAUUGCUCCUCUUGGACGUUUACCUCUUCCUCUAAAAUCACGCAAGUGAUAACGCACUUUGCGAUAUGGUGCGAGAAACCCACUCAUGUUGGCAUAGCCGGAAUCAACAACAUAAUAUUUUCCUAUUCCAAUAACAAUGCAUAUAAGUAUUUCACUUGAGCCAAAUACAAUAAGAAAAAAAUUACAAGUAAUUUGAUACGUUUCAAUGACUUCGUACCUUCUUGAGGCAUUGGAAACCUAUUCUCUUCUCUUGUUAUUGCAUCCAUCAACACUCUCGAGUCAUUAGCCGUUCCUUCCCAUCCGGUGUAGACAUAUGUGAACAUCAUGUUAAAUGAACACGCCAACAUAAUAUUUUGUGUCACACUAACUUUUCUACCUCGGUAUGAAAUUUGUUUUGAUGAAGGAGCCCAUGCACUGAUAUGUGUUCCAUCAAUAGCACCAAUGCAAUUCUACCAUUUUAUAGUUCAAAUCAUAACAUGUUAGUACACAAAAUAUAGUUUACUUCAACCUAAGUUGUUAUUCUAGAGCUUUAAACAUGUAUCUUUCUAGGUUUUGUAGAAAAUAAUAGUCAUGAUCUAACUAAAUAAUAAAAUGUACUUUAUAAAUAUGUUACCUGAAACCAUGGGUCGUACUUCGGAUUUCCCAAAAUCUCAGAAGGUGUCGUAUCCAUAUUUGGAGGUUGAAUUAUACGAGUACCAAGUCGACAUAUUGCUUUGAGAACUCGAUUAAAUUGUCUUGACACAGUCUCUUUAGAAUGUUGAAAACUUUCAGCAAUUACCCUAUUGCGGAUUGUAUGACUGAUAGUAAACAAGAACAUGCAUACGGCCUCCUCCACACAAACUGAUCUAUCAUCUUGUAGAAAGUUUAAUUCUUUCAAUGUCGAGCACAAAUUUCUGAACGUGUUUUUAUCCAUCCUUACAAUAUUAAAUAACCUAUGUGGAUGUCCAUUCAAUAAUUCUAUCACAUAUUGGCGGCCUGAAAAAUGUGAAGUCAUGCAUGACUCUUUAUUUAAACGUGAGUAAUGGUCAUAUAAUCUUGUAACUAAAAGCAACUCUCCAAGUGAAUCAUCCAAAUAAGAUGAUGAGUCACUUUCUGAACUUGAACCAUUGUUGUCCACUUCAUUUGAAUCCAUCCUAUAUAGACAAACAAAUAAUUAUAUUUUACAACUAUCAAGUAAUUAAUAGCUAAACAAAGUGACAAGACAAUAUUAUAGAAUAAUAACAUAACAUUAAUCAUAUUACCAACAGUAGUCAUUUCCAUACUCAUUUAAUUAUAGUUCAUCAUAAAGCAAAAGAUCUUAAUACCAAACACAAAAGCAUAUCCAUAGUCAUCUUACUAACCCUUAUCAUUAAUUCUAAGCAAAUUCAUCGUAUUACCAACACACUAACUAACAACCAACUUGGACUAUUGAGCUUUCUUACUAGGGCUCUAACUAUUCAUUUUAGACUAUUGAGCCAUAAUUUUUUCCUCGACUCAGACAUCUUCAUAAACAUCCUCCUCCAAUCCGAGCUAGUGAACUUCUCCAAAGCUUUCAAAUAAGCGGUAUCAUCAACAUCUUCCAUGCCCUCAAGUACUUCCACACAAUCUUCAAUGGUACUUAACUCUCUCAAUGGGGAGGAUACUUCCUUCUCUCUUUUACGCUUAACCUUUUCUAAUGUAGCCUCAGUCUUGGCAUCAAGUGACUUUGCCCAAGCUGCAAUAGCUUCGUCCAUUUUGUUUGACUUGGAUGACUUUGACUUUGAGGAAAGAUCACUUGGAGGGAAAAGAGCACAACGCUUGGUACUGGUUCCUUCAUGUCCCUCACUAAAAGCCUUUGAACCACUCCCGGUACUUUGUCUAAUGUGUGCACCAGUGGUAAGAAACCCAGCUUCUAACUCUCUCUCAGAAUCAGAAUUUUGAGGAGAAUUGGUGGACGCAUAUUGCAUUUGACCAGUAGCAGUGGUAUUAUUGAAAAUCUGUCCAAGCACCUCAUAAUGAGAACACCCCUUGCUACGGAAACGGCUAGCAAACUUAUUUUUCUGUAAAAUUUUAAUAUUGGUUAUCCACACUUAGAAAAUAAUAUUAUAUAAUGCAUAUCUAUAAAGAAAAUACAUUAUAUAAUACAAUAAAUACCUUAAUAUAAGUUGACCAAACUUCGUCCGAUGCUUGAACAGUGUUUGCAACAGGGUCCCAACCCAUCCCAGUAUGAUUAACAAGCUUGGCAAACUCACGAUGAAUCUUCUGCAACCGAUUAUAUUUUUGCUUCAAUUUUUCACGAGUGUAUCUCUUACCAUAUUUGUCAAACAACUUCAUAUCAAUCGCAUCCCACUGGUUCUUUUCUAAAGUGUUGGUUUGCAAGCCUUUUUUUGUCUCUUCAUACAACAGACUAAUAAAGUAGUCUUCAAUAGGUUUUGGCCAAUUAGCUUUAUCAUCAAGGUCAUUUUCAAAGUCCUUGUUUGACAUCUCUCAGACACGUACUAGAACAAUGUAAAUAGAAACAUCGAAAAUUAAUACAAAGUUAAAAGCUACAUUCACUUACGAAUGCUAAUGCUAAAGUAUAAUAUUAAAACUUAAGGUAUGAAUGUACAAAACACAAAAACACAGAAAACUACACAUGAACAAGACAAAGGUUUAACAAUAACUGACAACGUAUAUAUUUGGUGUAAAACAGAGACUCAGUUAAUUUGGUGAUGGUAUGAGACUUCAUUCAAUUGUCUUGACUAUUAGGACAGCAGCAAAGAAACAGGAUAUUCACAAAGGCUCCUAUCGAAGUAAUUGUUCCUAGUUGUCUCAUAUUCACAAAGCUUUCUGGUGUUUGAACUGUCUAACUAAAACCUUUAUUUUUCCUCUUUGUUGUGGUUUGGGUUGGGGGAUGGUGUUUGUCUAAGCAUUUAAAAGGUGCUUGAUAUCCGAUGGUUGAUAUGAUAUGUGAAAUUAUUUUGGAGUUCAAAUUGGUAGGCUUGAGGAUCGAUAAGGAAGCCAUGUUCCGAAGGUAACUUCAAAAAUUGUCACGAAACUACAUGCUUGAUAUCAAAUACAUUUUUGGUUUAUAAUGCUUUGGUAUUAUUUGUUCUACUUCUUCUGUGGAUGGAAGCAAAUUAUCUUACACUGUAUAACUACAAUCUUCCUCGACUAACAGGGAAUUCUAUUUCCUUAUCGAGUUGUGGUAUUAUUUCUUUCAAAUAUAUGGCACCGCUCAACCAGACUACGUUUCAAUUAGUUGUCAUCAAUAUAAGCCAACCAAAUAAUUUUCAUGGUAAGAAAUGCAAGGACAACUACAAUCUAAAGCCAGAAUUUCUAAGCAGACUUUCCACGUUACAUUCACACACAACUAUCAAAUCUUUAAUGCGAGACCAGCCACAUGAGGGUAGAUGAACACAAUUAGAAAGAAACAUGGUAGAAAAGAUAUCACUUUCUGAUAUUUUCUAACAGAACUUGCUACUAACUCAAAGAGUGACAGUAAGUAAUCAAACUUCAGGUCACAGGGAUCAACUACCAAAGGCUAUGGACGCUCUAUCAGAAAUUAAAGGGCAAAUAGGAUUGUUUCCAAACAACAUAACAUACUAAAUUUAGGUGGCAAUUAUGACUGAAAUAUUUCAGAUUAAAGAAAACAGUAUGAGGCAGCUCCACCUCAAGGGACUUAGGCAAAGUUGAAAUAGAUUCAACCUCACAUAACCACAACACAACACAAGAAGCACCACAUGAUUAUACGUUACAUCCGAAACCAGUCAUCGAACCUUAAGUAACAUCUCAUUCAACCCAAAAUCAGUUAGACUUGACAACAAAUUCAGUCCACAAAAAUGACAGUAUGACUGAAAUAUCCCAAAUCGGAGAAAACCCACAUUACAACAAAUUCAGUUCACAAAUCAAUCCUCAUGGGCACAUCAGAAAACAUAAAUAUAGAGUUUUCAGAUUAAUUACCAAGCUAUGAGCUCGAUCGAGCUCAGUUAGGUUAAUAUAUACACACAGUACACAAAUAAAUCAUACCAAUAGAUAUAUAAACUCAAUUUCUCACAACCCAACAAACAAAACACAUAAAUCAACUUUCCCAUCAUUUCCUCCAUUUUCCAAGGAACCAAACAAAAUAGUAAGAGACAGACCCAUUACCUUGAUCGUUUCUUGCAGUGAAAAGAAUGGCCCAAUUUCGUCCCCAAUCAAGCACUUAGAGAUUCGAGGCUUAAAGCUAUUCACCAGAACCUUCACCCUAUUGGCCGGAAUCUCUUGGUCGUUCGUCGUAGGUGAGGCGCAAGGCGUGGUCUGCGGCGCAGGUCUCUCAGACCUCCAUCGCGAGUUGCAACGCAGGGAUACGAAUUUGUGAAAAAAAAAACCCUAAAACCUGACUUUUGUUGUUUUCAAAUUAUAAUGGGCUGUUUUUAAAAAUUUUUGAGUCCAGUUUUGCAAAAUGGGCUUACCAAACAAGUUUUUUUACCUUAAAACUUAAAAAUUGUUUUUGAGUUAAAAACUUUGGACUCAAAUCCAAUACCAAACAGGCCCUAAAAUUCUUCAAUUUUUUUUCAUACCCAUUUUUUUUUUAAAGUUAAGCUAAACCAAAUCAGGGUGCUCUCAUAAGUAUACUUAAUUUUGAAUUUGACUUCAUCUCUCAUUAGUGCUCUCAAAAGUUACAAGUUAGACUUCCACUUUUAAGAGAUACCGUUAAUUCUAAAAUUUAUUUAAUGACUCUCUAAUGCAUACGAGUUAAAAGUUAAAAAGUCAAAUUUGACUCCAUAUCCAUUAGAUUUAGUAACUUGCACCUCCACAUUUGGAGUGAAAUACGACAUUAUAACUUGAUAGAAAUUGACACUUUAAAAAUGUCAUUGUGCACUCUUUGUAAGUAUAAUUUUGAUUCCAAAUAUACAAAGUUUGAAUUGUACAAAGGAGUUUGAAGAUGCUAUUCCCUAAGCACAUAAAAAGUUGGAGUCAAGUACUACUUUUAACCUCAGAUUUAACUCAAUUUCUCUCCAAUGCAUUGAAAAAGUUGGAGUCGUAUAUGACUCCAAAAUCAAGGGCAAAGUCGUAUUUGAUUCUGCAUUUGGCUCCAAGAGUCACAUAUGUCACUUGCAUUUAACUCCAAAAGUUAUAUUUGAUUGCUGAAGGAUUGUAUUAAAUACACGUAAACAUUAUAGCCAGAUCCAUUAUUUGAUUCUUACUUAAUGUGCAUUUAAAAUGAUAUAUAACAUUUGAAGUCAAAUUUGACUUCAAAUUUGACUUUCUAACUUUAACUUUAAAAUAUUGCACGGAUGAUUGAGCGAAGACAAUAUCAAUGAGACUAGUGGCGAAACCCAGUCCGUUUCUUUGAAAAUUUAACAAAACUUACAUGAGUCCGUCUGAAAAUUCAACAAAAUUGGGCUCAUGUCUUCCCAGUGUUGAAUAAUGUACCAUGCUCGAAUUCGUAAAGAAGGGAAACAAAUAUAAAACAAUCGAAACAAAAAUGCAGUGGGAGUUCCCACUCCUCAAAACAAUUAUUGGAGCAGCUCAGGGACUUCAAGAAAUCAGAUAGCCGGACGAGAUGGUGUAGAACGAAGAAUUAGAGGAUCAAACAUAGCCCCUUCGGUUGGAGAUGGCCUUACAAUCUGGAAUUCAAGAUUGGUUAACGUAGAGAACCGGCACCAGCCCAGCCAUUUUUCCAUCCCUGCCGGGGCGUUUCUUCUUCACCUGUAAGGAGUAAAAAUGCCAUACAUUAGCAACUGACAUGAAUACGCCAUGUUGCCUCGCGAGGACGUAAGAGAAUGACCCUUCAAAGAGAAACUAGAGAAAACAGAGGUCCAGAUGAAAAAUAUUAGGCGAAUUCUACUUUAACGAGACAAAAAAGAGUAAUAAUAAUACGAACUCAAGGUUAUCCAAAUAUAUGAAACGUUAAAAGCACGAACAAGAAUUUUCGUUUUCCUUUUGACGUUAUUUAGUAGUAUUCAAUCUGUAUAUUUACAUAAAACCAGCCAUCCACUUCAUACUCAAUGUCAACCUCUUCUCCCGCUGAAACUUAACUGCAAGUCCAGAAAAAAACCGUAUUAAUCACCUUCUUGUAAAAGACAGCAAAAGUUCAUUUGUUGGAUUUAUCCAUUAUAAAUCGACAUUUAAGUGGUCUAUUAUAUGUAAUAGGAAUGUAAUAUUGAAGAAUGAUGUUAAUUAUGAUUUGAUCUCUUAAAGAUAUCAUUCCUAUAUAAGGUGUUUUAUAUUGGAAAUAGGAUUGAUGAAAUCCUUAAUUGAAUAUGAUUAUGAUACUUGACUUGGAAGCUAAGAAAGUAAAGUUUAGGUUUCCUUUAUGGAUGGAAACCCUAGCUUUUAGCCUAUAUAAAACUCCGGUCCCUAUAAGCCCUAGAACACACAACUUCCCAUAGAGUAGUUGUAUUCGGCUAGGAGUUUAUAGAAGAUCAUGGUGUUUCCGUGCUCUGCUACUUUGUGUUCGACUUCCAUGACCGCUGUUGGAAUCAGGUGAGUUACUCAUUCGUUUGUGUUUUAAUUGUAUAACCUUAUAAGGCUAACAUCAUUUUCAACUUCUGCAUCGUUUAUCAAGCAGAACACCUGCUGCAUGUUAGGGAAGGGAAACUCCAUGCUUUAAGGUGAGACUGAAUAUUGACUUACCUCAUCAUCUCCACCAGCAGUGAAGUCAUAGAGUGCCGUUCCAUGCUGAAGAUUUCCAGAAGAAAUGCGUUUGUCAUCUUGAGAACCAAAACUCUGGGAUCCUCCCCCAGCUAAGGGAUUCUCAAAUGACUCAAAUCUUUGUGCGACAGGUGACGAGUAUGGUGGAGGCUCUUCUAUAAUCUGCAAAGAAUUAGAAGAAUUACAGUUAUGACAGAAUCAUAAGAUUAAAAAACUAGUUAGAAGAGAGGCAAUGAGCACUAACCGGAGAUCCUAAACCCUCACCGAAUGAGGGACCUCCCGUAGAUGGAUUGCUAUAUCUGCUUCCUCCAGACUUCUCCUGUUACAAAUAAUUAAUUCAUCAAACAACUGAAUCCUAUAUGGCAGACGAUAGAGUGUUUUUUAAUUGAAAUAUCUAUAAUCCACUCCGGGCAUCAAUCAGGCAAUGAGUUUGUAAGGGUAUAGAAAAUGCUUUGUUCUUAAUUCUUAUAAGCAAGUGAUAACCGUGCAUCAACCCUUUGCACGAUACCCAAUACAACAACACCCUUUGCACGAUACCCAAUACAACAACAAAGCUUUUUCCUAGUGGGGCUUUGCACCGUACCCUAUGCUUAGAAAAAAAAAGUUCAAAAUUCAAAUCUUAAAAACAUAAAAGCUAUACUUCCGUUGAGUCAUGGUUGAACCAACUUCAUGGUAUUGAACUGUAAAAAAAAUAUUAGAAAGAUAAUAACAUAUUUAGCAUAUUUAAUGACCCUUCUUAAUGCAUAAUGAUUAUCGCAUGGUCAGUAUCUAGAACUGCAUUAACGUUCUAGAGCCUAAUAAGAAAUCUUAAGCCUAGAACCUCAACAAAUGUGAAAGUGGAAGUAUACGUUUAAAAAAACCAAAGAAAAUAUUUAUUCGAAUUUCACCAAUGCAUCUCAUACCGGCCGUGAACUGAAAAAUGAAGGGUAGUUCAUUCCGCCAAAGUGAGAUGACAUCGAAGUUUCAACUGAUCCCGUUGAUUUUGGGGAAGAUGUCCCUGAUGACCUCGCUUCAUAUUCCUACAAUCCAAAUGAAUAUAAUUAGUGACAACCUCCUCAUUGUGUACAUGAAUACUCCAAGCUCUUAUUGCAUGCAAUGCCAGCUCAGGAACAUUAUGUAAAACACAUACCUCCAGCUCAGAAGUCUCCAAAAGGGUCUUCGCCCACAUAUCAUCAUAACUAACUGAAGGUCUAGAGAUUAUGUUUUCUUCAUCAACAUCGGGAGCAUCAGUUCCAGCACCAGCAAGAAAUUCAUUAACCUAACAGGAAGUCGAGGUGAAAUAGUCAUCCAUUUCUGUAAGCCAAUGUUGCAUACAAGUUAAAUACAAAAUUUAACUACUAUAGUUCCAAUUUCACUUUCUAAGACAAACCUUAAACCAGUAAUUUAUAACACGGAAAAACAGUAUCUACGAAAAAUUCCCACUCAAAUUCAUUUUAAAAGUUAAGACUACAAGAUUCAACAGAGGAAGGAAAUUAUAAUAAUAUGUCUAAAGAUCUCUCAAAUCAGAAUUAUAUAAAUCCGUUUUCAAAUUUAGCGUUUGUGUCGAGACAUAAGAUAGCAAGAUGUUGAUAAAUAUCUCACUUUUGGUCAGGACUAAUAUAUUUAAUUUCUUUAAAAUUUAAAAUUUAAUUUAAAUCAAUUAAAUAUUUUACCCUGCUCACUGCAGGUGCAUUAUUUCCUAUGUGAAAUCUCGUUCCUGGAUUUCACUGUUAUAAUUUACGUAUUUGUAUUAUUGAGAUUUUAGAUUAUUUUUCGAGAAUUUAUUUUAAUUUGUUUGAAUUUAGAUUUUAAUUAGAUUAGUUACGAAGUUUGAAGUUUGAAAAUUAAUUAUUUAAAAUUCUUAGACCAUUUGAGAUCACAAGUUAUAUUUUCUAAUAGACAUCGAUCUCACGAACGCGUAGGCGAAAAUCGUUUGUGAAAUGAAGUUAUAACAAGGAAAUUAGAGACGUUUUAGUUGUUGAGAAAUAAAUAAAGAAAUGUUUAGAAGCUGCCAAGUGGCAGCAAGGGAGAGGGGAGACAGGAGAGAGUGCGGGAGAGAUAAGGUGGGGGGGACAGAGCAAUCAGAAAAAAAAAAGAGGUAUUCAUCAAUUCCCCCCCUGAACUUGUGAUCAUUGGCCAAUUUCCCCCCUCAACUUUAAUUUUGGCCAAUUUCCCCCCUCAACUAUCAUAAUUUCCCCCCUCAACUUUAAUUUGGCCAAUUUCCCCCCCCCCUUAACUCUCAUAAUUAGUCAAUUUGCACUCUACUGUUAAUUUUUUUUUAAUUUUCCAUCUAUUCUUUUUUUUUUCUUUCAAACUUUCUAAUAACUUCCAACAAAGUACUAAAAUUAACAUAAACUCACCUGCAUAAUAUAGGGUAAAAUGUACAAAAACAUAAUACAAUUAGUAUGUGAUAUGGGUUGACUAUAAGAAAAAGUUAUGAAACGGGUUUAAAGCAUGUAGAAGAAGAAAUAAAAAUCCUAAACUCAUGGAUCAGACCUAUUUCAAUAAAAUGUGUUAUUCUUAAUAAGGAGUCGAAAAUUAUGAAUUGACUAGCCAUUUUUGCACUAAAGCUUGAUUCUCCACAAUUUACUUGAACUUAGCUUUCACUUUAAUAAAGAAAAUUGUAUUCACAUACAAAAAUGUACACAUCAAUCCUUUUCGUUAUCAAUUUUGUAUAGUAAAAAAUCAAAUAAAAUUACUCCAUACUGAUUUAUUAUGACUAAUAAUACUAUCUAUGAUAAAAUUGUAAAAUUCUAAAUUUUAAUCUAUUUGUACUAGGAUAAAGACAUAGGAAAAUGAUUAACAUACAUCUUAUUUAGUUUCUUACACACACUUGUUUACUUAUGAUCAAAUUAAAAAAUUAACAGUAGGGUGCAAAUUGACUAAUUAUGAGAGUUGAGGGGGGGAAUUGGCCAAAUUAAAGUUGAGGGGGGAAAUUGACUAUUUAUGAGAGUUGAGGGGGGAAAUUGGCCAAAAUUAAAGUUGAGGGGGGAAAUUGGCCAAUUGUCACAGCCCGUCCCGGAAUUUUAAUUCCGAGGACGUGAAAAGACGAAAAUGCCCUUAAACGGGACUAAGGGGCGAAAAUUUAACAAUUGGUUUUACUUUAAGUUCCUAAGUUAUUUGGUUUUAGGAACUUAAACUAGGCUUAAGUUUGGAUUUUUUAUGUUGGAAUUUAUGAAAUUGGGAUUGGGUUGGACAAGUGGGAUCCCCACACCUCAAAACCCUCCCCAUAACCCGUAACAUUGUCUCUCUCUCUCUCCUCCCUCACGAAACUCUCAGUUCUCUCUCCCUCUCCUUCGAACUCACGGACCAACCACAAAACCACCCUAAAUCUAUACCAACGACGAAUCUAAGACCACCAUUGGAACCCUGAAGACUUCACGAGCACGAUGGUAUCCAUUUCAGGUAAGUUCUACUUCGGAAAACGUAGUUUUAAAAGUUCCCGUGAAGAGCACUGUUCAUGAUCUUCGAAUUGACUUUGUUUUAGGUGAAACCAAGCUCACAGUGAGCUUAAGGAAGUCCCAAGGAAGCUCGGAGUGCUUCGUUGGCAUGAAUUGGACGUCAGGAUCACGAGUUGUAAGUUUGGCCGAAUUCUUGAAUUUUUGAAAAGUUUGAUCUCGUAGUUUUUAGGCCUUAAAACUAGUCCAACGUGAAAGUAGAUGUUUAGGGCUUCAAUUUGGUGUAAAAUUCAAGAAAUUUGGAUGAAAAACGAAGAGAAUAGUGGAUUUGAAAUAUUCCCCAGUUUCCGGUGACCGGAGUCCGGCGAGGGACGACCGGAGAAGAAGAAGGAAUAAUCCGUUAUAUUUAACGGAAUAUUCCUAACGGCAGUAACGGAAAAAGGUUAAGUUUAACGGAAUAUUCCGGGAUUUUAACGGAAUAUUCCUGACGGCGUCAAUUGACACCGUCAGUGUGCUUGGCACGUGGCCGCGCGUGGGGGCGCGUAGGUCCGUGCCACGUCAGGCGCGUGGGGGCGCGUGAGGACUCCAAAAAUUAUUUUAAAAAUAUGGGGAUGAUCCUGAGGUUGUGUAGGUCACAGUGGUAUAUUCAUAUACCCAAUUUGAGCAAUAUUUGAGGAGUUAUUAGCUAAGAAUUAGGUUAUGCGUUAAAUAACGUUAAUUCGGUUAUUUCUCGUAUAGGCGAGGCUUGUACGAACGUUGGGCAUGACUAAGGGAGGCUCAGGGACCUACGACACGUCGAUGUAUUCUGUGAGUGGGCAGUUUUGUUUUCCGUAUACAUAUAUACUUGCCGUUUUCCCAGAAAUUGAAAAUGCAUGAAAUUAUGCUUUAAAUGAAAAUGUAUAAAAGUAUAUGAGAUAUAUUAGUUGAAAUGCCAUGCAUAGAAGUAUGCGAAAAGUAUAUAGAAUUAUAUGAAAAACGUGAAUCGAAUUGCCAUGCAUGAAAGGAUAUGAAUUGAUAUAUGAUGCAUACGUAUGAAUUGGUGCGGCGGACGCACAGGUGAGUAUCAGGUGAGUAUUUAAAUACUGUUAUGAUGAUGUUGAUAUAUAUUGAGCUCAAAUCCUGCACCAUGGUUUAGUGCUUAUAGUAUUCACCGCAUCGCACGCUCGCCUUGGAUCCAAGUAGAUGCUGGUCGCACAGUCCACGCGGAGUGGGUGCGACGGGCCAGUCGUAGAGUGUUAGUGAGAUUUCGACUGGUGGGUGACCUUAGAUUAUGUGCACAGAUGAUUGAUGAGAAAGCACUAGAGCGUAACUUGUGUGCAGAAGGCCGGACAGGUCACAGAGGUGACUCCGGCAGAGUGAGAGUGAUAGAUUUUGAGCUCUAGGUUCAACCGUACAGGGCUAUUAGAGGGCCUCCGGUUGAUUACUUUCUUGCACCUGAUAUGAUUAUUGUUGAUGCAUCCAUACUUAACUGUUGAAUUAGACAUGGCAUGGCAUGAUUGAUAAAGAAAAAUGUUGAGAUAGUAAAAAUGAAGUUUUGAGAAUAUAUAUGUAUAUUUAUAUUUUACAUUUCUGGGAAAGUAUACAGGUUUUACGGAGAGGGGUUACAACGUUUUGAGAAAUGUUUGGAUUUGGAAAAGAAUUGUUUUACUGACCCACUCAAUUUUGGUUUUGCGCCCCUCCAGGUUCAGGAAUCACAAAGGUGUGGUGACUACGAGGAAUUCGACGGUGUUCUGACAGAUUGGACAAAAUUAGGACUCACCUUCGGGUGUAUCAACUUAUAAAUUGUAUCUUAAAGCUUCCGUACUGUGCAAAUGGUUACGUCACUCUCACGUGACGGCCAGCAUGCCCUCCUUCUGGACGGGGUGUGUCACCAAUAGUUACAAGUUCAUGGGGGAAAUUGAUGAAUACCUCAAAAAAAAAACAUAAAAAAAAAAGUAAAGGAGAGGAAGGGGAAAAGGGGAGAAAAGAAAAAAAAAAGGAACCGGGUUUCCCUCAACCCGUGACUCGACCCGGUGGAUUCUCCCAUCUCCAACCACCUUGGACGACAAGGUUAGUGUCAAAAUGACCCUUACCACGAGGCCAACUGAUCCCUCUUCCAUUUUCAUGUGAACAUUGGGUGAAAAUUUGGUGAAUUUUGGGUGAAACCAUACAAAAGGGGGCGCACGGGUUGGAUUCCAUUCCGCCACGAUUUGAAGCUACCUCCUCCAAUUACCACCACCAAUAGACUCCCAUCAAUCCCAUGAACAAAGCCCAAGCAGUGUUGGAGGCGUCGAAGCUCGUAUGGAAGCUGAAUCGAAGCACACCCUUCUCUAGGGUUCCGACGGGUUCAUGGAGAAUUAAGGCUUUUCCAGGACAAAUUGGCCUUAGCCACAGGUACAAAAAUUACUCCCCUCAUUGAGAUCUUCAUUUCUGUAAAUUUUGGUAAUUUUUAAAAUAUUUGAAUUUUUUCGGCAAGUCAGGGCUACCGACCGCCACCCUCGGUGGCGUGUGCGGCGGCGGCCUGGCCAGUGGGCCGACGAUGUCCUUUUAAGUUCAAAUAGAUGCCUUGAUUUCAUAAUUGAUAUCCGUAUGACGUAAUUUGAUUGUUUGGACUUAGUUUCAUUACGAUACCUUACUUGGUCAAAAUAUGAAUCAACGAUCCGACCGUUGGAUCGUCACCAAACCUUAAUGCGUGAUAGAACAUAAUAUUUAUGGAUCAUAGAAACUUACGGAUCAGGAAUCCAACGUACGAAUCUUCCCUAAUUGGAUUUCUAAGUUUGUAAAAUUAAAUGUCGUCCGCCACUUGAAUUUGAAAUUGACGGAGAUCCGAUCGUUAGAUUGUAAUGAAAUUUUAGUAUGUGGUUCCAGAAACAUAAUGUGGACUUUGGGAAGUUACGGAUCAAGAAUCUAAUAGGCAGAUCUUCCGGUUUAGAUUUCUAGGGUUGUGGACCCUACUCUCGACCAUGAUUGACGGUUGACUUUUUAGUCAACUAGCUUGAGUUCUUUUAGCGUGCUACUGAUCUUAGAGUGUGGUUGAGAUGUUAUGAAGCUUGAUGGGCUCAUCGUGAUGACGUGUCUCCUUGAUUGACGUGCACCUCGAUUUACGUACUAAUGACAUUAUAUUGUUAUAUGCUUGUUUAUUUUAUGUGAUUUAACGUGUGUAUUGAAAUGUUCAUAAAAUUGAGGAUUAGUAGGAGACCAUGACCCUGCUUGAUUAAUCUGCGAUAGAGGGUCACUAGUGGUCCCGCUUGGUUAAUCUGCGAUAAGGGACCAUAUUAUUUAUGGAUCGUGCUUGGUUAAUCUGCGAUAAGCGAUUCUUAUGGCUAUACAUACUUUGGGGUGAUCAUGUUUGGUUAAUCCACAAUGGGUGAUCACUACCUAACAGUUCCGUAAAUGUGACUCUGCUUGGCUAAUCCGCGAUAAAGGGUCACUACCUACUUAGUUAUCUUGGUCCUGCUUGGUUAAUCCGCAUUAGGGGGACCAUAUUUUCUAUAGAUCGUGCUUGGUUAAUCAGCGAUAGGCGAUCCUUAUAUCUUGGUAUGGCCAUACACACACACACUUCGAGGUGAUCACUACCUAGAGCUAUAUGAUACAGUCCUACUUGGUAUAUCCGCGAUGGGGUACUGUUAGGGGUGAUCAUGCUUGGUAUAUCCGCAAUGGGUGAUCACUACCUAGAGCUAGGAUGUGGUCAUGCUUGGUAUAUCUGCGAUGGGGGACCAUGUGUAUUUAGGGGUGAUACAUGUCUGAUUUUGUGAGUGACGAACUACGAAUGGCUUGAUCCCAAAUGAGGGUACGUAGGCAGUCUAACGAGAAGGUUAGAUGUAGCCAUAAAGCUUACGAAAAAUUAUUAUGAAAUUUGGACCUUGAGUGGUCUUAUUUCAUGUCUUGGAGGCGGGGUAUAUUGGAUGUUCGAGUAUUAAAUGACAUCACGUGGCGAUCCUGGGCGUAGGUCGGGAUGGGGGUGUGACAUCCUAAGAGUCCGUCAUCACCAAGGUUUGCAGCCCAAGCAUUUACAAGGUCAUCAUCAAGCACAUCAGGAUCUUCAGGUGCUGGUUUAGAUUUGUACAUAAGAUCAGAAAUUCCAGUAGCAACAGCUGGAUCACUCAAAGCAGUUGAUGCACUAAUAUUGUGCCGCGUGCGGUAGAUGUCGAUAAGUUUUCCACUGUCAAAAGAUUAUGAAGGGAAAUCAAAUAAGAAAUGCAGAUAGAAAAGAAGGUAAAACUGGUAUUCAAAAGAAAUCACACUCGCUGUCAAAUGAAAAGAGUUUUAGUAUGUGGGAAUCAUCUCAUUAAAAUUUAGAGUCAGACCGAUGAUUUUUGACACAGUCAAUCCCCUCAUAAAAGUGCUUGGUAAGCACUAAGCAGUGAUUAGUCGUAAAUUACCCUCACUCUUGACUAAUGCUCAUACCAAAUGAGACAUGCUUAAAAUCCUUAGACAAGGAUCAUAAUAAACUUUUCUUCUAUUUGCACCUCAUAAGUAUAGUGACAAUUAAUUUAAUAGUUAUUUUGGACAAUAUUCUAACUGUAUCAUGCUUAAUACUUUUUUUAAGAUUUCCAGGAGGUUUUGGAAUUUGGAGCAAAUUUCCAUGUUUACAUGUAUAAUAUAUUCUGAUAUUCCUACUAAUAUUUCCUUUAACAUUUGGACUACAAAUAUUUCCACCGACGUCAAGAUUUUCAACCUUUGUUAUCUGGCGUGUCAGUUAGACACUAGGAGUAAGGUGAAGAACAAAAAUUUCAGGGAAAUGAAAGAGGACAUUGUAAAAUUAGUGUUGUGUAGUGAAUAGAUAACAUAUUUGAGAAAUUCUGGUUUUACCUAUACAACAGAGAGAGAGAGUCUAAUUAAAGCAUUUGUGCAAAAGGCUGACAUUCUUUUUCUGGACACUUGCUAAAGAACUAGAAAAUUGCAUCUCCACAUUCCGGAAUCAAGUUUUACACACAAAAUAACAAAAACGCCUCACACCUCUUAUUCUUUCAAAUACAACAGAUAAAUAUCUGACCAAACAAAAAAUUACAACAGAUAAAUAUAUGUCAAAUUAAAGACAUAAGCACUAUAAGUGAGUUUGUACCUUAUUGGCCCCAAUGGCAGAUACUUUGCUCUAGGGACGUAACAAAAACAGCGAAACAAGAUCAAGCAACUGUUCAUGAGUUUCAUAUAGUUUCUUAAGUUCUGCAUCUGUCCAUUCCUUAUUAGCAUUGUCAUGGCUGCGUAUUUCCCUGAUUACCCACACAACAAACUAUUGUGAAUACCAAAAAAAGAAUGACGCAUUUAAAAAAGAAAUUUGUAUCACUUAAUUGAUCAAAUCAUCUUGUGCUCUAUACAUUUCAUCAAGAACAUCUAUCAUGGGACUUAUUAGAGCUCCAAGGCCUGUGCCACUUGCUCCUUGAUCUUCCCCAUUACUGAGAUGCAUCUCAGAAAUCUGAGACUGCACUCCCCCAUGUGCUAACGUAUGUAAGAAUUCGUAGAUUUGUAGCCUAAAAGGUUCACCAGACCUUAUUGCCAAAGUUGUAAGAGCUUGAGCAGCAAUAAUUCGAACCUAGAGAAUCCCAAAGGAACAAACUACAUAUAAGACAAUCAAAUGAGUGGCUGGUGAGUUCACUGGUUAACAAAUUUUUGUGCGCAUAUGUGUACAUUCUAUAGUAUCUGGGUCCCCUUCCGAAUAAUGUAGAGGGUGAGGUCAAAUGUUAACCACGGAAAAUCAGUAAACUAGAGUUUUAUAGGAUACUCCUGGAUUCCCACUAUAGAACCACCAACAGGCAAAGUAUAAUAAUUCUCUAACUACCACUACCAUUGUCUAAAUGCUUUAGAAACCAUGCCUCAACAGAAUAUUGUAACCCUUAACCAUGACUGCCAGACCCUGUUAUCGCUCUAAGAUAGAGUCAGUAACAAAUGUCAACUGGGUGACACUGAGGUGGAAGUUAAUACCUCCCAGCAGCCACUGAACGCGCAUCUCUGAAGCCUAGUCAACGCCCCAGCCAGAGUAGGAUUACGAGAACUGGCAGCAACAACCAUUUUAUCUGUAUCUAGCAUCAUCAAUGCAGUACCAGGAGGAAUUGAGGAUUCCCAAGCAUAUUAAGAAGCAGCAUAGUUUGCAUUUUCUCCUAGAAACCAUACCUAACAGUACAUUUGUUCAGCAAUAAAUAGAAAAGGAUAUGUACUACAGGUUAUUUGACAGAUGAAUUAGAAGAGAAACAAAUAAAGCAUCUACUUAUUGAAAAAAGAUGCUUACAGCUGCUUGUACUAAUCUCUGUAACGCCAGAGCUGACUUUGGAUCAGACGCAGAUACCCUGUCUACUGACGUAAUGCCCAGCAUUGACCCAGGUUGUGGUGGUGGUAAAUGAAGAACUAUGGUAACUGCUUCUAAUGCUGUGUGUUUCCCAUCAGGACCAGCUCCGACAAGACAUGUAUGGAAUUGGAAAGUCAAUCAAUGACAUCAGUCAAAAUCACUGAUACAAGUUGCAAUCAUCAAUAGAGAUUGUUUGUAUGCGGUUUUUUGUUUUUUGAAAAUAGUAUAAGCAGAAGGUAUACCAUGGGAUAAAGCCCAUAGAUAUGCAAAAUAACUAAAUAUAAAAUGGAGUCAAACCAUCAGAACUGCACCAAUAUCCUAUAUCCUCUACCUCAUUUUGGUGGGAUAAUGUUUACCAUAUCAUAAAACUGACGCAAGCCUAUAAAAGUAAUGUUAAAACAAAAGGAAAAAGAAAAGGUAAGAACAUAUCAUGAUAACUCACUACGCACAUAAGCAGCAGUGGAAAACAUACGGCAAUAAAUUCUUUUACAAGAAACAGAGACUUCACUAAAAGAAAUGCAAGAAAAUAAUACAAUGUACAAGACAUACAUAAUUAUUCAAAUACAUAAGAACUGCCUGUAGUGAGGAUUGAAGGAAAUUACCUUCCAAAGUAGUUGAAAUUACCUUAAAACGAGCAUGCAAAAUGAGUAAAAUAUCAUUCAAUAGUGUGGCUGUCCAAGCUGGAUCAGAAAGCUCUGAUGCAAUAAUAGAUUCUAGUUGAUCAAACGAAUCGUGGGGACUUUGCAUCCAGAAGAGUGCCUUAAUUACCAUUGCUCGAACAUAAACACACUCGCAUGCUACAGUUGUCCGCACAACUUCCAUCAAUGAAGCUAACAAACUAGCAAUUGUAUCCUUGCCACCUACUCCUGCAGAUACAGAAGAAGUUCUUCGAAUGCCUAUGUGGUGGGAAGGGAAACCACGAAACAUAAUUAGAUCGCAUUCCACUGUACUAACUAUUCAUCCUUUAAAAAUAUAUAAAAGAACAUGGCUAGUAAAAACACAAGCAAACAGUAUAAGUCCUACAUAUUUCCAAAAUACUUUGGGAGAAAGUGCAGGCCUCAUUUACAUUUACCUACCUUGUUACAACAUAUCAUGUGUUUUCUACCUAUUUUACUCUAACAUGGAAAAUUCCAAAGAGGUCGCACUUGGUGCGAUGGCAAGUGCCUUCGUCCAUGAGCGGUAGGUCUCGGGUUCGAGACUUGGGAGCAGCCUCUCCAUAAAUGGAGGUAAGGCUAGCCGACAUUCACCUCUCCUAGACCCUGCGUAAAGCGGGAGCCUUGUGCACUGGGUACGACCUUAUGGAAAAUUCCAACUUAUGUUAUGCUAGCCACAAAAAACAGAAAUUAAAUAUGGCAUAUCGUUUUCCCAAAGAGAUUAAAGAAAAACAAAAUUGAGAGUGAAAUUUUUGAUAAAAAGUAUCAAAUAUACACUGAAAUGACUUUGCUACAAAAAAACACUCUAACCAGACACAUUUUACAUUCCUGAUCUUGAAAUGGAAAAUACAAAUAAAAAACCUAUAUAUUUAUAAAGCAAUGCAUGUCCUGGAGAACCAGAAUAAUAUAAAAUCUUCACUCUGUGAAACAUGUUGAUUUAAAAAUUCAAUCAUCAAACCUAUGCCAGAUAAACAUCUGCAAAAUUUUCAUGCACGAACUGUUCUCAAGUAUAUUUGGUGCAAAAUUCCCCAUGAUAAAAGUAACUAAAAACCAAGCAUGACUUUGGCUUGAAACAUAUAUGAAAUUAAUAUUCCAUAAAUUUAUACACCAGACACGUGUAACUGCUGAAUUAAGAGCAUCCUUUUGUUUUACGUAUAAGACGCAUACUUUCAUUACUAAAAAAUAGUGCAAUACAGGGGACAAGUUGUAGAGCUCACACCAGAUGCAGAACUCAUAGCAUACUCAUAAAUAAUUAAUGAUAAUUAUAAAGGCACUCUAAUGCCUAUUACUCAAAGUCCAUUGGGACAAAAGGAAUACAAACAUGCCCAUAUGUAUAUACACAAAAUCAUACAUGCAAAUUCUAUAUAUAUAUAUAUAUAUAUGUAUAUGUAUAUAAACCGUAACUAAUGAGAUAUUUCCAGUGACUCACAUCACUCAUUGUAUAGCUACAUAAUCUACACAGUUGAUAUCAUCAAUAUUAAUGAUCAUUGAUCCUCUAAAAUAUUAGAUGGAAGAUGCUACUGAAGCUAUUGACCAGUAUCUAAAAGGUUACAACUUACAAGAGAUCCUGUCAAAAGAUAAAAAAGUUGAAAAUUUACUUUCAGGAUGCGCGGUUUCAUUAAUAUUAUAAUCCUGCGAAUCGAGAGACUCGGAAAAUGUAUUAACAUGCACUGCUUCAUCGAUAUCCUGUAUUCCUAUAGCAAAUGCAGCAGCCCGACUCUUCCCCAUCUCCUGCACAACUCUUGCUGCUGCAUGGAGUACUGGCCUAGAGAAACUACGGAAAGAACUCUCCAACCUGUAAAAAACAGGAAGCACAAAAUCAAGAGAAUAUAAUUUAUAAGUUUUACAAAGAGAAAACUUUAGCAAUACCACCUGAACUUUGCCCCAUGUGACAGUUGACCAAAGGGAAUUUUGUAUUUUUAAAUUUAUAUUAUUUUUGCAACAUUUUAAGUUCAACCAGACUCCUACAUAUGAAAAUACGCUUCAAAAACUACCUCUUAACAUCAAUUUUCACCGGGUUAUGAUACCAAAAGGAGAGAGAGAGAGAGAGAGAGAGAGAGAGAGAGAGAGAGAGAGAGAGAGAGAGAGAUCCUUAAACCUUCUCAUUACAAGUUUGAUAAGGGGUUGUGGUUGCCUUGUCUUGUGAGAUUUAUCUUUUGAGGAACCCUUCCCAGAAGGUGCUUCUGGAAACUUGAGAAUCUCCCUAGUCAAUCGGUACCACCCAGUACCCCGGUCUUCGGCCCUACAUAUUGAAAAGUUAAGCAAAUAGAAAUUAGAACCAAGUAAAUGAAGAAAAUUAUAUCCGGGGGAAUAUGUGGGUCGAACACUGAGUUAUACAACAAUCUACCAUCUAAUUACGACCUUGUGCUGACAAAAGGGAUGCAAUCAAUAUAAAAGGAAGGCUUAUAAUACACCUCUCUGCACUACCAUGUUUUCCCAAUAUACAUAAAAUUGCCUCAAAAAAGACUCUUUCGCUGGGAUCCAGGAGGAGUUGAUAAAGCACAGAAUUGAACUGAGAUUUAAUAUCGGGCCUCUCUGUAGACACAUUUAAAAACAAACAAAUAACUUACAAGGAAACAGAUAAAUUAAACACAGAGAAAGAGAGAGAGAGAGAGAGAGAGAGAGAGAGAGAGAAGAAGAAGAAGAAGAAUUCAUCGUAUAGACUUACCAUCCAAGGCUCGUGCUCUAGAAAUUGUAUAGCACAACCUCGCUAGAGCAACUCUAGCAAGAACAUCAUGCAAAUGGAGGACAUCCUGCAAAGCUCCUGAUACAUAGAACAAACCAAGGCACCACAAAAUGCAGUAAGAACAAACAAUUUGAGCAUAUUAAGAUACAAACAAACUUUACAAUUUGACAAUUUGACAUUUCAACAUGAAAAAAGAAAUCUAAAACGGCAUUGAACCAGAUGAGACCAAACUCAUUUCAUUCACAAAACUCAUUGCAAAACCAUAUCUUGUAAACGAACAUGUCUUUAUUUUCUUUGCCUUCCUACAAAUAGAAUGAACAAUUUCUAAAGGAGCCAGGCAAACAAAAAAAAUUAAAAAUGUUCAUUUUUUUUGUCAACAAAUUUGAAAUGUUCUCGUCACCUAUAUUAGCUAAGCCCGAGUUAAAAUGAUUGGCUAGAAAGCCUGUCUGAACCUAAAGCCAUUUUCUUUUUCCACGGUAAAAAUUGGAUCCUUUGUUAUCUUUUCUUUUUCUCAGAUUAAGAAACAAAUAUUGGGAAACAUACCUCCAGGCUCUGCAUGUUUCUCUGCACAAAGUAAUGAAUUGAAAAGUAUUAGAAGCAUAAAGAUAUGAAACUUAGUUUCACACAAUAAGAAAGCGGAAGCUUUAAAAAGGUUAAAUUAAUCAAAUCACCUAAGCCCAUUGCAACCGCAUAAGGAUCUUUUGUAGAUAGCUCAGAUAAAAUUUCCAAUGCAUGCCGUACAGCAACUGGAUCGGCAAAUGAAACCCUGAAGUGUAACAUAAACUUGUUUGACUUAGAGAACCAAUUUCACAACAGAGGUACAGUUUCUAAAGAUAUCCCACCAAUCAUUGAGAAGUAAUACGAAUUAAGUAAGUGUUGAAAUUUAAAGGAUGCGUAAAAAUAGAUUCAAAGCUUAAAAAGGACAUGAGAAAAACAGAACGAAUCAGUUGAAAAUAUUUCAUCGAAAAAAAACUUCUCCAACUAAAACUCAACCUCAUGCAAGUAAAAAUACAUAUAUGGCAGAAGAAAAUAUCGGAAACAAAUGGAUAUGUGCCACAUGCAAUUGUCGAAAUUGUAUAAGAAAAUUGAUAUGGAAAAAUAUUCCCAAGCAACAUCUCUAUGCAAUGAAAAGUUGACUCCCAGAAUGAAGGAAAACACACCCUUGGGCAGCACGAUACAGAGAUGCCUGGUUUCCUGGAUCCAACGGAAGUCUCCUCAAAGCACUUAGGGCAGCAUAUUGCAAGUUACUCCGGAUGAUGAACUGAAGUUGAAAAUGAAAAUUAAAGAAUGUAUAUAAAACAUGGAUUAACUAAAGCAUACGUAAUCAGCUCGGUUGGGAAAUUCAACGACCAUAUGGGAUAAGGAACAAGAAAAAAUGCAGGUGCAUAGUAGAAGAAUUUUUUUAGAAAUUGUAAUAGGUUUUUGUAACCAAAAAAAAAGAGGAGAGAUGUUUGAACAAGUCAGAUUCUGAGCAUCCUUAUGGGCACCACAGGCUUUGGGCACCCCCACCCCCACCCCCCAGGUUUUACGUAAGCAUACAGAUUCAAACAUCCACUUUCUCCAAAUUCCAACAAAUCCAAAACCCUAAUUCACGUGAUUAUGUGGCCUCUCAAAAUCUAUCUUAAACACCAGUGACCAGCCAAACUAUCUUCUUCUUCCUAACUUCCUCCACUUCAUUUGCAAUUAGAACGGCAUCCAAAAUCUGUCUUCCAUGGAAAAAAGCCCCUUCCCCAAUAUUAAAUCUUGUAUGUAAAUAACUCACAGAAAAAUUUAAGAAAAACUACAUGACCCAUUAAUGAUAGGUACGCGUUAGCAUUAAGAUGUGUACCCAGUUCUCAAUCAUAAGAAAAAAACACUUGUACCACAUGUAGGGGAACCCGCCAUUAAAUACAAUUCCAGGCCUUCCUUCCAGCAUAAAAAUUAAAAAAAAAAACCUUUGAGUAGAUGUACUUUACCUCUUUAUCACCACCUUUAGUCCCAAUCAUACCUUUCUUGCGUUUUUGUGGGCCAUCAGCAACCUAGAAAUUAAAAUGCGGAAAAGAGAAGACAUUUGAAGAAUUGAAGAAUAUCUCCAUGAAACCAGUAAAAAAAAACAUUAUAUAGAGCCAUUAUCUGUUUGAUAUUGAUUCAAAGAGAGAGUUUAGAAAAGGAUCAAUAUCUUGCAAAAUAUUCUCUUUAGCAAAAUGUUGUCUGCACUGAACAAUAUAUGUUACUGUUGGAAGAUAAAUUUAAUCCCAAGCUGUAUCGAUAUGCAAGUGAUAUAUUGCAUGGAUUGACAACAUCUAAUGCUGCUGGUAGCAUUGAUCCAUAGGCAUUCACAACCAGAACUGCAUCCUUACAAUAAACAAAAAUGCAAGCACUCUCAAUCUCCUUUUGAUAUCCAAAUCCAUCCGUAAAACUAUACAAGGUGUUCAAAGCCCCACAACCACAUUUAGAUAUUUGGAUUCCCCCAAGGCAUAUACACAGGCAAAUAUAUUAGCUGCCGCAAUAACAGAGCUUCAUAAAGCUUAGAGUUCCCCCUUACAUCUCAUAAUUUUGUAUGGCUUUAUUUGGUUAGAAGGUUACCGUCACUCUAUACCAAAAUUACUCUUUUGUACCAUCAAGAACCCAAUUCUAAGAUGAUUCAGACAUAGCCCUAUUGUAAGAAAUAAAUGAGUAUAUAUGAGAUAACCCAAACUCAUACCUUAUCAAGAAUGCCAAACACUAUUUCGUACAAUUUGGACACUAUUUCAGAAUUGGUUGAAGAAGCAUAUGUAAGAGCCUUCAAAGCUUGCAGUCUUCGCGCAUGAACUUCAACAAAAAAUAGUCUACGUCAAUAAACAUGACCUAUAUCUCCACUCUUAAAAACACACCCCGGAUGAUGCAAUUACUUUGUCCCUGUUUAAGAAUAUCUCCCCUAAUUCUCUUAUGUGACAUUAAGUUAAUAUUAAAAAGCAAUGAAAUAGUGAGACUAUUAAUCAGUCACAUUAAAUUAACAUUAAAAAAGAAAAGAAAAAGUACUACUUUCUACUCAAAAUUCAAAUGCAUAAAUACUUCUAUCAAACCCUCACCUACAAGUAAUGUAACAGCAGAUAAGAAAAUUUUCAAAUUUAUUUGUAAAACCCACCAUCUACAACUACAAUGUGAGAAUACUGAAGCUGCCAUCACAUAGUUUCAUAAUUAAGUAAAAUCAACAACACUCGUAAAACCGUAAUUACAAAGAAAGCACCCGACCACCAGGAAGCUGCAAUUCCUACCUGUUAUUCUUAAACAAUUGAAAAAGAAGACUAUACUAAGACUAACAGAAUAGCUUAAUGGAAUAAGCAGAACACUAGAUAAGAUCUCUCAGAAGUCUGGCUAAAAACUUCACCUACCAUCUCUAGCACUAUAACAAAAGGAACAUUAAUCAAACCAUCAUAUUCUAAACUAUCAUAUAAAAGAUUUCCAUUUAAAUGGCACAUUUUACAUACUUAUCUACUAACUUCUGUGCAUAUAGUUUUAUAGAGUUUCUUUCUUUCAAAAAAGAAAAAGACAAGAAAUAGUUUAGAAGACCUAGCUCAAAACCCCUCAGAAUUUAAAGGUUAGUUAACCAAGUCCAUUUCACGCCACGUUCAAAGACCAUAUAGACUUAAAAUAGAUAAAGUGUGUCCUUAGUAUGUGCUGGAAUAUAGAACUUUGUGCAUUGCGUUCUCUUAAGAGCAAUUCCACCCCUAAGGACUUUGCGCCAGCACCCAGCGCAUUUAUCCACUCAAAUGAACAGUAACAAACUCCAAUGAACAGUAAUAGGCCAAGGCAUCUCCACCCCUAAAAAAAUGCGCUGGCACCUAGUGAAAAAAUGCGCUGGCACAAACGAUCUCCAUCCCUACAAAAUGCGCUGGCACCCAGCCCAUUUAAGAUAUUUUUAAAUUUUGUCUAAAAGAAUAAAAAAAUAAAAUAGUUUUAAUUUCGGAUAGGAUUUUUAACCAAUCUCGUUACGCCACAUGUCAUUAUCUGAACGUACUAUUUUAUGAAUAGAUUUCCGCUAAGAUUUUCAACCAAUCCCGACACGCCACGUGUCACUUCCGUUUUACAAUAAUUUAGCCAAGAUUUCGAUAAGAUUUUCAACCAAUCACGUCAUGCCACGUGUCAUUAUCUGAACGUACUAUUUUGUGGAUAGAUUUCCGAUAAUAUUUUCGACCAAUCCCGACAUGCCACGUGUCACUUCCGGUUUACAAUAAUUUCGAUAAGAUUUUCAACCAAUCACGUAGUGCCACGUGGCAUUGUCCAGAACCUCAUCCUUUCUUUUUUUGUCCAUAUAAACCCUACAUCCCUACAUCCAUCCUCACACCAAGCUCAAUCCUUCUUUUUAGCUCAGAAUCCUUGUUCAUCGUUUUCAAAUCUUAAGUUCUUAUUACAAUGUCUUCUUCAAGAAGGGUGUAUAAACAGUUGCAGGAGCAACAACAAAGGUUGUUGGCACAACAGGCAGAAUUGGCCAAUCUCGAGGAAGGUGGAAGUGGAGGUGGAGAUGAGGCUUUCUUCAUGGAGGAGGAUGAUGAUGAUCACCAUAGAAGGCAGAAGGCCUCACAUUCCCGCCAUGUCAUGGAAGCCGUGGGUCAGAUAACCAAACCAAGACGUGUUGCAAACCUCGAUAGAAAAAGGGAAAAACGAGGUAAAAAUCUAUUGGAAGAUUAUUUUAUUCCCAAUAGCAUAUUCCUUGAUCAUAUUUUUAGACGGCGUUUUAGAAUGCAACGAAAUUUGUUCAACAAAAUCAUGAGUGAUAUUUGCAACCAUGAUUCAUACUUUGUGCAAAAAGAGGAUGCUUUUCAUGUUCUAGGUCUCAUUCCCGAGCAAAAAAUUACGGCAUCCUUGCGAAUGCUUGCAUAUGGAGCAUCUGCAGAUCAAGUGGAUGAGAUCGCGAGGAUGGGAAAAACAAUUGUUUUAGAGUCCCUGAUGCGUUUUUGCUCUGCAAUUAAAGCCCUCUACACCAAUGAGUACCUCCGGACACCCACGCCAAGGGACAUGCGAAGGCUUCUGAGGAAGGGUGAGAUGCGAGGCUUCUCUGGCAUGAUUGGAAGCAUGGACUGCAUGCACUGGACUUGGAAAAACUGUCCAAGUGCGUGGCAAGGAGCCUAUGGCAACAGAAAAUGAGCCAAAAGCAUCAUUUUGGAAGCGGUGGCUUCAUUUGAUACAUGGAUUUGGCAUGCUUUUUUUGGUGUUCCAGGAGCUCAGAAUGACUUAAAUGUCCUUGCCCAAUCCCCAGUAUUCGACGAACUGCUGCAAGGAAACUCGCCGAGAUGCACAUAUACCAUUAAUGGUACCCAAUACGAGGGAUCAUACUACCUUGCAGAUGGCAUUUACCCAAGGUGGUCAACAUUUGUCAAAACAGUGCCACAUCCACAGACUGAAAAGGAAAAACACUUUGUAAAAUGUCAAGAAGGGUGUAGGAAGGAUGUCGAGCGUUGUUUUAGUAUCAUGCAAGCUUGUUAGGCGAUUAUCAGGGCUGCAGCUAGAAUGUUUGAUGUCGAGGCUCUUCGAUCCAUCAUGAUGACGUGUAUUAUUCUCCACAACAUGAUUGUUGAAGAUGAGUAUGAUUAUGAUGGCGUCGAUGAAUAUGAGCCGGAUCCGAUGAACAACUCAAGAACACGUAUCUAUUGUGCUCAUGAUGGGACCGAAGAUCCAGUGCAACACGAGCCGUUGGAACGCGAUGGACGUUACAAUGAAUUGAUCGUUCAACGUUACACUAAUGUGCAAGAGCCAUACUGGCACGUAACCCGCCAGAAUGACUUGAUUGAGCACCAGUGGGGAUUGCAUGAAGGCGAAGAUAAUUAGAAUGAGGCUUGUGGUUGAAGAAUAAAUUGUAUUUUUUUUUAAGUUUAUGUAAUUCUAUGUAGUGUGUUUUGUUUUUAAGUUUAUUUAGUGAGUUUAUGUAAUUCUAUUUAUUUGGUGAGUUUAUGUAAUUCUAUGUAGUGUGUUUUGUUUUUAAGUUUAUUUGGUGAGUUUAUGUAAUUCUAUUUAUUUGGUGAGUUUAUGUAAUUCUAUGUAGUGUGUUUUGUUUUUAAAUUUAUUUGGUGAGUUUAUGUAAUCUUAUUUCAUGUGUUUAAAUAAAGUACAAAAGAAAUAAAGUUUUAAAAAUAAAUAAAGAAUUACAUUCAAAUUGCAUAAUAAAUUAAAUAAAAAUAAAUAAAGUUUUAAAAAUUACAUAAGAAAUAACAUAAAAAUUACAUAAGAAAUUAAAUAAAGUUCAAACCUAAAAAAAGAAAAAAACAUAAGAAAUUAAAUAAAGUUCAAAAGAAAAAAGAAAGAAAAAACAUAAAAAAUACAUAAAAAUUAUACAAAGUCUCUCGAGUUAGGAUAUGUGGUGCGAGGAUCUUGGUUGUCACAAAAGUUGCUAGAACCCCCUUGACUUGUUUCCGCAUCUCUUGCACGCCUCCUUCGCAUGACAUCUCUUUUUUCCGAUGUCUAAAAAUAUUUAGAAUUCGGAGACAGUCCUACUAGAGAUUUGCUCAUAGUGUCACGAUCUACUUGAGCCAUCAUUUCUUCUCGAAGCAAUUCAUUUUCUCGAUGAAGUGCUUCUCUAACCAGCUCGUUCUCUCUAUUAACUACUUCUCUUUGUCUCUCAACCGCCGCAUCACCGGCCUCAGUAGCUGCUAAUAUUGCUGCCAUAGCAGCAACUUUUUCCUCAUCUCUAACCUUUUCUCGUGCCAUGUUCAGUUCACCUUGGCGAGUAAGUUCCUCCAUAUAUUUAGUGUAGUCAUUCUUGGAAGAACUACAUUUUUUCUUUGACGCCUUUUUACCUACGGGCCUGAGGGACUGACGAGUCGGUUGGGUCUCGGGCACUUGUUCAGGCAUCCCUUCCGUGUCUUUAAAUGUGUCGGCUUCUUGUUCGGCCAUGUCUGGUUCUGGAGAACUAUGUAGACCCAUACCGUGCAUGACAACUUCUGGACCAGUUGCGACAAUUUUGUAUUUAGGGCAAUCUUUGACAAUUUGCCAACAUUCCCAUCUAGUGAAUGAUUUGUUCCCGUUCUUUGAAUUGUAGAAUGCUUGAGCUUGUAGUGUCUAUAAAAAUGUGGGAUAACAUAGUGUUAAAAAAUGCGGGUGUAACACAAAUAAAUAAAUUCAAAAUAUUAAUACGGGUGGAAUGCAUAUAAAUUACAUAAAAAUGACAUAAGAAAUUAAAUAAAAAUUACAUAAGAAAUUAAAUAAAAAUUACAUAAGAAAUAACAUAAAAAUUACAUACGAAAUUAAAUAAAUCAAAAUAUUAAUGUGAGUGGAAUGCAUAUAAAUAAAUAAAAAUAUUGUCACCUGAUCCGCUAAACUUGUCCCACUACGGAGGUUACCGGAAGCAUGAGAGAUGGCGUUUUUCCAACAAGUAAAGGAUGCGUUGAGUUUUUUCCAACGACCUUGAAAACCUUGACUAGUUCUGGCGUUUUCUCCAUGUACAUCACAAAACGCUUUCGUAAUUUUACUCCACAUUUCUCGCUUAUCCAUCUCAUUACCCGUAAUCGGAUCAUGAGUAGUGUGAACCCAACAUUCACACAACGGAACAACUUCAAUGAGCUUCCACGAAGACAUUUUUUUCUCUUAAAGUGUAGAAAAUAUUGAAAUGUAGAUAGUAUAGAAAGUGUAGAAAAUAUUGGAAUGUGGUGUAAAGGUAGAAGAUGAGGGUUAGGUAUUUAUAGGAAAAAAAUUAACAUUUUCCAAAAUUUUUUGUAAUUUUUUUAAAAUUUUCUGUAUUUUUUAAUAAUUUUUCUGUAUUUUUUAAUAAUUUUUAAUGAAUUUUAAUAUAGUUAAUUAAUCUGGACCGUUGGAUUUGAAAAAUAUUCAAAUCCAAGAGCUAGGGAGUUGCCACGUGGCCAACGGUCAUAUUUCUGACCGUUGGGCCCUUUUUUUUAUUUACUUUUUGUGAAAAAAACGUGGACCGUUGAUAUUUGAUCCGACGGUCUAUUUUAAAAGUAAAAUUUAAAAUUUUUUUACCGUUGGAAAUCCAACGGUCUAGAAAACUAACCGUUGGAAAUCCAACGGCAGAGAGGGAGCCAUGUCGCAAACUCGGGGGGUGGAACUGACAGCGCCUGCACGCGGGCCCGAGCUCUGAAAGCUUAUCGGGCAUUCGCGCCACGGCUGCGUGAAGCGCACGCGCCAGGCUUCCUCCCCGGCUUCUGUCUCAGUCUCUUUUAGGCUGGGCUCUUGCCCAGCUCGGGCUGGGUACCAGUCAACUUGUGGGGGUGGACUUGAUUGACAGGGGCCUGGUUUGUUUUUUGGACUGAAGGCUGGGACGUUUUGUCCCCGCUGGAAUUGCUCUAAUAGACAGCAUGCUACUCUAAGUCACUCCGAAAAUGGAAACCAUGAAAUGCAGUGAUAAAAAGAAGCCUAUUAAACUACGAGAAACUCUGAAAAAUACUUUACAUUCUGCAUUAGCAUUUGAAGCCUCUGUUGUAAGCUGAUUCACUAUUAUUGGUACAACAUCAGCUCUAGUAACUCCUCCAACAACAUCAAUGUCAGCUAGGGCAUCCCAGUUUGGAGUUAGGAUCCCACCACCAGUGCUUACACCUUGUGCACCAGUAUCUGAUAAAAUUCUGGCCAAGUAAUAAUAGACAUAUCGCAGAACACUAAUUUUAUUUUCUCUAACUAAGGUUAAACACUAGCUAAAUUUUUCUAGAAAAUCCAAUUUAAGUUUUAUUUUAUAUACAUAUUUUUUAGGGUAAAAGACAGUUUACUACCCUCAUGUUUCAUGGUUUUCAACAUUUAGUACAUCAAGUUUUUUUUCGUCUCUGAGUCAUACCUAAAGUGUAAAUUUUGGGACAGUCUCAUACAUCCGUUAGUCAAACUGUUAAAUGUGCCGUUAAUUGUGACGUGGUGCCCAUGUGGACAAUGAAUGGGCGCCACGUGUAAGCCACGUUUUUUUUUUCUUUCUUCUUCUUUCUUCUUUCUUCUUCUUCUUCUUCUUCUUCCUCCUCCGACUGCAACUUUUUUUUUUCUUCCUCCUUCUCCUUCUUCCUUCCUCCUUCUUCCUUCCCCUUCUUCUCCUUCUUCCUUCUUCUUCCUUCUCCCUUCUCCCUUCUCCCUUCUCCCUUCUCCUUCUCCUUCCUCCGAAUCUGGGGAAGUUUUUUUUUUUUUCUUCUUCCUCCUUCUUCCUUCUUCCUUCUCCUUCCUCCUUCUUCCUUCUUCUUCCUCCGAAUCUUUUUUUUUUCUUUUUUCUUCUUUCUUCUCCUUCUCCUUCUCCUUCUUCUUCUUCUUCUUCCUCCAAAUCUGGGGAAGUUUUUUUUAUUUUUUUUUCUCCUUCUUCCUCCUUCUUUCUCCUUCCUCCUCUUCCUUCCUCUUCAUCUUCUUCUUCUUCUUCUUCCUCCGAAUCUGCCCAAAUUCGGCUUUUUUUUUUUUUUCUUCUUCUUCUUCUUCUUCCUCUGACUGCAACUUUUUUUUUUGUUGUUUCUUCUUCUUCCUCCUUCUUCUUCCUUCCUCAUUCUUCCUUCCCCUUCUUCUCCUUCUUCCUUCUUCCUUCUUCUUCAUCUUCCUCAAAAAAAAAAAAAAAAAAAAAAACCUUCAUCUUCCCCAGAUUCGGAGGAAGAAGAAGGAAGAAGGGGAAGGAAGAAGGAAGGAGGAAGGAGAAGAAGAAGGAAGAAAAAAAAAAUCGAAUCUGGGAAGAUUCGAAGGAAGAAGAAGAAGAAGAGGAAGGAAGAAGGAGGAAGGAGAAGGAAGAAGGAAGAAGGAGGAAGGAGGAGGAAGAAGGAAAAAAAAAAAAAAAAAAAAAAACUUCCCCAAAUUCGGAGGAAGAAGAAGGAGAAGGAGAAGGGAGAAGGAAAGAAGAAGGAAGAAGGAGAAGAAGGGGAAGGAAGAAGGAGGAAGGAAGAAGGAGAAGGAGGAAGAAAAAAAAAAGUUGCAGUCGGAGGAAGAAAAAAAAAAGAAAAAAAACAUCACUGACACGUGGCGCCCAGUCAUUGUCCACAUGGGCGCCACGUCACAAUUAACGGCACAUUUAACAGUUUGACUAACGGAUGUAUGAGACUGUCCCAAAAUUUACGCUUUAGGCAUGACUCUGAGACGAAAAAAACUUGAUGUACUAAAUGUUGAAAACCACGAAACAUGAGGGUAGUAAACAGUCUUUUACCCUAUUUUUUAUUAACCGAUCCCUUUCAAAAGAAAAGAAAUAAAAACUGGUGACUCAGAAACAAUUAAUUAAGAUUUUUUUUUUUUUUUGUGGAAUAUACAUAUCAAUAUUUUAAUUGACUCAAUCAUAACGUUGAGAUUCUUUACACAAUGAAGGAGCGCCAAUGAAGUGUUGACUGCAAAGCCCAGCGUCCUACAGCAAGCCACCUAGUGUUGACUGCAACAUACAUCUGAGUAGGGGAUUGCGACAAAGUGACCCUAUUUCUCGCUUCAUAUUUUUACAUUGUGCAGUAUUCAUGACCAGGAUGAAGAUGUAUCCUUCCCCGGGGAAAUCUGUUGCCACAACAGCAAGCCACCUAGUUUAGUAAACGCCAAUCUACAGGUAUUCAAGCAAGCACAGCCAAGAGGCAGCACGCAACGAGCCCACACACUCUUCAACAUAUCCGCGCUGUUUCUACCUGAAGUUUAAAGUGAAAGAUGAAAAAAUCAUGCUGCCGUAUUCAAACCACACCAGUAUGUGAAAACCAUCAUCCUCGGGUGGGGUUACCUUUUUCAAUGCAGGAGAAUCAUAUUCAUGCCAGAUAGGCAGAGCCACAGAGCGGCAUUCAAGGACUACUACUUGUCGUAAUUUUGGUCGCCUCAGAUAACCACGUCUUUACAAUUCCAGAGAGUGUACACAAAUAAAUCACUCCCAUCACAAACUGUCGUACACUUCCUCCAUGUGACAGUUCUCGAAGAACAGAUUCAGCUUCGGACUUUCAAUUUUUAAAACUGGAGUAAAAACAAACAAGAAGAACAGAUUCAGAUUCAGAUUCGGAGAUGCAUCCAAGUACAUAUCUUUGCUUCCACCAAGAGACUUCUCCUUCCCUCGUUUUCUUGGUGAACCAACACCGGUUACCUAUCAAAACUCGAGGGCAUAAACCUGCUUGAACGUCACUAAAACCUUGUUUGAAUCCAUACAUUUUUUGCGGCAAACCAUCCUUGCUUUCGACAUCCAUCUCCCCUUGUUUCUUCGGCUUGAACAUACUCGAAGGGAUUGCUCAUAUUUUAUUAGAUUCCAAUUGUAGUCAAAUGUUACCGCACAUAUAGAAAACAUACCUUUUUGUCCUAAUAUAACUCAAGGGAUAGCUCAUAACAUCCCCAAUGAUAUAGCAAAAUGCUGUAAUCUCUCAGUUCCUUUGGAUUGCUUCAUAGGCUGUGACAAUGGGCACAAUUUCAGAUUAAAAUCGUUCUCUUUAAGGAGUAUGUGGACAUUCCAACAAAAUUUCAUGGAGGCUAUGUGCACAGUUAAUGCAGUGAAAGAAGACAGCUUUACCUUCAGAUCAAUGCGUUCUCCCACUUCAUUUCCACAUCAAGAUGUGAAAAUCCUGUUUCUUCUCAUAUCUGUUUCGAUAGGACGCCAACACAAGUGCUUUUCUUUUUCAUACCCCAGUUCAACAUGUAUGAAUACUGCUAAAUUCAAAUAUGGUGAAAUUAUAAACGAUGGAAUUGAUCUUAGAAAACAAGCAAAUGGUUCUUAAAAUGAAACCUAAUUGGUGCAGCUUCUUAAAUAAUUCCAACUAAUAAAUAGAUUGAAUUAGCAUCAACUUAUACAUGAGCUAUUCAUUAUAUUACGUCACAGUUAACAAGUGGACUUUUUCUUUAUAUUGAUGAAUAUAAUCAGCGUUUCUCUGACUACACCAUCUCUCUUUAUCUCAAUUAAAAGGAAAAAAAGAUGUUUAUUUAUGAACUUUUCAGAAACAAUUCUGAAGAAACAAAAGUGAAAUGGAACACAAUUUUUAUUAUCUGCACUGUUCAACAUAAGAAAUAUCACUCCUGUGAAAUGUGUAGUGCAGCAACCACCCACCUGUUCUAGUAACAUAAUGGACAGAAUUCCAACGAGGGCAAGCAUGAGGGUGGUGCUCCAUAGAAACCUGGCUCUCAUUUUGUUCUGUGGUCAUCAUCACCCGUUCUCACUUCAACAGAGCUGUGUAUGUAUAAAAACAUAUCUGCACCCACCCAAAGAUGCAGCAACAUGAAGAGAAGAUGAAAAGGAAUGCUGCUUGUAUUGAAAAUAAAGCAAUAUAUGAGUAAAACAUCAUUCCUGGGGUUACCUAUCCAAUUGAAGGAGAAUUAUAUUCAUGCCACACUGCAGGACAACCAUUCAUGGACAGCUAAUUGAUGGACGUUACAAUCACUGGCCUUGGAUAAUCCAAUCUUUACAGUUCCACAGUUUGCUAUCUGCAUCAGCAAAGGCGAGGAGCACGUUAGUGACAUAAUUUUGCCCUGAAAGCAUAGUUGAAUUCCACUGUUAACAUUUGACUAGUAUAUAAGUCUAAAUGAUUAAAGACAAAUUCUACAGAUAAGGUGCAACAUAUUUACAAAAGCAUUAGGAAUAAUGCCUUCACAUUUUUCCCCACUUUUCCCAUUUUAUCAUCCCAAUCAAACUCUGAAAGUGGGAACAAAAUUUUGGAACCAGUUUUCCUGAAUUUGCUUAUUCUUAAAAUAUUGAGCAAACAACUCCCGUAGAGAAAUUCAAAUUUAACUUGUGAUGAAAGAAAAAUAUAUCAAAGUCCAAGAAUUAGAGGCAAAGAAAAGAUCGCGUGGAGUUUUACCUUCACGUGGUUUCGCUCGCUUCCGUUCAUCGUCAAAUCGAAAAAAUGUUUGUUUCUUCUCAUUGAUAUUGAAUGCAAAUGUCAACUCGAGCGUGUUCCUUUUUCAUACCUUGUCUCAGAAAGAUACCUUAAAUUCGAAGUCGAAGACACUAUAAAUUAAUGAGUGAUCUAAGAAAACAUGCAUAUGUCUUAGUGGAACCUAAAAAGCACUUCUUCCAAUUAAUUCCAGUUGUUACGCGUUCAAGUUUGACAAUCUGAAUCUUUUCCUUAUCAUAAGAUGAAUAUGCAUUCUACCACACUCAAAUCACAUCAGUAUGAGAAAGGGAAAAAAAACAUCCAGGGUUACCUCAUCGCCCAUGCAGGAGAAUCAUAUUCAUGAAGACAGAUAGCCAUAGCCCGAUUUGACGACUAGUAAUUCAUUUAAGCAAACACGUGUUGCUUUUGGAUGAUAUUGUCCUGAAAUAUAAAGAAGCAUAUUUUUUAAAGGGUAGCGUAGUUAAAUUAAACAAUUAGAAACUCACAGUAUAGAUGACAGUAAACAAUUGAAGAGACACUUUUACAGAAUCUGAAUCUUGGCUAUGGAAUGAAAUCUGUUGCUACAACAGCAAGCCACCUAGUCUAGUAAACGUAAUGUACAGGUAUUCAAGCCAGCUCUAUACAUUACAAGGAAGCACAGCCAUGAGGCAGCACACAAUCUUGGCUAUGGAAUUGAAAGAUGAUAAAAUCAUGCCGCCAUGUUCAAACCACACCAGCAUGUGAAAACCAUCAUACUCAGGUGGGGUUACCUUUUCCGAUGCAGGAGAAUCAUAUUCAUGCCGGAUGGGCAGAGGCAGAGCCACCGAGUGGCAUUCAAGGACUAAAACUUGUCGUAAUUUUGGUUUCCUCAGAUAAUCAUGUCUUUCCAUUUCCACAGAACGCACAUAAAUAAGUCAUUCCCAUCACAUUCUUCUGAAAAUUUCAAGAAACAUUUUUCUUUAAAGGGAAAAGAAAACAGAACAAGAAAGCGAUGCAGUAUGCUGGGCCUAAACAAUUCAAUAGAAAUUUCUGCAGAUGCAUGUGACAAAUUUUACUCUGCCCUGUUCCUUUUAUUUUAGUAAUUGAACUCUGAAACUUAGAAAAGAAUUCAGCGGGAUCGUCCACUCUCUCUUUAAAUCUUAGAUAGGGGAUGAAACAGGAUACUCCUCCGCUUUACAUCACUAAAGUUAUGAACCAGCACCAUUUAUGUGUGUGUGUGUGUAUAUAUAUAUAUAUAUUGUGCAACAAAAAAAUAUGGCGAAACAAGUAAGAAUGGUUAACUAUAAAAAUGAAAGAAAAAUUUCUAUGUAGAUUUUAUGUAGAAAAGUUAAGACAAUCAAUAUAACAAAUAAAAGAUAAAGUACCUGAUUUUAGAGAGUUGAGAGUGAAAUGAGAAGCAAAAGUUUUGGUGAGAGAGAGAGAGAGAGAGAUCAUAUCAUGAUGACUUCGUCAUCUAUCUCAUGCAAGGAAUAUGAGCUAUCUUUCUCCAUUCUUUUCCCUUCUUGUUCUCAUACCUCUUCUUCACAGAGGGGCAUCUGGUGAUGUUCAGGAAAGAAAUAGAUGCCAGAAAACCCUGUUUUGGCAGGAAGUCGAGACUAUCGCACCUUCCAAUAUAUAGCUUUUGAAGAGAAGUGAGGUGUUGAAGUCCAUUUCUGUCCAAAGAUUUCAGACUUGAUAGAUAAGAGAUUGCAAGAGUGUGAAGAGCGGUAAGAAGCAGCUGUUCCUUGAGCAACGUCUUCAACACAUCCUUGCUGCUGAUCUGAAAUCUUCGAAGGGAGACAAGUCGUUGCAAACCCCAUUUCUCCACUGAAGGCCUCAGUUUCUCACAAUCUCAGUUAUGAAAUGUUUGUAGGUUGGGAGGCAAACCCCUUUCACCAAAUGACACAAGAUUUGGAAGAUCCCAGGUGCUCAAUUUUUGAAGGGUGGUGCAGGUGUGCAUAUGUUUGGGCAAUAACUUCAUAUUAUCGAUCCCCAAACUCUGAUAUGAAAUUUGUGCUAUCGAGUCCUCUUUACGUUGGCCAAUCUUUCAUUUUGCUCCCCAAUCCAUCCCCUCAGUGUCCUGGAGGAAAGAACGAAAAGAUCUUGUAACUUGAAAUGCAGAAAACAGGACAAUUACAAAAUUAUAAUUUGCAUAAUAUGUAUCUUCUACUUACUUUGUGUUAAGAGCCUCAUCACAGAGGAAAUUUAAAAGCUUAAGGCAUCAUAUCCAUCCCCGCCUCCACUAAAACACCCUGCAGGCAGCUCCUUCAACCUUAGCGACCCUGGACGCAGAUCAGGUUCUCCAAAUCUCGGAACCAUGAGCAGUUGGUUCUUGCUUGCUCUAGAGACCUUAGAGAAAAUAAAGUUGGUGUAAACCACAUGAACUAUUUUCACCAUCAAAGCUUACUAAAGUACUUUAUGCAUAACUAUAAUAUACUAGGUAGAGUGCUUACUAAAGUACUUUAUAGCUAUGAAAUCGAACAAUGGAGCACUGUUCAGCUUGGCACUUUUCAAUUUUAAAAAACUAGAGUAAAAAGAAGAAGAAUAAAAAAAGAGAUAGCACCUAAGAAAAGGUGCACAAAAUCAAUUAAAACAAGUUUAGAGCAACAUUUUAAUCAAAUAUAUAAUACAACAAAAGUAAGAAUACCUCUCUAAAAGUUUCACAGAAUUUCAAAAUAUUUCCCACAUCCUCGGCAGCUAAUGGUGCCCUGAGGUAGGGGAAGCUCAAGAUCAACCUCUCUGGUCUCAACGCGGUGUUCCUUGACCCUGUGACACCCUCUUGCAGCCUUGCCCUUGGCAUCAUUCUCAUCCACAGCAGCAGCACCAUCUCUGCUGCAUUACAAGUUUCCAUCAACUCGUCCUGCUUUCCUGGAUUGAAGUAAUUCACAGAUUCGCUCUGAUCAAGGGUGGUCUCCUUCCCUUGUUUGCUAGGUGAAUCAACACAGAUAUGCCCGCCAACACACGAGACCAUAAGCCCUCUUAAACAGAACUAAAACCAACCAACAACAAUAUCAAGAUGCAUUCACAAAGAAAUAACUAUAAUCAACAGCACCACCAUCUCUGCUGCCAAAUUCAACCACUUAAGUCUCAAUAUUCCUGGCCCACUCCUUGACUUUACGAUGCUUUCUCACUGCCUUGCCAUUGACAUCCUUAUUGCUCAUAGCAGCACCACCAUCUCUGCUGCCAUAACAAAUUUCCAUCAGCUCUUCCUGCUCAAGUAACAUAAUGUACUGAUUUCCAACAAGCAGAAGCAUGAGGGCAGUGCUCCAAAGAAACCUGGCUCUCAUUUUUGUUUUGUGGUCAUCGUCACCCGUUCUCACUCCAACAGCUGUGUUUGUACAAAAAGUCUGCACCCAUUCGAACAUGGUAGCAACAUGAAGAGAAUACGAAAAGGCAUGCUGCUUUUAUUGAAAAAAAGAACAGUAUAUGAGUAAAACUUCAUUCCAAGGGUUACCUAUCCAAUUGAAAGGAGAAUCACAUUCAUGCCACACUGCAGGAGAACCAUUCAUGGACAACUAAUAGAUGGGCAUUAAAAUCGUUGGCCUUUGAUAAUCCAAUCUUUACAGUUCAACAGUUUGCUAUCUGCAUCAGAAAAGCCGACGAACACAUUAGUGACAUUCUAAUUUUGCCCUGAAAGCAUAGUUGAAUUUCACUGUUAAUAUUUGAUUAAUAUAUAAGCCUAAAUGAUUAAAGAAAAAUUCUACAGAUACAUGUAACAUAUUUACAAAAGCCUUAGGAAUAGUGCCUUCACAUUUGUCCCUACUUUUCCCAUUUUAUCAUCGCAAUCAAACUAUGAAAGUGGGAACAAAAUUUAGACAUGAUUUGACAAGGAAAGAUAGCAAUGUGAAAGUUUUAGUGGGAGCAGAGUAGUAAUCACUUGAGGUGUACCAAGAUGCAAAAUAAUAAGAAAAUUUAGGAACCAGUUUUCCUGAAUUUCUUAUUCCUAAAAUAUUGAGUAAACAACUCUAGUAGAGAAAUUCAAAUUUUACUUGUGAUGGAAAAAAAUAUAUAUAUCAAAGUCCUUCACAAGAAUUAGAGGCAAAGAAAAGCUUGUGUGGAGUUUUACCUUCACGUGCUUUCGCCCAUUUCCAUUCAUCAUCAAAUCAAAAAGUUGCUUGUUUCUUCUCAUCAAUAUUGAAGGCAGAUGUCAACUUAAGCGCAUUCCUUUUUCAUACCUUGUCUCAGAAAGAUACCUUAAAUUCAAAGUUGAAGAUACUAAAUUAAUGAGUGAUCUAAGAAAACAAGCAUAUGUCUCAGUGGAACCUAAUUAGCACAGCUUCUUCAAAUUAAAUUCCAGUUUGUUACGCGUUCAAGUUUGACAAUCUGGAUCUUUUCCUUAUCUUAAGAUGAAUGUGCAUUCUAUCACACUCAAAUCAUAUCAGCAUGAGAAAGGGAAAAAAAACAUCAUCCAGGGUUACCUCAUCGCCCAUGCAGGAGAAUCAUAUUCCUGACAGACAGCCAUGGCACGAUUCGACAACUAGUAAUUUAUGUACGCAAACACAUGUUGCCCUUGGAUGAUAUUGUCCUGAUAUUUAAAGGACCAUGUUUUUGUUAGAGUAGCGUAGUUGAAUUAAACAAUUAAAGACUGAUUGAUUGAUUGAUUAAUUAAACAGAGUAUAAGUAUAGAUGACAGUAAACAAUUGAAGAGAAACUUUUACAGAGUCUGAAUCUUGGCUAUGGAACGAAAAUGGUGGUAUGUACGUACCUGACUAUGACUUGAGGCCUCAAAUGAUGAAUUGAUCAUCUAUCUUGAUGAAAGGAAUGUGAGCUAUCUUGCUCCACUCUUGUCCCGUCUUCUUCUGACACCUCUUCUCCAGGGAAGAACACUUUUCGAUGCUCAGAAAAGAGAGCGAUGCCGGCAAACCCUCUUUUGGCAGGAAUUCGAGACUAUCACACACCCUAAUUUCGAGCUCUUGAAGAGAAGUGAGGUGUUGAAGUCCCUUUCCCUCCAAAGAUUUCAGACUUUCCAUUCCAGAGAUUACGAGAGAGUGAAGAGUGGUAGGUAGCAGCUGUUCCUUGAGCACCGUCUCCAACAGAUCCUCGCUGCUCCAGAUCUCAAAUGUUCGAAGGGAGACAAGUCGUUGCAAACCCCAGUACUCCACCGAAGGCCUCAGUUUCUCACAACCACUGAUUGCAAAUGAUUGUAGGUUGGGAGGCAAACCCCCUUCUGCAAAUGACUCAACAUUUGGAAGUCCGUAUAUCCGCAAACGUCGAAGGGCGGUGAGGGUGUGUAUUCGGUCGGGCAAUAACUUCAACUUCUCGCAUCCAUCGACUAUAAAUCCAGCCAGUUUGGGAGUGCGCAAUCCCCCGUGGGGAAAAGAGACCAGAUUUGGACAGUCAAAGAUACCCAGAUGGUCGAGAUGAGUGAGAUUUUCAUCAUCAGCUCCUUCUCCAAUGGCAAGGGAUUCUAGAUUUUUAUUGUCCAAGAUCUGAAGUACCGAAAGUUUGGGGAAAACGCCCAGCGGGAAGGACCUCAGUGAAUCACAGCUGUUGACCAAAUUCAAAAGUUGAAGGGAGGUCAAUUUGGCCAUCAUCUCAUGAGAUAGGAAUUCUAAUCUCCUGCAAUUUUCUAUAUGAAGAAAUGUCAACGAAGUGGGUAGACCAUUUCUAGGGAACGACAAGAGUGAUGCGCAGUUAUACAGAGUCAAAUCUUUAAGACAAUUGCUCAAGUGCGGCCGCAAGCAUUCUCCGCGACUAAAAAAUUGAAUCUCAAGUUUGGAAAGCGAGGAAAGCGACUCCUUCUCCAGUAACGACGACAGACCAGGGCAUCUAACUAUCUUCAGUUGUUCAAGAGAUUGUCGCAAGGACUCCGUGUUGACGAUGAGAGACCAAGGUAUCCAUCUUGUUCUGGUAGCCCUUUCAUGUAGAACCCCGCAGUCUGACACCCAAAGCUGUCUCAAUGAAGGAAGAUGAUCGGGCAAGUUUCCCCUCAGCUUCGGACAAUUCUCUAAACUCAGCUCCUCGAGACGAGGAAAGUCUAGAGAUUGACCUCUGCCUGGACAUGGUAGCCAUUCCGCCCACUCCGGCAUCUCUUUGAACUUUAGCUUCUUGAGAGAUUGAAAUGGUUGACUUAGAGAAGCUCCAUUACCCCCGUAGAACUCAACACCAAUGCUCACAACAAAUUUCAUCCUUUCUAUAUAGAGCUCUUCGAGAGCGGGUACCGCCCAACUGGUGGCAAUGACAGGCAGGUACUACAUUCGCUGAGACGCAUGACUUGUAUGUUGGAGAAGGAGGAGUCCCCCAACCAAUCCGGAAAGCUGGUUCCACCAUAAAAUCUGAUGGUGAGCUUCACCAGAUUUACGGAAGGUUGUAGGCUUUCAAGUACAUGUCUCUCUUUUACGGAAUCAUUUGCAUCCUCACGACCCCAUGCCAACUCUACUUCGUUGAGAUCUUUCUUAUCCUUCAAAUUGGCCCCCAAAGCAUCCAUAUGAUUGACGACAUUUUGCAGAUUCAAGAUAGAUAGUUUUCCUCGAAGGUUCGACAAUUGCCCCAGUUCACCAAUGCCACCCGACCUAGUAGAUUCCCCCAACACAAAAGCAGUCAAUGUUCUCAAACUUUUUAGUCUACACAUUUGCACCGGCAUCUCUUUUAUACAAGUUCCACUGAUAUCAAGAUGACGCAAAUUAAUCAAUUUCCUUAUGUCUGCAGGCAAUUCAACAAGAGAGGAACAACCGACCAACAAUAGAGUUUGCAAAUUGUAGAGAGUACACAUCAUACCUGGUAACUUUUUAACUGCAGUGUGAGAGAGAUCAACGUAGCGCAAGUUUAAGUGUUUACCAAUGUUAUCAGGUAAUUGCGUGAUAUUUUUAUAUCUUGACAGUGACAACACCCGUAAACAUUUUACUGAUGGUAACAAAUCGUCUAAAACCUUUAUGCUUACAUAUAGGCUCUUAUCCCACUUUCUGUAUGGUCUUAAAGACAUAGGAAAUAAGGUUCGCAAACACUUAAUUUCAUCCAAUGACUUAAAUUUUGCGGCAGUAUCAAAUCUUCCUCUCAUAUAUGACAAAUGCCUUACUCUUUUAGGAACUUCGUGCGACUCUCCCUCCUCCAACCUAAAACAAAAUUCUCCAGACACAAACAUAGCCAAAUCGUUAAUGAGAUCAUGCAUUGUGAAACUUGAUGAUUCCUUAAUUAAUGAUCUUUGAAGUAGUGAUCGUGACAAUAGUUCAUCAAAGUAUCUCUCACCAAGCUCUUCCAAUCCUUUACAACUCUCAACUUGUGGAAUUAAACCCACUGCCAUCCAAAGUAGAAUUAUAUAUUCCUUUUCAAAUUCGUAGUCCUUUGGGAAAAUUGAGAGAUAAGCAAAGCAUUGUUUUAAAUAAGUAGGGAGAUAAUGGUAACUCAAUCUUAAAGAUGGAAGAACACUUUUAUCAGUAUGCAAUAUCUCCCAAAGAUUGUUGUUCAAUAUGUGACUCCAUUCCUUGUAACCUACAUUACAACCUAAGAGACCCCCAAGUGCUUUUGCAGCUAAAGGAAGACCAUUGCACUUGCGUGCAAUUUGCCUACCAAUUUCUUCCAAGUCUGGAUGCACACUAGGAUUUUCAUUUCUAAAUGCAUGUUUUGCAAGUAACAACCAACAAUCUUCAUGCGACAAUUGUUCCAAAGAGUAAAUGGGAACGUGUGCACAAUGGAUGCAACACUUUUGUUCCUUGUUGUCACGACGGCCUUGCUUCCCCUCGCCCCAUAAGUAAAAGGAGUCCUUACAAUAUCCCAAUCACUAUAGUCGUCAUUCCAAAGGUCAUCCAACACAAAUAGGAACUUUUUCCCCCUCACUUGUUCCCUAAGUUUAACUUGAAGCAAACUCAUAUCUUGAAGACUGCAAGGUUUUGAGGUAAUUGAUUCAAUAAGGGUUUUAGUUACCCUAAUAGCAUCAAAAUCUUCGGAAACACAAGCCCAAGCUGUAACAUCAAAAUGCUUGUAAUGGAUGAGUUAACAGGACAUAUUCAAGAUGAUAUUCCUUGGUGUAUGCUUUUCGCAGACGAUAUAGUGUUGAUAGAUGAAACUCAGGAAGGGGUAAAUGCAAAGCUUAACCUUUGGAGAGAAGUGUUGGAAUCUAAAGGUCUUCGCCUAAGCCGAUCAAAGACAGAAUAUAUAGAGUGCAAGUUCAGUGCAAAUGGAGGCCAAAACGAGUUAGGGGUGAGGAUCGGAGAUCAAGAAAUACCAAAGAGCGACCGUUUUCGUUACCUAGGAUCUAUCUUGCAAAAGAACGGAGAAUUAGAUGGAGAUCUCAACCAUAGAAUACAAGCUGGAUGGAUGAAGUGGAAGAGUGCAUCCGGCGUGUUGUGUGACCGCCGUAUGCCACUGAAGCUCAAGGGAAAAUUUUAUAGGACGGCAAUAAGGCCGGCGAUGCUGUAUGGCACAGAAUGUUGGGCGGUGAAACAUCAACACGUACACAAAAUGGGUGUAGCGGAGAUGAGGAUGCUUCGUUGGAUGUGUGGGCACACGAGAAAGGAUAAGAUUAGGAAUGAGGAUAUCCGGGGUAAAGUAGGAGUAGCCGAAAUUGAAGGAAAGAUGAGAGAAAAUCGGUUACGGUGGUUUGGACAUGUGCAAAGAAGGCCUACUGACGCUCCGAUUAGAAGAUGCGACUAUGGGACAGAGGUUUAGGGCCGAAUGGGUAGAGGAAGACCUAGGAAAACUUUGGAAGAGACUCUAAGAAAAGACUUAGAGUACUUGGAUCUAACGAAGGACAUGACACAGGAUCGAGCACAAUGGCGUUCUAAGAUUCAUAUAGCCGAUCCCACUCAGUGACUUGGAUUUUCCAAGUCUCCAACCGAGAAGUUUUCCUCACUCGGGAAAUUAAGGGAACACUACCCCAACCUACAUGCUCCACUCAGAAAGCUUCAACUUACAAGCUUCAACAAAAGAAAAUUCAAAGAACUUAGCGAAGAAGGCUUUGGUGUAUUUAACACAAUACGUUGAAAUGAAGGAAAGCUUAUUUAUUGAUAUCCCCGAUAAGCUACAAAUAUGUACAUAUACAUGAGUCAAAAUAAACACACAAGAGGGAGCCUUCACAAAGGUUGCUUAGGAGAAGUCUCAGCAGUCGGUAGAGCCCUAGAAAGAGAAGGCACCGGAGGGGGAUCAUUUGGAGCCUCAGUACUGGACAGAACCCUAGAAGGAGGAGGCAUCAGAGGUUGAUCAUUUGGAGCUUCAUUACGCGGUACAGCCCCAGAAGACGAAGGCAAUAAAUGCCUUUGGAACAAACCCACAAAUCUCUGAUGAUCAAGUAAAACCUGACCAUCAGUUUCCUUCAUCUGGUCAAGCUUCCUCUUCAUGUUUGUAGCAUAGUCAUGUGCGAGCCGGUGCAACUGUUUAUUCUCAUGCUUGAGCCCCCUAAUCUCCUGUUUGAGACUCAUCACUUCAGCCGCCAAUGAUUCAACUUGGCGGGUUCGAGCAAAUAGGCGUUGGGCCAUAUUAGACACAGAACCUGCACACUGAACACUGAGAGCCAGCGAAUCCUUAACAGCUAACUCAUCAGACCGUUUGGAAAGUAGUCUGUUAUCUUUGGGAGUGAGAAGGUUCCUGGCCACCACCGCAGCGGUCAUAUCAUUCUUCAUCACGGAAUCCCCAACGGUAAGAGGACCAGUAGGGGAGACGAAGGAUGGGCGCCAUAUGUUGUCUGGAGAAGGCGGGGCUGCCUCUUCAACAAGGUUCAAGUCAAAACGACGGUCGGAGGGGCCAGACAUUUUCAAAGGUGUUGAAGAGAGAAGAGGUCGGACAAAUCAAGAUCUUAGAAGUGCAAGAAUGAAGCUUCUACUGGUGGAGAUUCAAGUGUGCUUUGGAACUUAAUGCCAGCCCCUAUAAAAAUCUGCACUCGACGGAGCUUCAGAAAUCAAAGAGGCGCCUGCUCAGAAAUCGAAGAGGCGUUUGCUUUCUCAAAAGCUGGGCUGCUUAGAGAUCACGAGGGUUGAUCUCAGAAAUCGAAGAGGCGUUUGCUUUCUCAAAAGUUGGGCUGCUCAAAGACCAUGAAGGCCGAUCUCAGAAAUCGAAGAGGCGCUCGCUUUCUCAAAAGCUGGGCUACCCAGAGACCACGAGGGCCGAUCUCAGAAAUCGAAGAGGCACCUACUUUUUCAGCCUUGUCAGCACCUGUCACACGCACACUCAGCUUUGCGGAAAUUAUAGGCAUUCUGUCAAAGACUUCUGGGGAAGUAGAAAACACAUGAAUCUUACUGUUCAAUCACCCACUUCCCACACGCAACAAUAGCUCAUGGGUACCACAGAUAACUUUGCCAAAGUUCUCUGCCAAAGUUGAGCACGUGAAGCUUGCAGCUCCCACUACAUCGCUCUGACCAAGAAGGGUAAAAGAAUAGCAAUUUUAACACUCCCAACAAGAUUGCUUGCUCCAAAAUCGAAGAGGCACCGCCCUCCGAAUCUCGAGAGCCAGACUCCCAACAUGAUUACUUUCUCAAAAAUCGAAGAGACACUGCUCCUCGAAUCUCGAGAGCCAGACCCCCAGCAUGAUUACUUUCUCAAAAAUCGAAGAGGCAUCGUUCUCCGAAUCAAUCGAAGAGGCGCUCGCUUUCUCAAAAGCUGGGCUGCUCAGAGACCACGAGGGCUGAUCUCAGAAAUCGAAGAGGCACCUACUUUUCUAGCCUUGUCAGCACCUGUCACACGCACACUCAGCUUUGCAGAAAUUAUGGGCAUUCUGUCGAAGACUUCUGGUGAAGUAGAAAGCACAUGAAUCUUACUGUUCAAUCACCCACUUCCCACACGCAACAAUAGCUCAUGGGUACCACAGAUAACUUUGCCAAAGUUCUCUGCCAAAGUUGAGCACGUGAAACUUGCAGCUCCCACUACAUUGCUCUGACCAAGAAAGGUAAAAGAAUAGCAAAGAAACAGCACUAACAAAGUUUAGACACAUAAAUUUUGAAGGUCUAGCUACCAUAUUAUUACCCACAAGGGUAAAGGAACAGUACCACUGCUGGAUAAUUGAAAAGUCCCUGUGUGUCAACCUCUGUGCUUCGUGGCAAGGUAGACUAGCAAACAUGCCCAACCUUUACUCACAUUCGAGAAAACACUCCCAACAAGAUUGCUUGCUCCAAAAUCGAAGAGGCACCGUCAUCCGAAUCUCGAGAGCCAGACUCCCAACAUGACUACUUUCUCAAAAUCGAAGAGAGGGUAAAGGAACAGUACCAUUGCUGGAUAAUUGGAAAGUCCCUGUGUGUCAACCUUUGUGCUUCGUGGCAAGGUAGACUAGCAAACAUGCCCAACCUUUACUCACAUUCGAGACAACACUCCCAACAAGAUUGCUUGCUCCAAAAUCGAAGAGGCACCGCCCUCCGAAUCUCGAGAGCCAGACUCCCAACAUGAUUACUUCCUCAAAAAUCGAAGAGACACUGCUCUCCGAAUCUCGAGAGUCAGACCCCCAGCAUGAUUGCUUUCUCAAAAAUCGAAGAGGCAUCGUUCUCCGAAUCUCGAGAGCCAGAUACCACAGACCACUUUUUCAAAGUGCUCUGACAGAGUUAAAACAUGUGAAACUGACAGCUCCCACUACCGUGCUAUGACCAAGCAGGGUAAAGGAAUAGCAUUACUACUUGUUGUUAGGGAGACUCCUAUAUAUGUCGACCUCCAUCCCCAACGGACAGGCAGACCUGCAAAAAUGCUCAACCCUUCAUCAUAUCUGAGAGGGCACUCCCAACGAAGCCUUUCGAAAUAUUCAGCUUUCUUUCCCCCCGAUAAUACCUCUGCAAACAAGCUAUACUAGAGCAAGAAUAUCUCAUAUCAUCAGGGUUAAAAGCAAGAGUAUCCCAUAUCAUGCUUUUUCCCUGUCUUUUCUUUUGGCCUUGUUUUUACCUGCAAGACAAGGAGAAAGAGAGCAAUCAGUCAGCACUUGGAAUCAAGCUUCCAGCUAGGAACUGACUGCCUGGAACCCCUUACCUGAUUACUUACCUGGCAUUGCUCGAGUACUCAUCUUCAACAUCUUAUGUUUCCAGGGAAGAUUCCGCAUCUGCUUGAGGAACAGAUAGAGCAAGUGCAAAGGAUACAAGGAAGCAUGUGGAGACAAGCGUAACAGCACACGUGCCGAUACAUCCAUUACUCUGUCAAAAGCAAAAGUAUCCCAUAUCAGCAGGGUGGAACGUACUCUAGAUUUGAUGGACUUGUUUUGACCCUCAAAUUCUUCAGUCGGCCUUAUACUCUGGAGGAAACCAGAAAACCCUCCAGCUCAGUUCAAGAAUAAGCCUGUGGAAAGUUACUUCUUCAAAAGCAAAAGUAUCUCAUAUCAUCUCUUCUCAUUUUUCUUCUCUUUAUCCUUCAUGCUGCUGCAAGAUGGGGAGAAGGUGAACAAUCAGUCGGAGCUCUGAUUGCUUACCUUGUCUGUCACCUCUUUCAGCAGACCCCCCUAGCUCGGCGACUUGGGGGACUCCUACUACAUGGUUUGUAUCGCGCUUGACCAAGCCUGAAACUACAAGUAAGCUUCAAGUGAAAUUGAUACAUUACCUUGUGCAUCUCCACCAGUUAAAGAUACCACCCCUGGAUGGAGGAAGAGUACUUCCAGAGAAGAUGCCACAUCUACCUAUGAGACGGAUAAGGCAAGUCAAGACGACACCACACUCCGAUACUUAGAAGUUUCGUGAUUACGAGAUCAUUCUCCCACAAUAUUUCCUAAUGUCAUUUGUACUAAAUCAUUCACUUGUACUCACUAAAGGAGAGCUUGAACCUAUGUACUUGUGUAAACCCUUCACAAUUAAUGAGAACUCUUCUAUUCCGUGGACUUAGCCAAUCUGGGUGAACCACGUACAUCUUGUGUUUGCUUUCCUAUCUCUAUCCAUUUAUAUACUUAUCCACACUAAUGAUCGGAGCAAUCUAGCGAAGAUCACAAAAAGCGACCGUUUUCGCUACCUAGGAUCUAUCUUGCAAGAGAACGGAGAAUUAGAUGGAGAUCUCAACCAUAGAAUACGAGCUGGAUGGAAAGAGUGCAUCCGGCGUGUUGUGUGACCGUCGUAGGCCACUGAAGCUCAAGGGAAAAUUUUAUAGGACGGCAAUAAGGCCAGCGAUGUUGUAUGGCACAGAAUGUUGGGUGGUGAAGCAUCAACACGUACACAAAAUGGGUGUAGCGGAGAUGAGGAUGCUUCGUGGGAUGUGUGGGCACACGAGAAAGGAUAAGAUUGGGAAUGAGGAUAUCCGAGGUAAAGUAGGAGUAGCCGAAAUUGUAGGAAAGAUGAGAGAAAAUCGGCUCCGGUGAUUUGGACAUGUGCAAAGAAGGCCGACUGACGCUCUGGUUCGAAGAUGUGACUACGGGACAGAGGUUCAGGGCCGAAGGGGUAGAGGAAGACCUAGGAAAACUUUGGAAGAGACUCUAAGAAAAGACUUAGAGUACUUGGAUCUAACGGAGGACAUGACACAAAACCGAGCGCAAUGGCGUUCUAGGAUUCAUAUAACCGACCCCACUUAGUGGGAAAAGGCUUUGUUGUUGUUGUUGUUGUUGUUGUUGUUGUUGUUGUUGUUGUAUCAUUGUAAAGGAGCUGGGCAAGGGUUGUCUUACCAACUCCCCCCAUCCCAACUAUGGCGAGUACGGAUACGUUAUUGCUACUAAUUGUAUCAUCAGAUAGCAACAACCUUGUCAACUUUUCUUUAUCCCCGUCCCUACCACAAGGACUAAAUUCAUGCUCAACAAGGGAAGUUGUGAGUUUUCUUUGAGAAACAUUCUCCUUAACACCUCCUACAAGACCAAGGAGAUCUUUUUGUUUGGCAAGAUGUUCUAACCUUUGGAAUAACUCUUGUAUCCUACCAUUCAUGCCUUGACAAAAAGGACUAAAAGAAGUAGAGAGGAAGUUCCACACCUGGGACGUCUUUUUGGUUUGAUAUUCAUCAGCUUCCACCUUGCUUCGCAAAACUUCAGUAUCGAUCUCAGCCAGAAGGUCCUCGGCAUCGAAGACGGCAUGUUUGAGCUCGUCGAGCCACUUUCUCACACGAGGUUUCUCAAUUUGCUUCUCCUCUGCAUCAUCGAGCACUGCAUCGAGGGUCAGAAAAGUCAGCUUCAGUUUCUCCAAGAGUGAAUGGUCAAGCUUUUUUCCCCGUAAGAAGUCCAUGAACUCCCCAGAAGCAAUCUUGUCGCACAGCGUCUGAAUGGAAGCGGAGAGAAAAGCCUCUCCAAUCAAAGCUCCUGCCAUUUCUCUCUCUCUUUCUCUCUGUUUUUUUUUUUUUAUCUUCAAAGAAGUGUUGAGGUGAGGAAGAAGAAGAGUCUUAUUAGCUUAAUUUCGUUUCGGAAAGAGACCCCACACGUUAAUCAAAGAGUCUUAUUACCUAUAAUUUAAGUGACAAUUUCCUAGUAGUUGGUUUGGUUGGUGUGAGAGUGCGGGUUGGGUGGCUAUUUUUUAGUUAUUAACCAUAACAUCACUUUUGUUUGUUGAUAAUUUGAUAUUAAGCCGCGUUGGAAUUUUGCUUUUGGGCGGAUACAACACAGGAUCUUUAAAUUGAUCACCUAAUUAAUUAAAAUUAAAAUUGUAAUCUUUUGUUUAUUAUGUUAUCAUGUCAUCAUGCAUGUGAAAAGAAGUCACACUGACCUGGUUAAUUAAUAUAUUGGAGUUAUAUUACAAGUUGUUAAACUCAAAAAUAGAUGGGAUCUCUUUUUUUUCAUCCCUUGCCAGGUCUUAUAAUUGGCUUGUAAAAUAGGAGAGCUUCAACUCGAGUCCAAGCAGGCAACAAUACAAAGCCUUUCAUCAAAAUUUUGUCAUCCAAGUGCACCUAGCAAUCCCUUCUUCUAGUUGUCCACCCAUUUUUCGAUUGGUUACCAAUUUCUUCUUUUGCAGUAUGUCGAGAUUAAAAUGAAUAAAAGUGAAUUAAAUUAGUAUCAUGCAUCGUACAAAGACAUACUUAGAACGAUAAUUACAAUAAAGGAUGUUAUCAGUACUUUGCUUCAACAUCAAACACCAAAUAUAUUGUUGGAAACAAAUAGCAAGAUAAUGCAUUUACAGAUAAUAUUUUUUUAGAGUUUAUUGCCUUCAUCGUGAGAUGAUGACCGCGAUUUCUAUUAAUUUUGAGCAAUAUAGAUAUUAUGAAUAUCUGAUGAAUGAAAAAAAUGGAAUGCCAAAAACAGCAAUGUACUGAGACUUAUAAAACACCAAAGUUUUAAACAUGAAGAUUAAAAAGAUACUUAUGACAAAAAGAAUUUUUGGCAUUUUAGCUAAAAUGAUCUCUAAGAUUGAUAUAACUCAUCACUUUUGGUCUCCGAGAUUUGAAAUUAAUAGAGGUGAUCCUUAAGUUUGACUAUCAUCAAUCAUUUUGUUCAUUCUGUAAAAAAAAAUGUUACAUAAGGACCAAAAUGACAAAAAAAACCCUUAAUUUAAUAAAAUAUGGCCCAAAAUGAUUUUGACAAAAUUAAGAUCAUUUUUAUCAUUUUAUCCUUAUUUAACAGAGAUUUUUCGCAUAAUAGUCAAAAUGGUUUAUGGUGGAUAAACUCAGCUCAAGGACCAAUUUUAUUAAUUUUAAAUCUCAAAACUAAAUUGAAAAGUUAUAACAAUCUCAGCUUCAACUUCUCCAUGAGUGAAUGGUAAGUUUUUCCCGCCGGAACAAGUCCAUAAACUCGUCAGAAGCAAUCUUGUCGCACAACCUCUGGAUGGAAGAGGAGAGAAAAACCUCUCCAAUCAAAGCUCUUGCCAUUUUCUCCCCCUCUCUUUUUUUUUUUUUUUUUUUUCGGUCCUUCAAAGAAAGUGUUGAGGUGAGGAGGUGAGGAAGAACAAGAGACGACUUGAUACACUUUUGGUCAAUAAUUGAGUGGACCCCACACGUUAAUCAUAGAGUCUACUUUUUUUUUAAUUUUUUUUUAUAACAUAUCAGUCUUAAGAAUUUCUUAAUAGUUGGUGUGAGAGUGACAGAGUGGGUUGGGUGAAUUUCAGUGGACCUCACACGUUAAUCAUGCAUGUAAGUAGCAAUCACAUUGACUUGGUUAAUUAAUAGAUUGCAGUUGGACUAUAAAAAUAGGAACAAUUUUUCUUUGUAUCUGGAACACGAGUGGUAUAGUGUAUGUCAUUAUAUAAGUGAAUGAAAAUUUUAUUUUUUAAGUUGUUAAUAUUUUAAUAUAAGUAUCCCACAACUCGUAUAGUGACACGUGAUGUAUCACUUCGUGUUCUGAUUGCAUUGAAAAAUUCUCUUCAAAAUAGAAGGGCUCUCUAUUUUUACUCCAUUUGCUAGGAUAGAUUUUUCAUUGUGAUCAGAACACGAGUGAUAUACCAUGUGUUUUAUAUAAACGGUGAGAAAUUUUAUUUUUUAAGUUAUUAACUUUUUAACACACAUAUCCCAUCACUUAUAUAGUGACACGUGAUGUACUAACUCGUGUUCUGUCAUUAAAAAAUCUCUCCCUUGCCAAGUCUAAUCAUAUGGUCUAUGGGGAGAUCAAAGCUUCUACGCCCAAAAUGGGCGUGGUAUCUCUAUACCUCAAAUUAUUGUUUGACACACAUUAAGUCUAUGAAAACAAAGUUAAGAAUAAUUGGAGCCAAAGAGAGACUACACUCAUCUUAGAGACAGAAAAUUUGAUCACGUUCUAGAAAUGUCAAUGGGUUGUAAAAGGAGUGAUAUUCACACACUCUUUUUUACUUCUCACAUACCAUUUAUUAAUUUAUGUUAUUUAAUUUUUUUUAAUACAUUCGAUCUGACGGCCUAAAAUUAAGAAAACAUAUGAUAAGUAAAAAGAAGUGUGUAAACAAUAUAUUUCGCCGUAAAUUAGGGGAACUUUAACUCGAUUCUAAGCAGGCAACAAAACAUUGUCUUUCAUCAAAAUUUUGUCCUCGAAGUGCGCACCCUAAGCAAUCCCUUCUAUUUGUCCACCCAUGACCCAUCCUUUUCAAUUGGUUACUAAUUUCCUCUUUUGCAGCCCGUUUAGACCAAAAUGAAUCAAAGUGAAUUAAAUUAGUAUCACGCGUCAUAUAAUAUGUGUUCACGCUCAGAAUGAUAAUUACAUCGAACAAAAUAAUAUGCGUCAACUUCAAACAACAAACAUAUCAUUAAGAAUAAACAGCAAGAUCUUGCAUCUAUGAAUCCUAAUUUUUAGAGUUUACAACCUUCUUCGUGAGAUGACUCCAAGUUCUAUUAAUUUUGAGCCACAUAGAUAUUAUGAUGGAUGAAAAAAAUGAAGGCAAAAAAACAGCAAUGUUCCGUGACUUAUGAAACACCCAACUUUGAACAUGAAAAUCUGAAAGAUAUUUCUCUAAAAACAAUUUAUUUUAAAGAAAACUUAGAAGGCCUCACUAUAAACAUAAACGAUCUGGGAGGGAAUAAACAUUCGGGAAGAGGGAGAGAGUUUAGAGAUGUGGUUUUGUGGCGUUUGGUACUUGGAGUGAGACGGAACAGGUUCGUCUCACGUUUGGUGCGACAAAAAAAUGAGACGCACCUAUUCUUAGAAUGAAUUUUAGUUUAAUUUUUGUACCACGCUCCCUCAUGAAAAAUGACUUAUUUCACUCCAUGGAACGAACUUAUUUCACCCCAUGAAACACAAAAAUACCCCUGCUGUUUUUCAAUAAUUCUACUACCAAAUCAUAAAAACAAACCCUAAUCUUGUGUCUUUCUUCUUUCCUAGUAGCCUCUCUCUUUCUCUCCCCGUCUUCUCGGCGGAGAGGCUCCAUUCUCUACUUCGUUCACUACCUCUCUCUUCUCUCGUCGCAGCAUCUCAAUAUCUUCCCGCUUUGAUUUAAUUGUCAGUUUUUCUGAGUUGGUUGUGAUUUUCCUCAUUCAGUUAACCAUGGUUUUUUUAGGUGUAGAAGUGGAAACCCCUAGAAAUUUAUGGGUUUUCACUGAAAUUGAUUUUCCGUACCACAAGCUUUGUACUGUUUGGGGUUAAGGGUGUAAUUUAGAGGUAUACAUCCAUUUCUGUGUUUAAGUUUAUGCAACUAUUGGCUGAGAAAAUGAAUCGUUUCUUAAUUUUUCCUUCUUAUAAGCUAAAGAGAAUAUGGCUGCUGCGAUGAAUGUGAAAUAAUUACCCAGAAAUACAUUAUUACCCGGAAGAACCUAAUAAACUUCUUCAUUACCAACAAAUAUUAAUAUUCAUUAAGUGUCAUUGUCACAAAUAUAUCAUAAAAUAAGCAAGGAUAAGUUGGCCUUUUAAUUUUUUUGUUCUAUUCCGCGUGAACUAUCAAACGCGAAACAGAACAAUUGACUCAUUUCAGCAUGUAUGUACCAAACUAUAUUCGAACCUCUGCUCCAUCCUAUUUCUAUCCCGUCUACACAUCAAAUGCUACUUUAAUUCUUUUUAAAUUUGAAUUUUUAAUUUUUUUAAUCUUAUUUUAUUUCUGUGAUUUUAAAUGCCCAUAAACUAACUGAAUAGUGGAGCAAAAGUGGAGAGAUUUCACCUGGAAAUUGUAUUAAUGGUAUCUCAACUUUAACUCAAUUAGAGCAAUGAUCAUUCAACUAAAAAUUCCUAAUCAUUGGUCACUUUACUCAACAAAACGUGCAACUAUGGACAUUUUCAACAACUCUGUCAGAACUUUCGUCAAAAUGAGACUAAAUCAAGGGGCAAAUAUGAAAAAUCAAAUGAGAAAAAUUGCAGCAAUGAUCCCUCAACUUUAACCCAAUUAUAGCAAUGGUUCUUCCAACAUGACUUAUUUUGACGGAGUUUAUAAAAAUGAUCAUAGUUGCAUGUUUUGAUAAGUAAAAGGGACUAAUAAUUAUGAAUUUUUAGUUACGGAACUAUUCCUCCAACUGAAUUAAAGUUAUGUUACUACAAUUUCUCUUAGCAGCAAUGGGGGUAUUUAGCCAUAAAUAAAAGUAUAUAAUUAAAUUUCAAGGGAAAAUUCGACAAAUAGUUAAAACGAAACUAAAAAUCAGACUUGAAAGUAUAACUUCAAACACAUUAUUUGGUUUUAACGAAAAACAAGUCUAAUUGAAGCAACAGAAAUGUGUCCCGCCACUAAUCACCGCGCCUUCUCUUGAAGCGCUUACUCUCUCUCUCUUUCUCUGUCUAUCUCUGAGUUGCCGUAGCAUCGACCACUCCAGAAAACCGUACGUCUCCAGGUGCCUCACUCCGCAUUCAAAGUGAAGCCUUUUUAGGGUUUCAUUUCAGCAGGGCCUCUUUGGAGUGUUGCAAUUUUCAAGCUAUAAACUUUUCCCUUAUCAUCCCACUUCCAGCAUUCUCAAAUUUGCCAUAUUUUCCUUAUCUUCAACGCCUUUGUCCUUUUCGCAGAAAGCCCGUCGCCAAUUGAUUCAAUCCGUAGCAGAUUUUGGCGCGAAGAAGCUCCAUUGAUCCCGAAUACACAAAUGUGUUGGAGCAAUGAAUAGGGCACCUCAUAUGAGGCAAGAGUAAGAGGAACAAAGAAAUAGCCUUUUUACUUUGCAUUAUACUCCCAUUGCUUCCAUUGUUAUUUAUUUGGAAUUCGGGUAUGUUCAGUCGUCCCAAUCUGGGUCAAGAUUUCUGUGCCCGGACGCCUGUUAAAGCUGAUUUGUUGGAACAUGUCAAUGCAAUUGAUAAUUUCUCGUGCCCGCAUAGUGUUCUGAGUUCAAAUUUUAUUUUCUCCUUACCAACACAAAAACCUCUGGCCGAAGAGGCAAUGGUUUCUGGGGUAUGUCGCGGUUAUACGUGUUUUGUUUCAUUUUUGUUUGUUUGUUUUUUUUUUUUUUUUUUUUUUCGUGUACUGUUAUUUUUUUUUAUCUUGAGGAUUACUUGUUAUUUGGUGACAACUUGACAUCAGUUUUUGUGUUUGGUGAUUGUGGUCUUUUGCUUGGGUAAAAUAUAGCUCUUGUGUUUGUGUUAGUUACAUGAUUUAUUGUUUGUUUCAGCUAAUUUUAAGUUUCAUCAUACCUUAGCGAUCAGGGCCGGUUCUGAGAUUUUAGGGGUAUGGGUCCUUGCAUAAAAGAAUCCCGCUAUAGUGAAGCUAAUUUAUGUGUCUAUAGUUGUAUUAAUAUGGUAUCUAAAUAGAGUAUUAUUACUCAUGAGUUAUGGUUCAAAUCAACACUAAUCAUGAAAGUAAAACGCAAUUUAGAGCUAAGCCAUCAGAACCAAACUAAGAAACAUAAAAGUGAUUCCUCUAAUACAGAUGGAGGCCAUUAUUCUCUUAUUCACAUACAAAUCCUAAAAAAUUUCCCUAAGAUGAAUUCUUUUUACGGAAACCAAGUUGGUACAUAUAUACAUAUGAUAUCAUCAUUUAGGAACCCCUUAAGAUUGGGGGCCCUGUGCAAGGGCACCUAUUGCACAUGCCCAAAGCCGCCACUGUUUGUGAUAGAUAUAUAUAAUAUAUCAUUUUAAGAAUGGAUGUGAAUUCCAUUUUUUGUUUUCCUCGAAUCAAUCAUUUCUGACUGUUGGAUACUCCUAGUUCUUGAUGGUAGACAUGGAUUUUUAUGCAACUAUCGAUACUACUACCUCAAAGCAUUUAACCUGGUAUGUAUCUUGGUUCUCUUUAUGCUUUUAGCUCAAUGGCUUGUCCAAUUCAGAAUACUGAAAUAUCUUUGAGGUUGUGAUAAAAUCUAUACCUAGUAAUAGAUGGUUAAGUGAAAACAAUAUUGGUGAAUGAAUGAAUGAAUGACAUGAUAGGCAACACCUAGUAAUGAUAACACCCGCAUUUAGUAAUCUUAGGCCUAAAAAGUUUGUCAUGUUGAGCAUGUUAUUCUUUUGACAUGAAAUGAAUGAAUGGAUACGCUCUUCAAAGGUUGUGUUUGCUCUGGCAUAAUAAAUGAGUUAUUGGUUUUGUUAUUCCACACUUAGGAAUUAAAUAGUAGUGCUACGUACUAUCCUAUGCAAGUCUUAAGAUAUUUAACUAUCAACUGUCAUAUCAAGUGGUCUACAAAAUAUUGUCUAAAAACAUAUUCUCCGUAGCAUUUUCCUUAAAAUUUUAGUUUGUCAACCAAAAAGUAAAUAAAUUUUUAGUUUUACGUGCUAGUGGAGUACACGUAGCAUGAGUAGAAGUGAAAAAGUUAAAAUAAGGUUGCUAACACUCCCCUUCAUAUUUUAGCAAAGCUCAAUAAUCAUUUCAUAUCCUCACAUAGGUUAACUGAAACAAUUAUUCUAUUCAACUUUAGGUCAAUAAUUUUUUUUCUCUAACCCAUGCUCUUCAACGUAUCUGCAGCAUCUACCUGAAGAUUAAAGUUUAAUUGAAAGAUGAGAAAAUCAUGCCGCCGUAUUCAAACAACACCAGUACGUGAAAACCAUCAUCCUCGGUUGGCGUUACCUUUUUCGAUGCAGAAGCAUUAUAUUCGUGCUGGAUAGGCAGAGCCACUGAGCGACAUUCAAGGACUACUACUUGUCGUAGUUUUGGUUCCCUCAGAUAAUCACGUCUUUACAUUUCCACUGAAUGCACAUAAAUAAGUCACUCCCAUCACAAACUGUCCAGGCCGUCCGCUUCAUCCGUUUCCUCCAUGCGUUAGUUCUCGAAGAACAGAUUCAGCUUGGGACUUUUCAAUUUUAAAAAACUAGAGUAAAAACAAACAAGAAAAAAAAAAUCAAGUGAAUUGGAAGUUCAGGAAUGAUUUAGCACCAAAAGCAAUUAAAACAUGUCUAGAGCAACAUUUUGAUCAAGUAUAUAAUAGAACAAAAGUAAGAAUUACCUCUCUAAAAGUUUUACAGAACAAAAAUUGGACAGCAUUUCCCACAUCCUCAGCAGCUAAUGGUGGCCUGGGGUAGGGGAAGCUCAAGAUCAACCUCUCUGCUCUCAACACGGAGUUCCUUGCCCCUGUGGCACCCUCUUGCAGCCUUGUCCUUGCCCUUGGAAUCAUUCUCAUUCACAGCAGCACCACCAUCUCUGCUGCAUUACAAGUUUCCAUCAACUCGUCCUGCUUUGCUGCAUCCGAGUACUUCACAUCUUCGCUCUGAUCAAGGGCUUUCUUCCCUCAUUUGCUAGGUGAAUCAACACACUUUGCCUGCCAAAACUCGAGACCAUAAGCCCUCUUAAACAGAAUUAAAACCAACCAACAACAUCAAUAUGCACCAUCUCUGCUGCCAAAAUCAACCUCUUGAGUCUCAAUAUUCCAAGGCCACUCCUAGACUUUACGAUGCUUUAUGACUGCCUUGCCAUUGACAUCCUUAUUGCUCAUAGUAGCCGCACCAUCUCUGCUGCCAUUACAAAUUUCCAUUAACUCUUACUGCUUUUGUUUUCUUAGUUUCUUCCUGAUCAGAUUCGGAGAUGCAUCCACGUUCAUAUCUUUUCUUCCAUCAAGAGACUUCUCCUUCCCUCGUUUUCUUGGUGAACCAACACCAGUUUCCUAUCAAAACUUGAGGGCAUAAAACCGCUUAAACAUCACUAAAACCUUUUUUGAAUCCAUACAUUUUUGCGGUGAACCAUCCUUGCUUCAGACAUCCAUCUCCCCUUGUUUCUUCGGCUUGUACACAGUCGAAGGGACUGUUCGUAUUUUAUUAGAUUCCAACUCCAGUCGCCUGUCACCACCACACAUAGAAAACAUACGUUUUUGUCCUGAUACGACUCAAGGGAGAGCUCAUAAGAUCCCCAGUUGUAGAGCAAAAUGCUGUAAUCUCUCAGUUCUUUUCUUUAAGGAGAGUAUGUGGACAUUCCAACAAAAUUCAUGGAGGGCAAGUGCACAGUUAAUGCAAUGAAAGAAGACAGCUUUACCUUCAGAUCGAUGCAUUCUCCCACUUCAUUUCCACAUCAAGUUGUGAAAAUCCUGUUUCUUCUCAUAUCUGUUCCGAUAGGAUGCCAACACAAGUGCUUUUCUUUUUCAUACCCCAGCUCAACAUGUAUGAAUACUGCUAAAUUCCAACAAGGGCAAGCAUGAGGGUGGUGCUCCAUAGAAACCUGGCUCUCAUUUUGUUUUGUGGUCAUCGUCACCUGUUCUCACUUCAACAGAGCUGUGUAUGUACAAAAAUAUAUCUGCACCCACCCGAAGAUGGCAGCAACAUGAAGAGAAGAUGAAAAGGAAUGCUGCUUGUUUGAAAAUAAAGCAAUAUAUGAGUAAAACAUCAUUCCUGGGGUUACCUAUCCAAUUGAAGGAGAAUCAUAUUCAUGCCACACUGCAGGACAACCAUUCAUGGACAGCUAAUUGAUGGGCGUUAAAAUCAUUGGCCUUACAUAAUCCAAUCUUUACAGUUCCACAGUUUGCUAUCUGCCUCAGCAAAGCCUAUGAACACGUUAGUGACAUAAUUUUGCCUUGAAAGCAUAGUUGAAUUUCACUGUUAACAUUUGACUAGUCUAUAAGCCUAAAUGAUUAAAGACAAAUUCUACAGAUAAGGUGCAACAUAUUUACAAAGGCAUUAGGAAUAAUGCCUUCACAAUUUUCCCUACAUUUCCCAUUUUAUCAUCCCAAUCAAACUUUGAAAAUAAAGGUCGUACCCAGUGCACAACGCACAUAAAUAAGUCACUCCCAUCACAUUCUCCUGAAAAUUUUAAGAAACAUUUUUAUUUUAAAGGAAAAAGAAAACAGAACAAGAAAGCGAUGCAGUGUGCUGGGCCGAAACAAUUCAAUAGAAAUUUCUGCAGAUACAUGUGAUAAAUUUUUCUCCUCCAAACAUUUUUCUUUUUAAAGAAAAAGAAAACAGAACAAGAAAGCAAUGCAGUAUGCUGGGCCUAAACAAUUCAAUAAAAAUUUCUGCAGAUACAUGUGACAAAUUUUUCUCCUCUGCCCUGUUCCUUUUAUUUUAGUAAUUGAACUCUGAAACUUUGAAAAGAAUUCAGCGGGAUUGUUCACUCUCUCUUUAAAUCUUAGAUAGGGGAUGAAACAGGAUACUCCUCCGCUUUACAUCAUUAAAGUUACGAACCAGCACCAUUUAUGUGUGUGUACAUAUAUACACACACAUCAAUCAUUAAAGUUAUGAACCAGCACCAUGUAUGUAUGUGUGUGUGUGUGUGUGUUGCAACAAAAAAUAUGGCGAAACAACUAAAAAUGGUUAACUAAAAAAAUGAAAGAAAAAUCUCUAUGUAGAUUUUAUGUAGAAAAGUUGAGACAAUCAAUAUAACAAAUAAAAGAUAAAGUACCUGACAUUAGAGAGUUGAGAGUGAAAUGAGAAGCAAAAGUUUUGGUGAGAGAGAGACAGAGAUCAUAUCAUGAUGACUAUGUCAUCUCUCUUUAAGCAAGGAAUAUGAGCUAUCUUUCUCCAUUCUUUUCCUUCUUGGUCUCAUACCUCUUCUUCAUAGAGGGGCAUCUGGUGAUGUUCAGGAAAGAAAUAGAUGCCGGAAAACCCUGUUUUGGCAGGAAGUCGAGACUAUCACACCUUCCAAUAUAUAGCUUUUGAAGAGAAGUGCGGUGUUGAAGUCCAUUUCUGUCCAAAGAUUUCAGACUUGAGAGAUAAGAGAUUGCAAGAGUGUGAAGAGCGGUAAGAAGCAACUGUUCCUUGAGCAACGUCUUCAACACAUCCUCGCUGCUGAAUUGAAUCUUCGAAGGGAGACAAGCCGUUGCAAACCCCAGUUCUCCACUGAAGGCCUCAAUUUCUCACAAUCUCUGUUAUGAAAUGUUUGUAGGUUGGGAGGCAAACCCCUUUCACCAAAUGACACAAGAUUUGGAAGAUCCCAGGUGCUCAAUUUUUGAAGGGUGGUGCGGGUGACAGGUGUGCAUAUGUUUGGGCAAUAACUUCAUAUUAUCGAUCCCCAGACUCCAACAUGAAAUUUUUGCUAUCGCAUCCCUUUGACGUUGGCCAAUCUUUCAUUUUGCUCCCCAAUCCAUCCCCUCGAUGUCCUGGAGGAAAGACCGAAAAGAUCUUUUAACUUGAAAUGCAGAAAACAGGACAAUUACAAAAUUAUAAUUUGCAUAAUAUUUAUCUUCUAUUUACUUUGUGUUAAGAGCCUCAUCACAGAGGAAAUUUAAAAGCUUAAGGCAUCAUAUCCAUCCUCACCUCCACUAAAACACUCUGCGGGCAGAUCCUGCAGCCUUGCAACCCUGGACGCAGAGAUCAGGUUCUCCAAAUCUUGGAACCAUGAGCAGUUGGUGCUUGCUUGCUCUAGAGGCCUUAGGAAUAAUGCCUUCACAUUUUUCCCUACUUUUCCCAUUUAUCAUCGCAAUCAAACUCUGAAAGUGGAAACAAAAUUUAGACAUGAUUUGACAAGGAAAGAUAGCAAUGUGAAAGUUUUAGUGGGAGCAGAGUAGUAAUCACUUGAGGUGUACCAAGAUGCAAAAUAAUAAGAAAAUUUAGGAACCAGUUUUCCUAAAAUAUUGAGGAAACAACUCUAGUAGAGAAAUGCAAAUUUUACUUGUGAUGGAAAAAAAAUUUACAUAUAUAUCAAAGUCCUUCACAAAAAUUGCUUGUUUCUUCUCAUCGAUAUUGAAUGCAGAUGUCAACUCAAGCGCAUUCCUUUUUCAUACCUUGUCUCAGAAAGAUACCUUAAAUUCAAAGUUGAAGAUACUAUAAAUUAAUGAGUGAUCUAAGAAAACAAGCAUAUGUCUCAGUGGAACCUAAUUAUUAGCACAGCUUCUUCAAAUUAAAUUCCAGUUUGUUACGCGUUCAAGUUUGACAAUCUGGAUCUUUUCCUUAUCUUAAGAUGAAUGUGCAUUCUACCACACUCAAAUCAUAUCAGUAUGAGAAAGGGAAAAAAAACAUCAUCCAGGGUUACCUCCUCGCCCAUGCAGGAGAAUCAUAUUCUUGACAGUGACAAAUAGCCAUGGCACGAUUCGACAACUAGUAAUUUAUGUAAGCAAACACAUGUUGCCCUUGGAUGAUAUUGUCCUGAAAUUUAAGGACCAUGCUUUUGUUAGAGUAGCGUAGUUGAAUUAAACAAUUAAAAACUGACUGACUAAUUAAUUAAACAGAGUAUAAGUAUAGAUGACAGUAAACAAUUGAAGAGAAACUUUUACAGAAUUUGAAUCUUGCCUAUGGAAUAAACAUGGCGCUAUGCACGUACCUGACUUUGACUUGAGGCCUCAAAUGAUGAAUUGAUCAUCUAUCUUGAUGAGAGGAAUGUGAGCUAUCUUGCUCCACUCUUGUCCAGUCUUCUUCUGACACCUCUUCUUCAGGGAAGAACAGUUUUGGAUGCUCAGAAAAGAGAGCGAUGCCGGCAAACCCUCUUUUGGCAGGAAUUCGAGACUACGACACCCCUUAAUUUCGAGCUCUUGAAGACAAGUGAGGUGUUGAAAUCCCUUUCCCUUCAGAGAUUUCAGACUCGUUCCACAGAUUGCGAGAGUGUGAAGAGUGUUAGGGAGCAGCUGUUCCUUGAGCACCGUCUUCAACAGAUCCUUGCGGCUUGAGAUCCGAAAUGUUCGAAGGGAGACAAGUCGUUGCAAACCCCAGUACUCCACUGAAGGCCUCAGUUUCUCACAACCACUGAUUCGAAAUAAUUGUAGGUUGGGAGGCAAACCCCCUUCUGCAAAUGACUCAACAUUUGGAAGACCGGAUAUCUGCAACUCUUGAAGGGCGGUGAGGGUGUGUAUUCGGUCGGGCAAUAACUUUAAAUUCUUGCAUCUCAAGACUGCAAAAUGAGACAGUUUGGGAGUGGGCAAUCCCCCGUGGGGAAAAGAGACCAGAUUUGGACAGAAAUAGAUAAGGAGAUAGUCGAGAUGAGUGAGAUUUUCGUCAUCAGCUCCUUCUCCAAUGGCAAGGGAUUCUAGAUUUUUACUGCCCCAGAUCAGAAGAAAUGAAAGUUUGGGGAAAACGCCCAGCGGGAAGGACCUCAGUGAAUCACAGCUGUCCCUCAAUUUCAAAUGUCGAAGGGAUGUCAAUUUGGCCAUCAUCUCAUGAGAUAGGAAUUCUAAUCUCCUGCAAUUUUCUAUUCGAAGAUGUGUCAAAGAAGUGGGUAGACCGUUUCUCGGGAACGACAAGAGUGACGCGCAGUUAACGAGACUCAACUCUCGAAGACAACCGCUCAAGUGCGGCUGCAAGCAAUCUGUGCUACUAAAAAUUUGAACCUCAAGCGUCCAAAGCAAGCACAGCGACUCCGUCUCUAGUAACGACGAUAGACCUGGGCAUCUAACUAUGUUCAGGUGUUCAAGAGAUUGUCGCAAGGACUCCGUGUUGACGAUGAGAGACCAAGGUAUCCAUCUUGUUCUGGUAGCCCUUUCAUGUAGAACCCCGCAGUCUGACACCCAAAGCUGUCUCAAUGAAGGAAGAUGAUCGGGCAAGUUUCCCUUCAGCUUCGGACAAUUCACUAAAAUGAGCAGCUCAAGACGAGGAAAGUCUGGAGAUUGACCUCUACCUGGACUCGACAGCCAUUCCUCCCACUCCGGCAUCUCUUUGAACCCUAGCCUCUCGAGAGAUUGAAAUGGUUGACUUAGAGAAGCUCCAUUACCCCCGUAGAACUCAACACCAAUACUCACAAUAGUUUUCAUCCUUUCUAUAUAGAGCUCUCUUAGAGCGGGUAACCGCCCAACUGGUGGCAAUGAGAAGCAAGUACUACAAUCACUAAGACGCAUGACUUGUAUGUUGGAGAAGGAAGAGUCUCCCAACCAAUCCGGAAAGCUGGUUCCACCAUAAAAUCUGAUGGUCAGCUUCACGAGAUUCACAGAAGGCUGUAGGCUUUCAAGUACGUGUCUCUCUUUUAUGGAAUCAUCUGCUUCCUCAUGACCCCAUGCCAACUCUACUUCGUUGAGAUCUUUCUUAUCCUUCAAAUUGGCCCCCAAGGCAUCUAUAGGAUUGACGACAUUUUGUAGAUUCAAGAUAGAGAGUUUUCCUCGAAGGUUCGACAAUUGCCCCAGUUCACCAAUGCCACCCGACCUAGUAGAUUCCCCCAACACAAAAGCAGUCAAUGUUCUCAAACUUUUUAGCCUACCCAUUUGCACCGGCAUCUCUUUUAUACAAGUUCCACUAAUAUCAAGAUGACGCAAAUUAAUCAAUUUCCUCAUGUCUGCAGGCAAUUCAACAAGAGAGGAACAACCGACCAACAAUAGAGUUUGCAAAUUGUAGAGAGUACACAUCGUAUCUGGUAACUUUUUAACUGCAGUGUGAGAGAGAUCAAUGUAGUGCAAGUUUAAGUGUUUACCAAUGUAAUCAGGUAAUUGAGUGAUAUUUUCAUAUCUUGACAGCGACAACACCCGUAAACAUUUUAGUUUUGGUAAUAAAUCUUCUAGAACCUUUAUGCUUACAUAUAGGCUCUCCCUCUUCCAAGACGGUCUUAAAGACAUAGGAAAUAAGGUGCGCAAACACUUAAUUUCAUCCAAUGACCUAAGUUUUGCAGCAGUAUCAAAUCUUCCUCUCAUAUAUGACAAAUGCCGAACUCUUUUAGGAACUUCAUGCGACUCUCCCUCAUCCAACCUAAAACAAAAUUCUCCAGACACAUACAUAGCCAAGUCAUUAAUGAGAUCAUGCAUUGUGAAACUUGAUGGUUUCCAUGAUCUUUGAAGUAGUGAUCGUGACAAUAGUUCAUCAAAGUAUAUCUCACCGAGCUCUUCCAAUCCUUUACCACUCUCAUCUUGUGGAAUUAAACUCAGUGCCAUCCAAAGUUGAAUUAUAUUUUCCUUUUCAAAUUCAUAGUCCUUUGGGAAAAUUGAGAGAUAAGCAAAACAUUGUUUUAAAUAAGUAGGGAGAUAAUGAUAACUCAAUCUUAGAGAUGGAAGAACAUUUUUAUCAGUAUGCAAUGUCUCCCAAAGAUUGCUAUUCAAUAUGUGACUCCACUCCCUGUAACCUACAUUACAACCUAAGAGACCCCCAAGUGCUUUUGCAGCUAAGGGAAGACCAUUGCACUUGCGUGCAAUUUGCUUACCAAUUUCUUCCAAGUGUGGAUGCGCACUAGGAUUUUCAUUUCUAAAUGCAUGUUUUCUGAGUAACAACCAACAAUCUUUAUGCGACAAAUGUUUCAAAUAGUGAAUAGGACCGGUAUGCACAAUGGAUGCGACACUUUUGUUCCUUGUUGUCACUAUCACCUUACUUCCCCUCUCCCCAUAAGUAAAAGGAGUCCUUACAAGAUCCCAAUCACUAUAGUUGUCAUUCCAAAGGUCAUCCAACACAAAUAGGAACUUUUUCUCCCUCACUUGUUCCCUAAGUUCAACUUGAAGCAAGCUAUCUUGAAGACUGCAAGGUUUUGAGAUAAUUGAUUCAAUAAGAGUUUUAGUUACCCUCAUAGCGUCAAAAUCUUCGGAAACACAGGCCCAAGCUGUAACAUCAAAAUGCUCUUUUAUAUUUUUAUCAUUGUAAAGGAGCUGAGCAAGGGUUGUCUUACCAACCCCGCCCAUACCCACUAUUGGGAUUACUGAUAUGUGGCUGCUACUUGCAUCAUCAAAUAGCAACAUUCUUUUCAACUUCUUUUUAUCUCUCUUCCUACCACAAGCACUAAAUUCACGCUCAACCAGGGAUGUUGUGGUUCUUUGAGAAACCUUCUCCUUAACGCCUCCUCCUAUAAGACCAAGGAGAUCUUUUUGUUUCCCAAUGUGUUCCACCGUUUGAAACAACUCUUGUAUCUUACCAUUCAUGCCUUGAUAAAAAGGAUUAAGAGAAGUAGAGAAGAAGUUCCACACCUGGGACGUCAUUUUGGUUUGAUAUUCCUCAGCUUCCACCUUGCUUUGCAAAGCUUCAGCAUCGAUCUCAGCCAGCAGGUCCUCAGCAUCGAAGACGGCAUGUUUGAGCUCGUCAAGCCACUUUUUCACACGAGGUUUCUCAAUCUGCUUAUCCUCUGCAUCAUCAAGCACUGCGUCAAGGGCCAGAAAAGUCAGCUUCAGUUUCUCCAAGAGUGAAUGGUCAAGUUUUUUCCGUCGGAAGAAGUCCAUCAACAUCCCAGAAGAAAUCUUGUCGCACAGCGUCCGGAUGGAAGCAGAGAGAAAAGCCUCCCCAAUCAAAGCUCCUGCCAUUUCUCUUUCUCUUUCUCUGUUUUUUUUUUCUCUCUUCAAAGAAGUGUUGAGUUGAGGAAGAAGAAGAGUGUUAUCACCUAUAAUUUUAUUGUAUAAGCUUAAUUUCGUUUCGGAAAGAGACAACCUGAUAUAUAUAAUAUUUUAAGUCAAUAAUUGAGUGGAGCCCACACAUUAAUCAAAGAGUCUUAUUACCUAUAAUUUAAGUCACAAUUUCCCAGUAGUUGGUUUGGUUGGUGUGAGAGUGUGGGUAGGGGAUUUGGAUCCUCUCCCGAGCAGGGGUCCGAAUCCUCCUGACUCAAUAACACGGGUCGUUAAAUUUUGAUUUAACGGUUAUAAUUAUUAUAAUUUUAGAAGUGUUUUUUAUUUGUAACCGUUGGAUCAAAAUCUAACGGUCUGUGUUAUUGGAUCUGAAGGAUUCGGACCCUGCUCAGGGGAGGAUCCAAAUCCGUGGGUUGGGUGGCAAUUUUUUAGUAAUUAACCAUAACAUCACUGUUUGUUGAUAAUUUGAUAUUACAAGCCGCGUUGGGAUUCUGCUCUUGGGCGGAUACAGCACAAGAUUUUUAAAUUGAUCACCUAAUUAAUUAAGAUUAAAAUUGUAAUCUUUUGUUGAUUAUGUUAUCAUGUCAUCAUGCAUGUGAAAAGAAAUCACACUGACGUGGUUAAUCAAUAUAUUGGAGUUAUACUACAAGUUGUUAAACUCAAAAAUAGAAGGGAUCUCUUUUUUUUUUUUUCAUCCCUUGCCACCAGGUCUUAUAAUUGGCUUGUGAAAUAGGGAAGCUUCAACUCGGGUCCAAGCAGGCAACAAUACAAUGCCUUUCAUCAAAAUUUUGUCAUCCUAGUGCACCUAGCAAUCCCUUCUUCUAGUUGUCGACCCAUUUUUCGAUUGGUAACCAAUUUCUUCUUUUGCAGUCAGUCGAGAUUAAAAUGAAUAAAAGUGAAUUAAAUAAUAUCAUGUGUUGUACGAAGACAUACUCGGAACGAUAAUUACAAUAAAAAAUGUUAUUAGUACUAUGCUUCAACAUCAAACAACAAAGAUAUUGUUGAAAACAAACAGCAAGAUAAUGCUGUGAACACAGAAAAUUCCUGAAACGAAAGAGACAAGAACAACGUGGACAAACAAAUAUUUGUAUUUUGAUUAUUUAGGGUUACAAUCUCUCUCAAAUUUGAUCCUCUGAUUCGAUCUCCGUAAGGUGUGUAUUUGUGGAUGUUUCGUUGAUCCAAGGGCCGUUGAGGCUUGAUCUUGGAUGAACUGUUGGAAGUUUCUUCAAAGGGCCGUGGGCUUGAUCUUUGAAGGUGGAUUUGAGCGGAUCUUCAAGGAGCCGUUGGGGCUUGAUCUUGAGGAUGAAUGUUUCUUCAAGGGGCGUUAAGGCUUGAUCUUGAAUAACGGUGAUGAACGGAUCUUCAAGGGAUUUUGGGCUUGAUCUUGAAGAACAGUGAUGAAAGGAUCUUCAAGGGCUUUUGGGCUUAAUCUUGAAGAAACGGUUGGAUGUGUGGAUUUGUCGACGUUGUUGAUCCAAAGGGCCGUUGGGGCUUGAUCUUGGAUGAACGGAUGAUGAAUGAUGGACACUUUCUUCAAGGGUCGUCGGGGCUUGAUCUUGAAUUGGUGGAUGAUUGUUGAUCCAAAGGGCCGUUUGGGCUUGAUCUUGGAAGAACGAUGAACGAAGAACGAAGAGAGCUUUCUUGAUUCUUCGGGAACCUGGAUGCUUGAGAGCUUCGGAGUUUCAGAGCUUCAGAGCUUCAAGGUGUAAUAUGAAUGAAAUAGGCUUGUAUUUAUAGAAUUUUCCAAGAUCUAAUUUUGAAUAUAAUAUUCCAGAUGAAAUAAGUCGUUUCUGCCAGGUGUUGACACGUGUCCUAUUUGAUGACUUUUCCAACUCAUUUCCAUUUUCGUUGAGUCACACGCUACGUGUAAAAUUUAUGUAAUACAUGAGCGUUGACACUUUGAUUUAUUGGUCAACAUUUAUUUACCGAAAUUUCGAUGUCUACAAAUGCCCCCACUUCAAGGCACGUCGUAUACAUGUGCUUGUCACGUGUAGGAGAUGUGUUUUGAAGUCCCUUACUGUAGAUGUCGAUCCAAGGGCUGUCGAGGCUUGAUCUUGAAUUGGGCUGGAGAUUUCUUCAAGGGCCGUUGAGGCUUGUUUUUGAACUUUUGUUUGAAAUUUCUUCAAGGGCCGUCGAGGCUUGAUCUUGAAGGUUGAAAUUGGACCAUAAGGAGCUUUAUGUGGUAGAUGAUCUUUGGCUUUGGUAGUGGGUGAAUCGGCACAUAUUUUGUUGCGCUUGUUGACUUUCCACAGCUUUGAUCUUGAACUGGGUUGGAGGAUUUUCUGGAUUCCUCCAAUUGUUGAUUUUCCACAGCUUAUUCUUGAACUGGGUUUUGAUUCAAGGGUGGUAGACACUUAAUCUUGAAUCAGACUUGUGAUUUCCUCAAGGGCCGUCGAGGCUUGAUCUUGAAUUUGGCUGGAAACUUCUUCAAAGGCCAUUGAGGCUUGAUUCUUGAAGGUUAAUUCGAACACAUGACAAGCAGGCAUGAGGUGAAGGUGACGACUUGUUGCUUUGUUCAAUCUUUCUAAUUCACACCCGAGCAGUUUGGUCAACGGUAUGAUCUUCAAGAUUGAUGGGCUCUUCUUCCAGUUGGUGACUUGAUCUUUAAGGAUUUGAUUCAAGGGUGGUGAAUCGGCGCAUGCAGCCCACACCGCCUAGUAAGUCGACCCAAGAAUUUGAGGGUCAAAACGAGUUCUUCAUCUCAGACUCUUUCUGCCGAGUUGACUGUGAAUGAUGCAUUCUUCUCUGCUUGUUUCUUCAGGCAGAUAUGGCAGCUUCUCGAGUUCUUCAGCUCGGACUCCUUCUGCUGAGUUGACUGUGCAAACUGCAUUCUUCUCUGCUUGUUCCUUCUGCACCUCUUCUCCACAUGCUUCAAGGUAUCAUUUUCACUUGCCUUAUCUGUUCUCCAGGCAGAUGUGGCAGCUUCUUUGGAAGUACAACAGCAGUGGGAAACGAGUACUCAAGAGCAGUGCUAGGUAGGCAAUCAGGGAAGGGUUCCAAGCAGUCGGUUCCUUACCCGAGUUUAAGUGGAAGUUCCGGCAUAUUGUUUUCUUUAUCCUUGUCUUUGUAGGUAAGAACAAAGACAAAGGAAAUGACAGGGAGAACGCAUGAUAUGAGAUACUUUUGCUUUCUACCCUGGUGAUAUGAGAUACUUUUGCUUUGGUGUCAUUUGUUUGCUGAAGUACCCCAAGGGAUAAGGAACACCGAGUGACUCGAGAGGCUUCGUUGGGAAGGCAUUCUCGGAGAUGAAGAAAGGUUCCGUAUGUCUGCCUUGCUAUGGAGGGUGAAGGUGGACAGUUAUAGGGAGUUCCUUAAUACCUGUAGAUGUAUUGUUCUUUCACUUGUGUCAGUAGCCAAUGCGUGAUUGAUCAGUAUGGCUUCACGUGCCUUCUUCUUUAUCAUAAAUCUUCGACAAAUUGUCCGUAAUUUCCGCCAAGCUGAGUGUGCGUGUGACAGGUGUUGACACGGCUGAAAAAGACUGGCGCUUCUUUGAUAACUGGGAUCGGCGCUUCGACAAAUUACCCGUGAUUUCCACAAAGCUGAGUUUGCGUGUGAUGGGUGCUGACGUAUCUGGAAAAGACUGGCGUCUCUUCGGUAUCUGGGAUCGGCGCUUCGACAAAUCACCCGUGAUUUCCGCAAAGCUGAGUUUGCGUGUGAUGGGUGCUGACGCGUCUGGAAAAGCAAGAUGCCUCUCUGAUUUCUGAGCUUGCCUCUUCGAUUUUUGAAUUGGCCUCUUCGAAUUCUGAGCUUGCCUCUUCGAUCUCUGAAAUCCCGUUGAGUGCUAAUGUUUAUAGAGGCACGCAGUUCGUUUCAAAGCACACUUGAAUUUUCACUUGCAGAAACUCCCUUCUUGUACUUCUAAGAUCUUGAUCUGUCUGACCUCUUCUUUCUUCAACACCUUUGAAAAUGUCUGGACCCUCCGACCGUCGUUUCGAUUUGAACCUUGGUGAAGAGGCAAUCUCGCCCUCUCCCGAUAACAUAUGGCGCCCAUCAUUCAUAUCCCCUACUGGUCCUCUUACCGUUGGGGAUUCGGUGAUGAAGAAUGAUAUGACCGCUGCGGUGGUGGCCCGGAACCUUGUCACUCCCAAAGACAGCAGGCUGCUUUCCAAGCGGUCUGAUGAGUUGGCUGUUAAAGAGUCUCUGGCCCUUAGUGUGCAGUGUGCGGGGUCUGUGUCCAACAUGGCCCAACGCCUAUUUGCCCGAACCCGUCAAGUUGAAUCGUUGGCGGCUGAAGUGAUGAGUCUCAAACAGGAGAUUAGAGGGCUCAAGCAUAAGAAUAAACAGUUGCAUAGGCUCGCACACGACUAUGCCACAAACAUGAAGAGGAAAAUUGACCAGAUGCAGGAAUCUGAUGGUCAGAUUUUACUUGAUCAUCGGAGGUUUGUGGGUUUGUUCCAACAGCAUUUGCCUUCGUCUUCUGGGGCUGUACCGCGUAGUGAAGCUCCGAAUGACCAACCUCCGAUACCUCCUCCUUCUGUGGCCCCGCCGACUGCUGAGGCUCCGCCCGAGCAAACUUUGUGAAGGCUCUCUCUCGUCUGUUUUAUUUUUUUGAUUUAUGUAUGUGUACAUAUUUGUAAUUUAUUGGAGACAUUAAUAAAUGAGCUUUAUUUCACUUAGUGUCUACAUGCUCCUUUUUUUCUUUUUUUAUUUAUAUAUAUAUAUAUAUAUAUAUUUAUUUAUUUAUUUAUUAUAUAUAUAUAUAAUUUUUUUAUUAUUAUUAUUAUUAUUUUAUUUAUUAUUAGCUAAAGCUGUAUGUCCUUUUUUUUUCUCCCCAAAUAUGUUGCUUGCAGUGUCAGGCAAAUAUGGGCGUUAAAGCUUUUCCCAGCUUUAACAAAAGCUUUUUCUUUGCUGCUGUAUGUGUUAUAAUCAUUCACGGCAAACAUGGGCGUUAAAGCUUUUCCCGGCUUUAACAAAACACGGCAAACAUGGGCGUUAAGGCUUUUCCCAGCUUUAACAAAUGCAGUUGUGUAUAAGUAAGCCUUCCUGCAAGGCUUUUAGACAUGUAUCCGAUCCUCUCCAUCUGCUUGAAAGUUUUAACCUAUCAAGUGUAGUUUCAUUUGCACCGAAGCUUGCUGCUCCAUGCUUUGUCAGCUUCUUUGGACACCAUAACUGCACAGCCACCAUCCUUGCUGCACUGCCUUUGUCACCCUUGCUGGUUGCCGCACCGCCUUGCGUCCUUGUUGCACCGUCUGCUGCACACCAUCGCACUACCUGUCAUCCUUGCAUUUGUAGUCGCCAAGUACAGCGGGUCUUCAAGCAGCUGGAGGGCCGACGAUGAAAUGAUGCCGACGUACGAGGUGUAGCCAGUGGAGCUUGGUAAAGACAACUUUUGCUGUGGAAAGUUUCAACCUGGCGGAGAGUGGUGCGGCUUCCUCACUUUAUGUAGUUCUUUUUAUCUCAGUGACAAACUUCUUUUCUUCUAACUGCAGUGCUCUAAUUUCCUUUUCCAUCCCUCUAGCAGCAGGGGUCAUUUCUUGCUUGUUCUCCCAAAGAGCCUCUUUGGCAGUGGGUUUCUUACUGAAGCUGUUCCUGGCGCAAAGGCUGUAGGAAUCAGAGCACUCGGACUCGAGCAAUAUUCAUAUCAAGCCAUGUUAGUAACUCAUGGAUCUCUUCCGCGUUUCUCUUGUUGCUGGUUUGUGAUGCGGCAAGAACAUCAUUCGUGCACCUAGUGACCUCUUGCCUCAAGAAUGAUAUCUCAUCAUCCCGUCCUUGCAACUGUGAUUGAAGCUUUUCCACCUCAGCAAUGAGGCUUGCAGCUAGCUGAUGUAGCUCAUCAAACUUACUGACAGUGACGGAAAGCCUUUUCAUAACCUUCCCGCGGGAAGUUUCAAGGUUAUCCAAAUCUAGAUUCUUUUGUUCCACAACCUUUUCCAGUUCCUUAAUCCUGGAAGUGUGACCUUGCAUCUGCAUGCAUAUUUGUUUGUCCCAAUCUGCACAUAUAUAAAAUUUCUUAUAAUGUGCGCACAUUCACUGAUGGAUUUCUUUGUCGUAAUGCUAGGGAUCUUUAAUUACGAAGCUUUCAGAGGCGUGGUAUUUGGAGUGCGCAGGGCGUGAGCAUAUUUGUGCCUUCUGCUGCCUAGGGUUUGCGCAAGAGAUUGUAACAGGGUUUCGUUGUGUAGUGCCUUUUGCUGCCGCUUGGAAGGACUGUCCCGUAGCUACCCGCUUUGCCGUGCUGCUGCUGAUUUAUUUUUGUUUUUUUUUUUCCCGAGGUCAUGGUAUUUUUUAAGUGCUUUAAGGGCGGCACCCUUACCAUUCUUGCGCAGGGAGGUGACUCGCAAGACAGAGGAACGACGUUGAAGCUUUACGAGCCACUGACUGGUCCUAAAACGCUUGCUCUUCCCGCGAAAGAUAACUCCAUGCAUAUUAAGUCGUGGUCUUCCGAAGUAUCUUGGGAUGUGGUGGAUUCUGUCCAAGCGGAUACGAAGAAGAAAGCGCGCAUCUCGAAGAUUCUUAUCUUGAAUUCGUCGCACCAUGUCGGUGAUAAUCAUUCGGCCUCAUUUAAGCUUCUUGGUGAUCACAUCCGCAUUGGAGCUAAGGUUUGGAAGGGUACCCUGUCUACUGCUGGAGAGGCCGUUUUUGAUGAGUUUUAUUGGGAGUGGCUCGAAGAUGUCUUAAGCCGAUCUAAGGAUGUGCUUACUAAGGUGGACCUUUACCAAGCCGUGUAUGCGUCUUUGUUUAGUUACGAUCGCCAUCAUUCCGUUAUUCGUGCGUUCUUAGAGUGUUGGUGUUCGGCCACCAACACACUUCACACAGUGCAAGGGGAGAUGUCAAUUUCACUUUGGGAUCUUCACCGGAUAAGAGGUUUGCCGAUCCAAGGCAAGUUUUACAACGAGGUCGUUCCUAGCGCAGAGGACCUUUCUCUUUGCAAUAACCGAGGAUUGCCUGCAAGUUGCCGCUAUUUGUUUUGGGCGUAUCACAGGCUUUUCCAGGAUGCUCGGGGUAAAUCAGGCGUGAGGAUUUCCUCAUGGAUCCGAUUCUGGUACUGGGAGGCCAUGAGGUAUAAGAAGCCUUUGAAGAAAACUGGUCGUAACAAGACCACUAAGCCAAAGGGCGACUCAGACCCGUCCGGUGUUAUUGGCGCAACCAGGCGUCGCUCUUCCGACGAGUUGAGAGCAUUUGAGGAUCUUGGCAUAGCACCAGAGCAUGUGGAGGAGUCUUACCUGGCUGCUUUCUUAGCUUGUUGGCUUUGUAAAUUUGUUUUCCCCGCAGGCGACGUUAACUUAGUUCGCCCUGGAGUUUUCAAAGUUGCUAGCAAGAUGGCUGCAGGUGAGUCUUUUAGCCUCGCUAUUCCGGUCUUAGCCAGCAUUUACAAUGGCUUGAGCAGGGUUUCUGACUCGGCAAGCACUGAAGAUCGUGCUGCGGUGCUUCCUUACCACUAUGUGUAUGGUUGGUUGGGUGAAUAUUUUGGCACUCAUUUUUCUCUGUCGACUUUGGAUAAGUCAAGACCUUCCUCAUCAACCGGAGCCAAGCUAGGGCCUUUGAUGACGAAGUAUUCUGGGGUGCUCUCCGCGAAGAGCCUUGACGAUUUGCAAGCGCGAGCGCUAUUCAAAAGUUGUGAAGAUUUGAGGAUGGACCCCUUAGCGAGAGUUGGCUUGGUGCGGCGAGGCAUCGUAGACAACUCGCAUCUCCGCUUCUCGGACUUGUCUUAUCUUAUAAGCCUUCGUUCGGGGUUUGUUUCUUUGCGGCAAGAAGACCGAUGUAUCGUCCAGCCAUAUAGUCCCCACCGUUUCAGCAGGCAAUUUGGUUUUGUCCAAAACGUGCCAGGCAAGUUGAAGGAAAGGAACCCAUCGGUAUCCCUGCAAGCCGUGUACAUGCAUUGGGAGUCUUGUACCCGUUCAUGCACAAAUGCUGUUAUUACGAUGCCGGCCAAGGAUGAGUUCAGGAGUAAUCCAGUGACCCGUGUUUACGCACGUUGGUGGUCAAAGACACAUUAUAAGAACUCGGGGACGGCAAGUGGCGCCAAUUCUUCUUACUUAAGCGAUGAUACGUCGAGAGAGGGUUGUCUUGUGGUUUCUAUGCGACUGGUACCCCUUGAUUGCGCGAGUGCGGCUCCCUUGCAAGAUAGACCUGUAGCUUUAACUCCUCAACGUCCAUGCUUGUUUCCUCGACAUCCGGAUGCUUCUGAAGAGGCAGGGGAUGAAGGUGACUCGUACGAAGAUGGAUUCAUUUUGCAGCAGCGUCCACAAGUUUCAAACAAGCGACCACUUGAGGAUGCUCAGGCUGACAGUGAUGUCAAUUUUCGUCACAAGAAGAAAGAAGUGUUUAGAACUCCUCAAUUCGAUGACCGUGCGCCAUUUGAGAGAGAUGUAUAUCCUUUAUUUUCUCUCCUGAUUUCUUCUGCUUUUCUCGUUUUGGCUUUUAUUUCUAACAUCUUUCUUUGUCUUUUUUAGGUUGGGCCUUCCUGUCAUUUUGAUUUGGCAACUGCAGAUGUUUAUUCCUAUACGAGGAUGCUACUUGCAGACGACCUACCUACAGACGGGGAUAUCGGGGAUCCGCCUGGCGCGGAGCUUGUUCCAAAUCCGCCGAACUUCCCGAGUUUGCCACGUGUAGGUGGAGGUAUGCAAGAACCCGUCAUGCGUCCAACGCCUUUGCCAGCUAGCUCUGAGAUCUCUUUGAGAGGACCGAAUCUUAGCGGUACUGAGCGACUCAUCCAUCGCAUAAGUCUUGGUGCGGCAAUGGAGAUCAAGGGCCAUAUUGAGGCGAGGAUUUUUAAGUGUCCACUGGAAGACCUCCCGUUGCUUAAUGAGGAUUUGUCAAAGUUUGUUUCGGUGAUUGACAACCUUAACGUUGAUUCCUCCUCCUUGAAGAUCAAGAUUGCCGAACUUAUGGCCGCCUCGACUGAAUAUUCUUCCUUGCGUGCUAUUUCCUUGGAGAAGUUGAGUCCAGAUGUUAGAGCUCAUCAGCUAACAAUGAUAGACUCAUCACUGGCUCAAGUUCGGUCAUUUCAGCAAGCUGUUUCAGGAGAUUAUCAAGUCACGGAGGCUUCGUUAACUUCUGUCCAAGGGCGUCUAGAUGCAUUGGCGCGAGAGCGAAAACAGUUGGUAGUCGAGGCAUCACAACUUGAAAGUGUCCUCGCAGAGCAGGGAACUGCACUUUCUCAGUACCAAGAAGAGAUUUCUCGCCUAGAACGAGAGAAAGGCACAACUAUGGAGUUACCCAUCUUGUCUCCCACCGAGGUAGAGACUUUGAAGACCUUGGAAGGCUCGCUUGGAGAUUGCCUUCGUAGUUUUAGAGACAUAGUUUUCAAGUAAUAUUUCUUGUAAUAAGGCAUUGGACCCAACUCCUUCUUUCAAAGAAAUAAAGCAUUUAUGUUCUUGAAUUUGCUCUUCUUUCCUGAAAGUGUUUAUUUAUUAUUAUUAUUAUUUCUUUUAGAUGGUAUGACUGUACUUGAAGUUUUGACACUUCGAGUUGCCUACGUACCCUUUGUUUGAGGAGGGAUCAAGUCAUAACGUAGUUCAAAAUACAUUUUUUUUUUUUGAUGCCGUAUGCAGUUUAUGCUCUUGCGGGCCAGGAGCUUUAGUUCAUGCAGUUUAGGCUCGUGCGAAUAAAGAGCGGGAAUUUGUUGCCUUUCAGGGGUAGUAGCGCUUCAAGAAUCUGCCGUUGAUAGGGCCGAUCUUCAAGUCGUCCUCCGCCAUGAUUAAGUAGGCGCCAUUGGUGUAGACUUCUUGUACUACGUAUGGUCCAUCCCAUUUUGACGUGAACUUGCUCUUUGUCUUGUGAGUUGUGAUGAUAGGCCCACGCAAUGAAAGGACGAGAUCUUCCAUUUGAAAAGACCGAGGGAGAACUUUCUUGUUGAAGGCUUUAGAAAGUCGCGCUUGAUAACACUCCAGGUGUUGCUGGGCUUCGAGUCUUUUCUCAUCUAGUGCCUCCAAUUCUUGAAGACGUAGCUUUGCAUUCUCUUCAUCAGUCAAGCCUUCUUGUAUAGCCAUCCUUAGCGAGGGGAUUUGACUUUCGAGUGGUAGAAUAGCUUCUACGCCAUAUACAAGAGAAUAAGGUGUGGCUUGGGUAGGCAUUCUAUAUGUUGUCCUGUAUGCCCAUAGGGCUUCGCCUAUUCUUUCAUGCCAGUCUUUCUUUGUUCUACCGAUUACCUUCUUCAGGAGGUUGCACAAUGUCUUGUUGAAUGCUUCUGCAAGACCGUUGGCCGGAGCAUGAUACAUGGAGGAUUUGUGCUGCUUGAACUUGUAUUUCUCGCAGAGCUCGUCCAUGAGUCGGUUUGAGAACUGCUUUCCGUUGUCGGUGACAAUGUAGCGAGGCACCCCAUAUCGAUGGAUGAUAUGUCCCUUGAUGAAAUAGACGACAUUUUCCUUCUUGACUUCCUUCAGGGGUAUGGCCUCAGCCCACUUAGAGAAGUAAUCUGUUGCAGCCAGGAUGUAAGCCUCUCUUGUAGAUGACUUUGGUGCAAUUGGUCCUACGACAUCCAAUCCCCAUGCAUCGAACGACCAUGAAGUAGCUGUGGGGUGUAAUGGUUCAGGCGGUUGAUGUAUGAAGUUGGCGUGAAAUUGGCAGGCUUGGCACCUUUUGGCGUAUUCUAGGCAGUCCUUUACCAUGCUUGGCCAGUAAUAACCCAUUCUUUUGAGCUGGAAAUGAAGCUUUGGUCCGGACUGGUGCGCUCCACAUAUUCCUGAGUGUGCUUUUUCCAUGGCUUGAUUGGCUUCUUCCUCGCCUAGGCAAAUCAGAAGUACCCCUUCAAACGAUCGCCGGUAGAGUGUCCCUUUGUAAUAGAGGAAGCGAUGUGCUCGUCGACGUAUUUCAGAGCGGUGUUUCGGAUCAUCUGGAAGCAUUCCGUGCUCCAAGUAGUUGAUCAGAGGCUGUCUCCAUUCUUCAACGUUGACCGGAAGUAUUGAAAUAACGUUUGCAUCACUUAAUACCAUUUCGGUGAUAAGCGGGAUUACCUAACUUUGGCAGACUGGCACGUUUGUAGCUUCGUCUUCUCCUAAUGUCAUGCUCGAAGCUAGGUUGGCGAGAGCGUCUGCCAUUUGAUUCUCUUUUCUUGGCACGUGUUCUAGUGUUACGGCCUCAAACCUUUGUAGCAACUGCGUUGCCAGCCGAAAGUAUGGGACAAGGUCAUCUUUCCUCACCUCAUAUUCAGUCAGGAGUUGAUUGAUUAUGAGCUUGGAGUCGCCGUAUAUCUCGAGGGCUGCGAUUUCCAUGUUGAUUGCCAUUUGGAGCCCGAGGAUCAGUGCUUGGUACUCAGCGACAUUGUUGGAGCAUAAUUCGCUUAGCUGGAAUGAAUAAGGUAGUACUUGCCUUUGUGGCGACAUGAAUACUACUCCUGCCCCCGCUUCGUCUGCUCGUGCAGAUCCGUCGAAGAACAUCGUCCAUGUCGGGAAUAUGUCGAUGCAGAACACCUAUUCGUCGGGCAAGUAGUCCGAGAUUUUCCAAUCGGCUGGGAUUGGAUGGUCGGCAAGGAAGUCUGCUAGCGCUUGUCCUUUGACGGCUUUAGCUGGGACGUAGAUGAUCUCGUAUUGAUUGAGAAGUAAUGCCCAUUUAGCUAGUCGCCCUGUCAAAACUGGCUUAGACAUGACGUAUUUGACCGGGUCAGCUUUAGCAACCAAGUGGAUGGUGUAAGCAUGCAUGUAAUGUCUGAGCUUCUGGAUGGCAAACAUCAAGGCUAGGCACAUUUUUUCUAUUGGGGAGUAGUUCAAUUCAGCGCCGGUAAGCGUUCGACUGAGGUAGUAGAGCGCUUCUUCUUUCUGGGCCUCGUUUUCCUGUGCCAAGAGUGCUCCAACUGAACUUUCCUGAGCAGCAAUGUACAAUAUGAGCGGUUUCCCUGGUACAGGUGCCCCCCAGGACAGGUGGACUUGAUAAAUACUUCUUUAUGCUUUCAAAAGCAUUGUUGCAUGCUUUGUCCCAUACGAACGGAACAUCUUUCUUCAUGAGUCGACUGAACGGUUGACAACGCCCUGCAAGGUUGGAGAUGAAGCGUCUGAUGAAGGCUAGCCGACCUUGUAACUCGUGCAGGUUUCUUAGCUCGGGCAUGCUUUGAAUGGCCUUGAUCUUUGAUUGGUCCACUUCAAUGCCACGAUGCUUGACAAUAAAGCCAAGGAACUUUCCAGAUGUGACGCCAAAUGCACACUUUAAUGGGUUCAUCUUGAGGUUGUAUUUUCGCAACCUUUCGAACACUACUCGCAAAUCUUUCAAGUGAUUUGAUCUUUUCUUUGUCUUGACCACCACAUCGUCUACAUAGCAUUCUACAUUCUUGUGUAGCAUGUCAUUGAAGAUCUUCUGCAUUGCGCGUUGAUAUGUAGCUCCAGCAUUCUUCAGACCAAAGGGCAUCACCUUGUAGCAGUAAAUACCUUUUGGAGUGCGGAAGGCUGUUAGUUCCUCAUCUUCAAGAGCCAUGCGAAUUUGAUUGUAACCAGAAGAGCCGUCCAUGAACGAUAGUGCCUCAUGGCCAGUGGUUGCGUCCACCAUGAUCUCAAUGAUUGGCAAGGGGAAGUCAUCCUUUGGGCAAGCAUUAUUGAGGUCUCAAAAGUCCACGCAAACACGUAUUUGUCCAGAUUUCUUAAGGACUAUGACGAUGUUGGAGAUCCACUUGGGGUAUUGCACCUGUCGAAUGAAGCCUGCUUCGAUCAACUUGUCAAUCUCGGCCUCGAUUUGUGGGAUGAGCUCGGAUCGAUAGCGUCUUUGAGUUUGCUUUACUGGUCGCGUUCCAGGCUUGACUGCAAGAUGAUGCACAACAAUGAUAGGGUCGAGGCUGGGCAUUUCCUUGUAGGUCCAAGCAAAGACGUCAUUGAACUCUAAUAGCAGCUGGUAAUACUUCUCUAUCUCGCCUGCACUUAGUAAUGCACUCACGAAGAUAGGCUUCGGUUCCUCACUUGUGCCUAAGUUGAGUUCUUUGAGAUCGUCAACUGUGGCUUGCCCCCCAUCUUCGAGUUGUGACGGUGCUGCAAUGACAUCUUCUUCGAGGCUUUCAUCUUCUUCACCUUCUUGGAUUGUGAUGUGGAAGAUGUCUUGGGCUUCUUCUUCGGUGUUAACCUCUCGAGCUAGUUGGCAUGAAGAUUGUCCAGUGUGAAUGAUGGUGCGCCUUUUCACUUUCAGUGAUCCAACUGUGUUAACCUCCAAAAUUGCUUGGCGCUUCAUUCUUGAAGGAAUGGAACUUCGAACGUCAUCCUUUUCUGCCAGGCGAUCGAUCUUUUCUACUUCUGGUGUCGUCUUUCUCCUUUUGGAAGGCUCUUUGGCUUCUCCAAGUCUUUCCAUAAUUGACUGUCGUGGAGGAAAGCUAGUCGUAUUGCUUUGCUUUUUAGGUUUUGAUAACCUUUUGAAAACAGAGCCUCGAGAUACUGACGUGUUAAGCCUUUUGAAGACGGAAGUUUUGUUUUGACCGCCAAUGAGUUUAGGUGCCGAAACUCUGGGCUUUGAACAAUUCAUUCUAUCGAAUACUGAUGUCCGGGGGGCAGGUUGAGGCUCCUCUUUAUCUUGUAUAAUGCUUAUGCUGAUGUGUUGAGCACUAGCAUUUUUUGCCUUGCUGGAGAUCUUCACCGGUGCAUUUGGUGUGAAGCCAAGCCCAGCUUCGUUGUUGCUAACCCCGUAACCAUGCUUCUCUAACUUCUUUUAAGUUUUAGUGAGAUCACGUUCGUUGUCUUUGACGGUGUUCAAAUCAUUCUUUCCCAAAUUAGCAGAGGGGGUGAAGUUAUACCCAGCUUUCGACAUAAGUUUGUAGGCGUUUGGAUCAAAACCUUCUUCGGUCCUUUUGGUUGGGAGAAAGCUUGGUUCUACCCCCUUUGGCAGGCCUUUUAUGAAGCCCUGUGAUGGUUUUGCAACCUUAGUGUCGCCUAGCUGGGUCAGAGGCAAAACUGCAUUCGUUUUGAGCAACUUUACAUUAUCUAUGUGCCGCUGUGCAUCGGCUUUGCUCGCUGCAGUUUCGAACGGGGAUUGACCAUUCUUUCUUCUCGACGUCGGGAUGUACCGGAAGACGGGUACGCUUGGUCCAUUUGAGGUCGUCCUAUUUCCUCUGGUUGUUGCAGGUUUAGAAAGCUCAUCGUCGUUUUUGCUUGAAGAUGACAUAGCUUAUUCUUCUUGCUUCUUAGGCAUAGCUUGCCACUCCUGUUUUUUUGGCAUUGUUUUGCUCAUGGAUUUAAUCUCUUUUGGAAGAGUUUCGAGCACCGUGUCUUCAUUCAUGUAGAACUUGGCGUCUGCAAAAUGUGAUUCGGCUUCGGUGAAUGGCUUGGUGUCGCCAUAGAUCACCUUCACUCGUUCUUGGUAAAAUUUUAAACAUUGGUGAAGGGUGGACGGUACCACUCCAUUCGUAUGGAUCCAAGGCCUUCCUAAGAGCAGACCGUAGGAAGUUCUUGCAUCAAUCACGUGGAACAUCACGCUUGACUUGAGUUCACCAAUGGUCAUCUCCACUCGGAUCAUGCCCAUCGCUCUUUGUCCUCCUUGGUUAAAACCUUGGAUUAGUAGACGGCUUAGGGACAGUUCAUCCACCUUGAUGCCGAUUGCGGUCAUUGUUGACUUUGGCAUGAUAUUUAUGGCUGACCCACCGUCCACAAGCAUGCGGCUGACUUGAUGCUCCCUUACAUACCCAGAGACGAAGAGAGGUCGGUUGUGAGGCUUGGAUCCUAGCAACAAGUCUUCGUCGGCGAAGUGGAUUGUGUCCUCGGUGGCACAGCAUGUGGCACACUCGUGUGGCCGAGGCCCUAAGCCUUCGUUCUUGCUUUCUUCCACUUCGUGGUCGUUUGGACUCGCUAAAACCGUUGCCAAUGCCCUUCGUAUCUUCUUUGGCAAUUGUAGCGCUUCCUCGAUGCUAAAGUGUAUUGGCAGACCUUCUUCAGGUGUCGGAGUAUUUUCUCCCUCAGCGGCGACAAUUUUGCCCUUUGAGGGUUCUUCCAUUUCUACUUCGACCAUGUGACAUGCGGUGAUAGUGCAAUGUUGGAAGAAGUCCUCCGGGAAGUACUCGUGCAAUGAGAUGGGAAUGCGUGGCUUUUGCUCCGCAGGUUCCCCAGCAUAUAUUGGCUUAGCAGCUCUUAUGUUUCUCUUAGGCUUCCUAUUGCCGCGACGGCGGUGCUUUCUCCCUUGUUCCCCCUUCGGCUUUAUAGCUUGCGGUUUCGGUUUCCUCGUCCUCUUAUAGGUCACCAAUGUCCAUCCUUUGUCAUCGUCAGUAGGUGCGUCCUGGUUGCUUGCCCCCAGUGAUGGUGGUGCAGAAUGUGCAGUGUAGUUUGAGUAUUGCCGAGCAUGGUCAGGCAUUUCUUGAAGAAGCACGGGAUCAAAGGAUCCGAACACGACUGUAGUGGUGUGCGUCGCAGCUGUGUCUUCUAGGUCGAGCUCAAUUCGUCCUUGUUGUGCCAGCUUCAUGAUAAGUUCUUUUAGGAUGAAACACUUGCCCACAUGAUGACCCACGAUACGAUGGUACUUGCAGUACUUUGGAUCAUUGAUGCGAUUCAUUUCUUCAGGGCGUUUGCAUUCGGGUAACUCAAUCACCUUCUUCUCCAAUAGGUCAUCCAGCAUUGCGUCCAUGUCGGAGUCCGGAAAAGGGUAUACCUUCUGCUCCAAUUCCCUCAAGGUGUUUUUGUACCUAUCUUGGGUGUGGGAAGGCUCACCUUUUUUUAUCUCCCUUGCUUUAUUGAAAGAGAUUUUGACGGGCGCGGACGAGGUCUUGAUAGGGGUGGUAUUGGUGGUAAAAGCUUCCUUGGUGGGCUUUUUCGCAUGAUUGUCUGCUCUUGAAGUGAACACCUCCCUUUUGAAAUCGGUGAUUGGCUCCUUCUUUCCAUGGUGGGCGAUGCUCAACUCCAUGUCGUGGGCACGGGUGGCUAAUUCUUCAAAAGUUCGUGGUUUGAUACCUUGAAGGAUGUAUUGUAAACCCCAUUGCAUGCCCUGGAUGCACAUCUCGAUUGAAGAAAUCUCGGAAAGUCUGUCCUUACAGUCGAGGCUUAGAUUACGCCAUCGGUUGAUGUAGUCCAUGACUGGCUCGUCCUUCCACUGCUUUGUGCUUGUUAGCUCUAGCAUGCUCACAAUGCGGCGGGUGAUGUAGAAGCGAUUGAGGAAUUCCCGCUCCAAUUGCUCCCAACUGUUGAUGGACUCAGGCUCCAGAUCCGUGUACCACUCAAAGGCGUUUCCUUUCAGCGAGCGCACAAACUGCUUGGCGAGGUAGUCCCCUUCGGUUCCUGCGUUGUUGCAAGUUUCAACGAAGUGGGCAACGUGCUGUUUCGGGUUUCCCUUUCCAUCAAAUUGCAUGAACUUUGGUGGUUGAUAACAACUCGGCAUCCUUAAGGUGUCGAUCUUCUUUGAAUACGGCUUUGAGUACAACCCGGAGGUAUAUGAGCUCCCUUCGUACUGUGCCUUGAUGGUGUUGGUGAUCAUCUCUUGCAGCUGCUGGAUAGAAAGAGAUCCCAUGAGUGCCGCUGCUUGGUAUGGUUUCGGCUUUCCAUCGAUUUUCUUCACCGGGGGUUCUUCGUCUCCGCCUGCUCCUCCCUUUAGUGGAUCAUCCUCUGGGUCGGGUUUCUCGCUGUCCUGCGCCUCCAGUCGGUUGACUAAUGCCGCGAUUUGCAAGUCUUUUUCUUCCACAGUUCGAGUUAGUCUUGCGAUUGCUUCAUUCAUUUGAGCAAGCUGUUCCUCGACUGAAGUUGCUCCAGCGGUCAUGACUUGCAUGGCUGAACUGCCGCUUGAAUCGUCAUCGGAGAGCAUGGAUUCGGAGUAUUCCCUUGGUCUUUCCCCUCUUGGUGCCCUUAGUGAGGCUAAGGUGAUCACAAGCUCGCGCCUGGGGUACUCUCGUUCCCUUGGCAGAGUUGAUGCAGAGGUGAAAAAGGUGGCAGAAGUAGCUUUUGCUUUGCUUCGAGUCGUGAUACCCAACGUGACACCACUUGCGACGAGGGCGCCUUUGUUCUUUGCGCCGGUUAUGGGAACAGCUUGAGCCUUCCUUGACGUCAUUGAUUUUGGAAGUGUGCUUAUAUUCCUUGAACGGAGGAAGAGAUGAGAGGUAGAGAUGUCCCACCGAGCGUGCCAAUUUGUGAACACGGAAAAUUCCUGAAACGAAAGAGACAAGAACAACGUGGACAAACAAAUAUUUGUAUUUUGAUUAUUUAGGGUUACAAUCUCUCUCAAAUUUGAUCCUCUGAUUCGAUCUCCGUAAGGUGUGUAUUUGUGGAUGUUUCGUUGAUCUAAGGGCCGUUGAGGCUUGAUCUUGGAUGAACUGUUGGAAGUUUCUUCAAAGGGCCGUGGGCUUGAUCUUUGAAGGUGGAUUUGAGCGGAUCUUCAAGGAGCCGUUGGGGCUUGAUCUUGAGGAUGAAUGUUUCUUCAAGGGGCGUUAAGGCUUGAUCUUGAAUAACGGUGAUGAACGGAUCUUCAAGGGAUUUUGGGCUUGAUCUUGAAGAACAGUGAUGAAAGGAUCUUCAAGGGCUUUUGGGCUUAAUCUUGAAGAAACGGUUGGAUGUGUGGAUUUGUCGACGUUGUUGAUCCAAAGGGCCGUUGGGGCUUGAUCUUGGAUGAACGGAUGAUGAACGAUGGACACUUUCUUCAAGGGCCGUCGGGGUUUGAUCUUGAAUUGGUGGAUGAUUGUUGAUCCAAAGGGCCGUUUGGGCUUGAUCUUGGAAGAACGAUGAACGAAGAACGAAGAGAGCUUUCUUGAUUCUUCGGGAACCUGGAUGCUUGAGAGCUUCGGAGUUUCAGAGCUUCAGAGCUUCAAGGUGUAAUAUGAAUGAAAUAGGCUUGUAGUUAUAGAAUUUUCCAAGGUCUAAUUUUGAAUAUAAUAUUCCAGAUGAAAUAAGUCGUUUCUGCCAGGUGUUGACACGUGUCCUAUUUGAUGACUUUUCUAACUCAUUUCCAUUUUCGUUGAGUCACACGCUACGUGUAAAAUUUAUGUAAUACAUGAGCGUUGACACUUUGAUUUAUUGGUCAAUAUUUAUUUACCGAAAUUUCGAUGUCUACAAAUGCAUUUACAGAUCAUAUUUUUUAGAAUUUAUUGCUUCCUCGUGAGAUGAUGACUCCUAUUUCUAUUAAUUUUGAGCAAUAUAGAUAUUCUGAAUCUAUGAUGAAUGAAAAAAUGGAAUGCCAAAAAAUAGCAAUGUACCGAGACUUAUAGAACACCUAAGUUUUGAACAUGAAGAUUAAAAAGCUAUCUAUGACAAAAGUAUUUUUGGCAUUUUUGCUAAAAUGAUUCAUAAAAUUGGCAUAACUCAUCACUUUUGGUCACCGAGAUUUGAAAUUAAUAGAGAUGAUUCAUGAGUUUGACUACCAUCAAUUAUUUUGUUAAUUCUGUAAAAAAAUUAAUGUUACAUAAGGAUCAAAAUGACAAAAAAAAAACCCUUAAUUUAAUAAAAUAUGGCCCAAAAUGAUUUGACAAAAUUAAGAUCAUUUUUGUCAUUUUAUCUUUAUUUAACAGAGAAUUUUCACAUAAUAAUCAAAAUGGUUGAUGAUGGAUAAACUCAGCUCAGGAACCAAUUCUAUUAAUUUUAAAUCUCAAUACUAAAUUGAAAAGUUAUAACAAUCUCAGUUCCAACUUGUCCAUGAGUGAAUAGUAAGUUUUUUUUCUUCCGGAACAAGUCCAUGGACUCGUCAGAAGCAAGCUUGUCGCACAGCCCCUGGAUGGAAGAGGAGAGAAAAGCCUCUCCAAUCAAGACUCUUGCCAAUUCUCUCCCCCUCUCCCCUUUUUUUUUUGGUCCUUCAAAGAAGUGUUGAGGUGAGGAAGAACAAGAUACGACUUGAUACUCUUUUGGUCAAUAAUUGAGUGGACUCCACACGUUAAUCAUAGAGUCUAUUUUUUAUAUAUUAUUAUUAUUAUUAUUAUUAUUUUAACAUAUCAUAGUCUUAAUCGUAAUAAUUUUGGAGUAGGAUUUUUUUUUUUUUUUUUCCAUCUCCUUCUCUCUUCUCCAAUUUGAACGAUCACGGUUAAGCCACAUCAACAUCUUAUAUUAAUUUUUUUAUAAAAAAAAAAGAUAAAAUAGAAAAUAUGAAAGAAAAGAAUGGAAAAAGAUGAAAAGAUGAAGAGAGAGAAUCUUAGUCCAAUAUUUUACCUGACAAUUUCCUAAUAAUUGGUUGGUGUGAGAAUGACAGAGUGUGGGUUGGGCGAAUUUUAGUGGACCCCAACGUUAAUCAGGCAUGUAAGUAGCAAUUACAUUGACUUGGUUAAUUAAUAGGCUGCAGUUGGACUAUAAAAAUAGGAUAAAUUUUUCUCUAUGUCUGAAACACGAGCGUUAUACAGCAUAUCAUUAUAUAAGUGAAUGAAACUUUUAUUUUUUAAGUUGUUAAUCUUUUAAUAUAAGUAUCUCACCACUUGUAUAGUGAUAGGUGAUGUACCAUCUAGUGUUCCGGUCGUAUUGAAAAAUUCUCUCCAAAAUCUUCGACUCUCUAUUUUUAAUCCCCAUAAUAAAUUUUUCAUUAUGACCAGAACACGGGUGGUACAUUACAUGUUUUCUGUAAGUGGUGAAAAAUUUUAUUUUUUAAGUUAUUAACAUUUUAACACACAUAUCUCAUCAUUUGUAUAGUGACAUGUGAUGUACUACCCCGUGUUCCAAUCACACUGAAAAAUCUCUCCCUUAUCAGGUCUUAUCACAUGGUCUAUGGGGAGAUCAAAUCUUCUACGCCCAAAAUGGGUGUGGUAUCUCUAUGCCUCUAAUCAUUGUUUGGCACACAUUAGGUUUAUAAAAACAAAGUUAAAAAAAUUAAGUUUAAAAACAAAUGUCAGUCAAUAAUAAGAACCAGAGAGAGGCCACACUCAUCUUAGAGACAGAAAAUUUGAUCACGUUGUAGAGAUGUCAAUGGGUUGUAUGAUAUACACAUACUCUUAUUUACUUCUCGCAUACUCCUUAUUAAUUUUCAUUAUUUAAAAUUUUUCAAUUUAUUCGACCUGAUGGCCUGAAAGUGAGAAAUUAUGUGCGAAAUUUAAAAAAAAAAGUGUAAAUAGCACAUCUCGUUGUAAAAUAGGGAACUUCAACUCGAUUCCAAGCAGGCAACAAAACAUUGUCUUUCAUCAAAAUUUUGUCCUCAAAGUGCGCACCAUAGCAAUCCCUUAUUCUGGCUGUCCACCCAUCCUCUUCAAUUGGUUACUAAUUUCUUCUUUUGCAGUCCGUCCAGAUUAAAAUAAAUAAAAAGGAAUUAAAUUAGUAUCACGCAUUAUAUAAAGACAAACACGUGUUUACGUUUAGAAUGAUAAUUACAAUGAACAAAAUAAUAUGCGUUAAUCUCAAACAACAAACAUAUCAUUAAAACCAAACAACAAGAUCAUGCAUCUAUAAAUCAUAAUUUUUAGAGUUUACUACCUUCUUCGUGAGAUGACUCCAAUUUCUAUUAAUUUUGAGCCACAUAGAUAUUAUGAUGGAUGAAAAAAAAAUGAACGCCAAAAACCAGCAAUGUUCCGACACUUAUGAAACACCCAAUUUUAAAGAUGAAAAUUUAAAAGAUAUUUCUCACAAAAACAAUUCUUUUAAAGAAAACUUAAAAGGCCUCACUAUAAACAUAAAUGAUCUGGGAGGUAGAAACAUUCGGGAAGAGGGAGAGAAAGAGUUUAUAGAUGUGGUUUUGUGGCAUUUGCUACGUGGAGUGGGACGGAACAGGUUCGUCACAUGAUUAGUGCGACAAAAAAACGCGCCUAUCCUUGAAAUGAAUUUUUAGUCUAAUUUUUGUACCACACUCCAUCAUGAAAAAACAAACCCUAAUCUUGUGUCUUUUUUCUCUCCGCGUAGCCUCUCUCUCUCCUCGUUGUCUUCUCCGCGGAGAGGCUCCAUUCUCUGCUUCGUUCUCUGCCUCUGUCUUUCUCUUGUCGCAGCAUCUCAACAUCUCCCCUCUUUGAUUUAAGGGAAUUUUAACGAAAAACUCCCGGUACUGUUCAUUUUAACGAAAAACCACAUUUUUACGUUAAAAAGUCAAUCCUGAUACUAUUCACUUUACCCUUUAUUUUGUCCUUAUCGUUAAAACUCAAAGUUUUCAAACCCUUUUCAUUAGUUUUCCUUUGAUUUAAUUGUCAAUUUUUUCUAAGUUGGUUGUGAUUUUCCUCAUUCAAUUGACCAUGGUGUUCUAUGCGUAGAAGUUGAAAACCCUAGAAAGUUACGGAUUUCACUGAAAUUGAUUUUCGGUUCCACAAGCUUUGCACUGUUUGGGGUUAAGGGUGUAAUUUAGAGGUAUACAUCCGUUUCUGUGUUUAUGUUUAUGCAACUAUUGGCUGAGAAAAUGAAUCGUUUCUUAAUUGUUCCUUCUCACAAGCUUAAGGGAAUAUGGCUGCUGCGAUGAAUAUGAAAUAAUUACCCAGAAAUACAUUAUUACCCAGAAGAACCUAAUAAACUUCUUCCUUACCAACAAAUAUUAAUAUUAAGUGUCAAUGUAACAAAUAUAUCAUAAAUAAGCAUUAAUUUUUUCGUCCUAUUAUCAUUUCAGCAUGCACACCUUUGUCGUUCCGUCUACGCAUUAAACGGUACUUUAAUUCUUGUUAAAUUUGAAUUUUUAUUUUUUAAUCUUAUUUUAUUUUAUUUUAUUUUAAAUGCUCAUAAACUAACUGAAUAGUGGAGCAAAAGUGAAUAGAUUUCAUCUCAAAGGAAAUUGUAUUAAUGAUCUCUCAAUUUUAACUUUAAUGAAGCAAUGAUUCUUCAAUUAAAAAUUUCUUAUCAUUAGUCAUUUUACUCAACAAAACGUGAAACUAUAGACAUUUUCAACAACUCAGUCAUAACUUUCGUCAAAAUAAGACUAAAUCAAUGGGCAAAUAUGAAAAAUUAAAUGAGAAAAUUGUAGCAAUGAUCCCUAAAGUUUAAUCCAAUUGUAGCAAUGGUCCUUUCAACAUGACUCAUUUUGAUAGAGUUGACGAAAAUAACCAUAGUUGCAUGUUUUGAUGAGUUAAAAAAUUAAUGAUCAUAAAUUUUUAAUUGAGGAACCCUUGCUCAAACUAAGUUAAAGUUAUACUGCUACAAUGUCUCUUAGCAUAAAUGGGGUAUUUAGCCAUAAAGAAAAGUAUAUAAUUAAAAUUCAAGGGAAAAUUCGAUAAAUAGUUAAAAUGAAACUAAAAAUCAGAGUUGAAACUUGAAAGUAUAACCUCAAACAAAUUAUUUGGUUUGAACGAAAAACGAGUCUAAUUGCAGCAAAAUAAUGUAUCCCGCCACUAAUCACCGCGCCUUCUCUUGAAGCGCUUACUCUCUCUCUCUCUCUCUCUGUCUAUCUCUGAGUUGCCGUAGCAUCGACCACCCAAGAAAACCGUACGUCUCCAGGUGCCUCACUCUGCAUUCAAAUGUGAACCAUUUCUAGGGUUUCAUUUCAGCAGGGCGUCUUUGGAGUGUUGCAAUUUUCAAAGUAUAAACUUUUCCCUUAUCAUCCCACUUCCCCCAUUCUCAAAUUUGCCAUAUUUUCCUUAUCUUCAACGCCUUUGUCCUUUUCGCAGAAAGCCCGUCGCCGAUUGAUUCAAUCCGUAGCAGAUUUUGGAGCGAAGAAGCUCCAUUGAUCCCGAAUACACAAAUGUGUUGGAGCAAUGAAUAGGGCACCUCAUAUGAGGCAAGAGUAAGAGGAACAAAGAAAUAGCCUUUUUACUUUGCAUUAUAUUCCCGUUGCUUCCAUUGUUAUUUAUCCGGAAUUCGGGUAUGUGCAGUCGCCCCAAUCUGGCUCAAGAUUUCUGUGCCCAGACGCCUGUUAAAGCUAAUUUGUUGGAACAUGUCGAUGCACUUGAUAAUUUCUCGUGCCCGCAUUGUGUUCUGAGCUCAAAUUUUAUUUUCUCCUUACCAACACAAAAGCCUCUUGCCGAAGAGGCAAUGGUUUCCGGGUAUGUCGCGGUUAUACGUGUUUUGUUUCAUUUUUAUUUUUUUGUUUUUGUACUGUUAUUUCAUUUUAUCUUGAGGAUUACUUGUUAUUUGGUGACAACUUGACAUCAGUUUAUGUAUUUGGUCAUUGUGGUCUUUUGCUUGGGUAAGAUAUAGCUCUUGUGUUUGUGUUAUUUACAGGAUUCAUUGUUUGUUUCAGCUAAUUUUAAGUUUCAUCUACCUUAGCGGGGUAUGGGUCCCUGUGUAAAAGAAUCCCCCACUAUAGCGAAGCUAAUUUAUAUGUCUAUAGUUGUAUUAAUGUGGUAUCUAAAUGGAGUAUUAUUACUCGUGAGUUAUAGUUCAAAUCAACAGUACUCAUGUACGUAAAACAUAAUUUAGAGCUAAGCCAUCAGAACCAAACUAAGAAACAUAAAAGUGAUUCCUCUAAUACAGAUGGAGGCCAUUAUUCUCUUAUUCACAUACAAUCCUAAAAAAUUUCCCUAAGAUGAAUUCCUUUUACGGAAACCAAGUUAGUACAUAUAUACAUAUGAUAUCAUCAUUUAGGAACCCCUUAAGAUUGGGGGCCCUGUGCAAGGGCACCUAUUGCACAUGCCCAAGGCCACCACUGCAAUCCAUUCCCAAAUAUUAAUAUCUAUCCCAAAUAUUAAUGUAGGCAAAAUUCAUGCCUCUGCAAUCCAUUCCCAAGAUGAGAAUUGUUUACAGAAAAAAAAAAUGAUCUGAAUUACAUCGGGGUUGUUGAAUCUCUUUCUAAAAUUUCUUAGUAACGAACUGUUUCAAGUCGCUUUACAUAUUGAAAAACUCUGCUUGAAGUAUUACAUCUUGGUUUCUAUCCAUGAACCCUUUUCUUUGGUUACAUUAAGUGCUAAACUCAAUAUCUGCAGUUCAUGGUAGAACAUGAUAUUUGUUAUCUUUUUCCUCUCUCUCCUAGAAAUAGGGAACAAGCCAUCUAAGAAAUAGCUAUCACCAAUUUUAUUAAUGUAAUUUUUUUUACUGGAACUGAAAAUAGUCAUUGUCACAAAUGCUAACGGGUUUAUUGUGCUUCAAGAAGCUCCACACAUGCAUUUCUGAAGUUUUCUAUUAUAGAUAGUACUUGCAUUUGUAUAUGCUAAUCUUUGCAACUUCAAUUUUGCAUUUGUACAUGCUAAUCUUUGCAACUUCAAUACAAUUUGACAGUGCCAUUUUUUAAGUCUCAAAGGCUGCAUCGUUUUGGUUAUGUUUGUUGGCAAUCUCACCGCCGCAAUCGCUCCACGCUUUGUUGUUAAGUUUUUGUAUCAGUAUUAUAGACCUUGUGAUGUUCAGAUUGCAAGAGAAUUCGAGAAGUUUGGCAAUCCAAGAGCGUCCCCUGCACAAAUAGAAAUGGAUGCGAUCUUGGACCCGCCGAGGAGAUGAGCAGGUGAUGUUAUUGCUUUCGACAUCUCCUUCUUUUUGUAUCUUUUGUAAAAAGGUUAUUCUUUAGGCUGCUUCAGAGUAUCUCUCUCCCAGUUGCCUCAUUGUUCAUUGUUUGCUAUCCGAAGGAUAGGGUUUGUAACUUUGUAGUGCUAGGCUUAUAUUUUGUGUUCCUCUUUUGUUUUGUUGUACCUUAUUCAUUCGGUGUAAUUAGACUUGUUUAAAGAGAAAAGAAUUAGACAAUCGAUACAAUACAUGAAUUUUACCACAUAAGUUUGGAUUGUGUUCAGAUUGAAUCCUUCAUACCAACUUGAAAUCGACCAAAAAGUACAGGGGUUUCAAACAGAUGUAGGACAGAGUCCUACAUCCUGCCUCAGGUCUCCUCUCGUCUCCUUUCUUUCAUUCAGCGACUUGGGAGAUAAAAAAUAUAAUAUACAAAUUAUGUGGGAAGUUUACCAUUAAAUAUUACUGUGGCAUUAUGUGAUAAAGUUUACACCAAGUAAUCGAUGGUUAAGGACAAUAUCAGUGAAUGAAUGAGAUCAUAAGCAACACCUAGUAAUGAUAAAACCCACGCCUAGUAAUGAUAGGCCUAAAAAGUGUCAUGGUAUCACUAUCAAAACAUGUUAUUCUUACACGAAAAGUUGUGUUUGCAUCGGCAUAAUAAAUGAGUUAUUGGUUCUGUUAUCCCACCCCUAGGAAAUAAUAGGUAGUGUUACGUACUAUGCUAUGCAAGUCUUAAAUCUUUAAAGAAAGAAUCCAACCAUUAACUGCCACAUCAUGCAGUCAACAACAUAUGGUUCAAAAACAGCCAUAACUAGUAGUGUUACGUACUAUGUGAUGCAAGUCUUAAAUCAUUAAAGAAAGAAUCCAACCAUCAGUACUAUGUGAUGCAAGUCUUAAAUCAUUAAAGAAAGAAUUCAACCAUCAACUGUCACAUCAUGCGGCCAACAACAUAUGAUUCAAAAACAUUAACAACAUAUGAUUCAAAAACAUUCUCCCUAGCAUUUUCCUUAAAAUUUUAGUUUGUCAACCAAAAAGUAAUUAAAUUUUUAGUUUUACGUGCUAGUGGAAUACACGUAACAUAAGUAAAAGUGAAAAUAUUAAAAUGAGAAGGUUGUAAGCACUCCCAUUUGUAUUUAAUCAAAACUCAAUAACAAUUUCAUAUCCUAAAACAGGUCAAAUGAAACAAUUAUUCUUUGAAGAACCGCCAAGCAAACGAUGAAUGCAGAACCCCGUGUCCUAAUGCACCAAACAACGGGCUUCGUACUAUUAGUCAUAUCCUGUACUUUACGCGGCAUGCCAAACGAGGCCAUGGUGUGCUAAUUCAUGGAGAGCACCAUACAUCUGAGUAGGGCAUUGCGACAAAGUGACCCAAUUUCUCGCUUCAUAUUUUUACAUUGUGCAGUAUUCAUGACCACAAACGCAAGCCACGCCACCUAGUCAAGGAAACGUAAUGUACAGGUAUUCAAGCAAGCACGGCCAUGAGGCAGCACGCAACGAACCCACACACUCUUCACCGUAUCCGCACUGUGUCUACCUGAAGAUUAAAGUGAAAGCGAAAGAUGAGAAAAUCAUGCCGCCGUAUUCAAUCACACCAGUAUGUGAAAACCAUCAUCCUGCGGUGGGGUUACCUUUUCGAUGCAGGAGAAUCAUAUUCAAGCCGGAUAGGCAGAGCCACACAGCGGAAUUCAAGGACUACCACUUGUCGUAAUUUUGGUUGCCCCAGAUAGCCAUGUCUUUACAUUUCCACAGAAUGCACAGAAAUAAGUCACCCCCAUCACAAACUGUCCAGGCGUUGUCGAAGACAGAUUCCGCUUGGGAGUUUUCAAUUUUAUAAAACUAGAGCAAAAAGAAACAAGAAAAUAAAAAAUGAGACUUCGAGUGAAUUGGAAGUUCAAGAAUGUUUUAGCACUGAAAAAAAGGGUGCACAAAAUCAAUUAAAACAAGUUUUGAGCAACCUUUUUAAUCAAAUAUAUAAUAGAACAAAAGUAAGAAUUACCUCUAAAAGUUUCACUGAACUUCAAAAAUUGGAGAGCAUUUCCCACAUCCUCAGCAGCUAAUGGUGGCCUGAGGUAGGGGAAGCUCAAGAUCAACCUCUCUGCUCUCAAUGCGGCGUUCCUUGACCCUGCGACACCCUCCUGCAGCCUUGCCCUUGCUCUUGCCCUUGGUAUUAUUCUUAUUCACAGCAGCAGCACCAUCUCUGCUGCAUUACAAGUUUCCAUCAACUCGUCCUGCUUUGCCGCAUCCCAGUACUUCACAUCAUUGCUCUGAUCAAGGGCGUUCUCCUUCCCUCGUUUGCUAGGUGAAUCAACACACAUUGCCUGCCAAAACUUGAGACCAUAAGCCCUCCUAAACAGAAUUAAAACCAACCAACAACAAUAUCAAUAUGCAUUCUCAAAGAAAAAACUAUAAUCAAUAGCACCAUCUCUGCUGCCAAAAACAACCUCUUGAGUCUCAAUAGUCCUGGGCCAUUCCUUGACUUUAUGAUGCUUUCUGAACGCCUUGGCAUUGACAUCCUUAUUGCUCACAGCAGCAGCACCAUCUCUGCGGCCAUUACAAAUUUCCAUCAACUCUUCCUGCUUUGUUUUCAUAGUUUCCUGCUCACCAGAUUUGGAGAUGCAUCCAAGUUCAUAUCUUUGCUUCCACCAAGAGACUUCUCCAUCCCUCGUUUUCUUGGUGAACCAACACCGGUUACUUAUCAAAACUCGAGGGCAUAAACCCGCUUGAACGUCACUAAAACCUUGUUUGAAUCCAUACGUUUUUUUAGGCAAACCAUCCUUGCUUUCGACAUCCAUCUCCCCUUGUUUCUUUGGCUUGAACAUACUUGAAGGGAUUGCUCAUAUUUUAUUAGAUUCGAAUUGUAGUUGCAUGUCACCACACAUAGAGAAAACAUACCUUUUUGUCCUGAUACAACUCAAGGGAUAGCUCAUAACAUCCCCAAUGAUAGAGCAAAAUGCUGUAAUCUCUCAGUUCCUUUGGAUCGCUUCAUAGGCUGUGACAACGGGCACAAUCUCAGAUUAAAAUCGUUUUCUUUAAGGAGAGUAUGUAGACAUUCCAACAAAAAUUCAUGGAGGGUAUGUGCACAGUUAAUGCAGUGAAAGAAGACAGCUUUACCUUCAGAUCGAUGCGUUCUCCCACUUCAUUUCCACAUCAAGAUGUGAAAAUCCUGUUUCUUCUCAUAUCUGUUUCGAUAGGAUGCCAACACAAGUGCUUUUCUUUUUCAUACCCCAGCUCAACAUGUAUGAAUACUGCUAAAUUCAAAUAUGGUGAAAUUAUAAACGAUCGAAUUGAUCUUAGAAAACAAGCAAAUGGUUCUUAAAAUGAAACCUAAUUGGUGCAGCUUCUUAAAUAAUUCCAGCUAAUAAAAAGAUUGAAUUAGCAUCAACUUAUACAUGAGCUAUCCAUUAUAUUACGUCACAGUUAACAAGUGGACUUUUUCUUUAUAUUGAUGAAUGUAAUCAGCAUGUCUCUGACUACACCGUCGCUCUUUAUCUCAAUUAAAAAGGAAAAAAAGUUGUUUAUUUAUGAACUUUUCAGAAACAAAAGUGAAAUGGAACUCAAUUUUAUCAUCUGCAGUGUUCAACAUAAGAAAUAUCAUUCCUGUGAAAUGUGUAGUGCAGCAACCACCCACCUGCUCUAGUAACAUAAUGGACAGAAUUCCAACGAGGGCAAGCAUGAGGGCAGUGCUCCAUAGAAACCUGGCUCUCAUUUUGUUUUGUGGACAUCAUCACCCGUUCUCACUUCAACAGAGAUGUGUGUGUACAAAAACAUAUCUGCACCCACCCGAAGAUGGCAGCAACAUGAAGAGAAAAUGAAAAGGAAUGCUGCUUGUAUUGAAAAUAAAGCAAUAUAUGAGUAAAACAUCAUUCCUGGGGUUACCUAUCCAAUUGAAGGAGAAUCAUAUUCAUGCCACACUGCGGGACAACCAUUCAUGGACAGCUAAUUGAUGGACGUUUAAAUCAUUGGCCUUAGAUAAUCCAAUCAUUACAGUUCCACAGUUUGCUAUCUGCAUCAGCAAAGCCGACGAACACGUUAGUGACAUUUUUCUUUAAAGGAAAAAGAAAACAGAACAAGAAAGAGAUGCAGUAUGCUGGGCCGAAACAAUUCAAUAGAAAUUUCUGCAGAUACAUGUGACAAAUUUUUCUCCUCUGCCCUGUUCCUUUUAUUUUAGUAAUUGAACUCUGAAACUUUGAAAAGAAUUCAGCAGGAUUGUUCACUCACUCUUUAAAUCUUAGAUAGGGGAUGAAACAGGAUACUCCUUACAUCAUUUAAGUUAUGAGCCAGCACUAUUUAUGUGUGUGUGUGUGUACACACACACACACACACACACACACACACAUCAAUCAUUAAAGUUAUGAACCAGCACCAUGUAUGUGUGUGUGUGUGUAUAAUGUGUCUAUAUAUAUAUUGCAACAAAAAAUAUGGCGAAACAACUAUAAAUGGUUAACUACAAAAAUGAAAGAAAAAUCGCUAUGUAGAUUUUAUGUAGAAAAGUUGAGACAAUCAAUAUAACAAAUAAAGAUAAAGUACCUGACAUUAGAGAGUUGAGAGUGAAAUGAAAAGCAAAAGUUUUGGUGAUAGAGAGAGAGAGAGAGAGAGAGAGAGAGAUCAUAUCAUGAUCACUUUGUCAUCUAUCUUUAUGCAAGGAAUAUGAGCUAUCUUUCUCCAUUCUUUUCCCUUCUUGUUCUCAUACCUCUUCUUCAUAGAGGGGCAUCUGGUGAUGUUCAGGAAAGAAAUAGAUGCCGGAAAACCCUGUUUUGGCAGGAAGUCGAGACUAUCACACCUUCCAAUAUAUAGCUUUUGAAGAGAAGUGCGGUGUUGAAGUCCAUUUCUGUCGCAGCUGUUCCUUGAGCAACAUCUUCAACACAUCCUCGCUGCUGAUCUGAAAUCUUCGAAGGGAGACAAGUCGUUGCAAACCCCAGUUCUCCACUGAAGGCCUCAAUUUCUCACAAUCUCUAUUAUGAAAUGUUUGUAGGUUGGGAGGCAAACCCCUUUCACCAAAUGACACAAGAUUUGGAAGAUCCCAGGUGCUCAAUUUUUGAAGGGUGGUGUGGGUGUGCGUAUGCUUGGGCAAUAACUUCAUAUUAUCGAUCCCCAGACUCCGAUAUGAAAUUUUUGCUAUCGCAUCCCUUUGACGUUGGCCAAUCUUUCAUUUUGCUCCCCAAUCCAUCCCCUCGAUGUCCUGGAGGAAAGACUGAAAAGAUCUUUUAACUUGAAAUGCAGAAAACAGGACAAUUACAAAAUUAUAAUUUGCAUAAUAUGUAUCUUCUACUUACUUUGUGUUAAGAGCCUCAUCACAGAGGAAAUUUAAAAGCUUAAGGCAUCAUAUCCAUCCUCACCUCCACUAAAACACUCUGCGGGCAGAUCCUUCAACCUUAGCGACCCUGGACGCAGAGAUCAGGUUCUCCAAAUCUUGGAACCAUGAGCAGUUGGUGCUUGCUUGCUCUAGAGGCCUUAGGAAUAAUGCCUUCACAUUUGUCCCUACUUUUCCCAUUUAUCAUCGCAAUCAAACUCUGAAAGUGGAAACAAAAUUUAGACAUGAUUUGACAAGGAAAGAUAGCAAUGUGAAAGUUUUAGUGGGAGCAGAGUAGUAAUCACUUGAGGUGUACCAAGAUGCAAAAUAAUAAGAAAAUUUAGGAACCAGUUUUCCUGAAUUUCUUAUUCCUAAAAUAUUGAGUAAACAACUCUAGUAGAGAAAUUCAAAUUUUACUUGUGAUGGAAAAGAAUAUAUAUAUAUAUAUAUAUAUAUAUAUAUAUAUAUAUAUAUAUAUAUCAAAGUCCUUCACAAAAAUUGCUUGUUUCUUCUCAUCGAUAUUGAAUGCAGAUGUCAACUCAAGCACAUUCCUUUUUCAUACCUUGUCUCAGAAAGAUACCUCAAAUUCAAAGUUGAAGAUACUAUAAAUUAAUGAGUGAUCAAAGAAAACAAGCAUAUGUCUCAGUGGAACCUAAUUAGCACAGCUUCUUCAAAUUAAAUUCCAGUUUGUUACGCAUUCAAGUUUGACAAUCUGGAUCUUUUCCUCAUCUUAAGAUGAAUGUGCAUUCUACCACGCUCAAAUCAUAUCAGUAUGAGAAAGGGAAAAAAAACAUCAUCCAGGGUUACCUCCUCGCCCAUGCAGGAGAAUCAUAUUCUUUACAGAUAGCCAUGGCACGAUUCAACAACUGGUAAUUUAUGUAAGCAAACACACGUUGCCCUUGGAUGAUAUUGUCCUGAAAUUUAAAGGACCACGGUUUUGUUAGAGUAGCGUAGUUGAAUUAAACAAUUAAAAACUGACUGAUUCAUUGAUUAAUUAAACAGAGUAUACGUAUAGAUGACUGUAAACAAUUGAAGAGAAACUUCUACAGAAUCUGAAUCUUGGUUAUGGAACGAAAAUGGUGGUAUGUACGUACCUGACUAUGACUUGAGGCCUCAAAUGAUGACUUGAUCGUCUAUCUUGAUGCAAGGAAUGUGAGCUAUCUUGCUCCACUCUUGUCCCGUCUUCUUCUGACAACUCUUCUCCAGGGAAGAACACUUUUGGAUGCUCAGACAAGAGAGCGAUGCCGGCAAACCCUCUUUUGGCAGGAAUUCGAGACUACGACAAUCCCAAAUUUCGAGCUCUUGAAGAGAAGUGAGGUGUUGAAGUCCCUUUCCCUCCAAAGAUUUCAGACUUUCCAUUCCAGAGAUUACGAGAGAGUGAAGAGUGGUAGGUAGCAGCUGUUCCUUGAGCACCGUCUUCAACAGAUCCUUGCGGCUUGAGAUCCGAAAUGUUCGAAGGGAGACAAGUCGUUGCAAACCCCAGUACUCCACCGAAGGCCUCAGUUUCUCACAACCACUGAUUGCAAAUGAUUGUAGGUUGGGAGGCAAACCCCCUUCUGCAAAUGACUCGACAUUUGGAAGAUUGGAUAUACUUAAGUCUCGAAGGGCGGUGAGGGUGUGUAUUCGGUCGGGCAAUAACUUCAAAUUCUUGCAUCCACAGACUGUAAAUCGAGCCAGUUUGGGAGUGCGCAAUCCCCCGUGGGGAAAAGAGACCAGAUUUGGACAGAAAUAGAUAAGGAGAUAGUCGAGAUGAGUGAGAUUUUCGUCAUCAGCUCCUUCUCCAAUGGCAAGGGAUUCUAGAUUUUUACUGCCCCAGAUAUAAAGAAAUGAAAGUUUGGGGAAAACGCCCAGCGGGAAGGACCUCAGUGAAUCACAGCUGUCCCUCAAAUCCAAAUUUCGAAGGGAUGUCAAUUUGGCCAUCAUCUCAUGAGAUAGGAAUUCUAAUCUCCUGCAAUUUUCUAUUCCAAGAUAUGUCAACGAAGUGGGUAGACCGUUUCUCGGGAACGACAAGAGUGACGCGCAGUUAACGAGACUCAAACUUUGAAGACAACUGCUGAAGUGCGGCUGCAAGCAAUCCGUGCGACUAAAAAUUUGAAUCUCAAGCGUCCGAAGCGAGGACAGCGACUCCGUCUCUAGUAACGACGAUAGACCAGGGCAUCUAACUAUCUUCAGUUGUUUAAGAGAUUGUCGCAAGGACUCCGUGUUGAAGAUGAGAGACCAAGGUAUCCAUCUUGUUCUGGUAGCCCUUUCAUGUAGAACCCCGCAGUCUGACACCCAAAGCUGUCUCAAUGAAGGAAGAUGAUCGGGCAAGUUUCCCUUCAGCUUCGGACAAUUCUCUAAAAUGAGCACCUCAAGACGAGGAAAGUCUGGAGAUUGACCUCUACCUGGACUCGACAGCCAUUCCUCCCACUCCGGCAUCUCUUUGAACUCUAGCUUCUUGAGAGAUUGAAAUGGUUGACUUAGAGAAGCUCCAUUACCCCCGUAGAACUCAACACCAAUACUCACAACAGUUUUCAUCCUUUCUAUAUAGAGCUCUCUUAGAGCGGGUAACCGCCCAACUGGUGGCAAUGAGAAGCAAGUACUACAAUCACUAAGACGCAUGACUUGUACGUUGGAGAAGGAAGAGUCUCCCAACCAAUACGGAAAGCUGGUUCCACCAUAAAAUCUGAUGGUCAGCUUCACGAGAUUCACAGAAGGCUGUAGGCUUUCAAGUACGUGUCUCUCUUUUAUGGAAUCAUCUGCUUCCUCACGACCCCAUGCCAACUCUACUUCGUUGAGAUCUUUCUUAUCCUUCAAAUUGGCCCCCAAGGCAUCUAUAGGAUUGACGACAUUUUGUAGAUUCAAGAUAGAGAGUUUUCCUCGAAGGUUCGACAAUUGCCCCAGUUCACCAAUGCCACCCGACCUAGUAGAUUCCCCCAACACAAAAGCAGUCAAUGUUCUCAAACUUUUUAGUCUACCCAUUUGCACCGGCAUCUCUUUUAUACAAGUUCCACUAAUAUCAAGAUGACGCAAAUUAAUCAAUUUCCUCAUGUCUGCAGGCAAUUCAACAAGAGAGGAACAACCGACCAACAAUAGAGUUUGCAAAUUGUAGAGAGUACACAACGUAUCUGGUAACUUUUUUACUGCAGUGUAAGAAAGAUCAAUGUAGCGCAAGUUUAAGUGUUUACCAAUGUUAUCAGGUAAUUGCGUGAUAUUUUUAUAUCUUGACAGCGACAACACUCGUAAACAUUUUAGUGCUGGUAAUAAAUCAUCUAGAACCUUUAUGCUUACAUAUAGGCUCUCCCAUUGAUGGUAUGGUCUUAAAGACACGGGAAAUAAGGUGCGCAAACACUUAAUUUCAUCCAAUGGCUUAAAUCUUGCAGCAGUAUCAAAUCUUCCUCUCAUAUAUGACAAAUGCCGAACUCUUUUAGGAACUUCAUGCGACUCUCCCUCAUCCAACCAAAAACAAAAUUCUCCAGACACAAAUCUAGCCAAAUCAUUAAUGAGAUCAUGCAUUGUGAAACUUGAUGAUUUCCAAAUUAAUGAUCUUUGAAGUAGUGAUCGUGACAAUAGUUCAUCAAAGUAUCUAUCACCGAGCUCUUCCAAUCCUUUACUGUUCUCAUCUUGUGGAAUUAAACCCACUGCCAACCAAAGUAGAAUUAUAUUUUUCUUUUCAAAUUCAUAGUCCUUUGGGAAAAUUGAGAGAUAAGCAAAGCAUUGUUUUAAAUAAGUAGGGAGAUAAUGAUAACUCAAUCUUAAAGAUGGAAAAACACUUUUAUCAGUAUGCAAUAUCUCCCAAAGAUUGCUAUUCUAUAUGUGACUCCACUCUCUGUAACUUACAUUACAACCUAAGAGACCCCCAAGUGCUUUUGCAGCUAAAGGAAGACCGUUGCACUUGCGUGCAAUUUGCUUACCAAUUUCUUCCAAGUGUGGAUGUGCACUAGGAUUUUCAUUUCUAAAUGCAUGUUUUCUGAGCAACAACCAACAAUCAUUAUGCGACAAAUGUUUCAAAUAGUGAAUAGGACCGGUGUGCACAAUGGAUGCGACACUUUUGUUCCUUGUUGUCACUAUGACUUUACUUCCCCUCGCCCCAUAAGUAAAAGGAGCCCGUACAAGAUCCCAAUCACUAUAGUUGUCAUUCCAAAGGUCAUCCAACACAAAUAGGAACUUUUUCUCCCUCACGUGUUCCCUAAGUUCAACUUGAAGCAAGCUAUCUUGAAGACUGCAAGGUUUUGAGAUAAUUGAUUCAAUAAGGGUUUUAGUUACCCUCAUAGCAUCAAAAUCUUCGGAAACACAGGCCCAAGCUGUAACAUCAAAAUGCUCUUUUAUAUUUUUAUCAUUGUAAAGGAGCUGAGCAAGGGCUGUCUUACCGACCCCACCCAUUCCCACUAUGGGGAUUACUGAUAUGUGGCUGCUACUUGCAUCAUCCGAUAGCAACAUUCUUUUCAACUUCUUUUUAUCUCCAUCCCUACCACAAGCACUAAAGUCAUGCUCAACAAAAGAUGUUGUGGGAGUUUUUUGAGAAACCUUCUCCUUAACGCCUCCUAUAAGACCAAGGAGAUCUUUUUGUUUCGCAAGGUGUUCCAACCUUUGGAAUAACUCUUGUAUCCUACCAUUCAUGCCUUGACAAAAAGGAUUAAAAGAAGUAGAGAGGAAGUUCCACACCUGGGACGUCUUUUUGGUUUGAUAUUCAUCAGCUUCCACCUUGCUUCGCAAAACUUCAGUAUCGAUCUCAGCCAGCAGGUCCUCGGCAUCGAAGAUGGCAUUUUUGAGCUCGUCGAGCCACUUUCUCACACGAGGUUUCUGAAUCUGCUUCUCCUCUGCAUCAUCGAGCACUGCAUCGAGGGUAAGAAAAGUCACCUUCAGUUUCUCCAAGAGUGAAUGGUCAAGUUUUUUCCGCCGGAAGAAGUCCAUGAACUCCCCAGAAGUAAUCUUGUCGCCCAACGUCCGGAUGGAAGCAGAGAGAAAAGCCUCUCCAAUCAAAGCUCCUGCCAUGUCAGUCUCUCUCUCUCUGUUUUUUUUUUUUCCUUCAAAGAAGUGUUGAGGUGAGGAAGAAUAAGAGACUUAGGAAUAUAAGCUUGAUUUCGUUUCGGAGAGAGACGACUUGAUUUUUUUUAAGUCAAUAAUUCAGUGGACCCAACACUUUAAUCAUAGAGACGGCUUUGAUUAAUUUUGGUCAAUACUUCAAUAUCUUUUUGUUGUCAAAGUCAAUAAUUGAAUAUUGAACCCCACACGUCAAUCAUAGUCUUAUUCCCUAUAAUUUAACUGAAAAUUUCCUAGCACUACCAGUUGUUGUGUGUGAGAGUGUGGGUGGGAUGACAAUUUCCUAGUAAUUAACCGUAACAUGAUUGUUGUCUGUUAAUACUAGAAAUCGCGUUGGGAUUUUGCUCUUCAAGUGCUGUGUUGCAGAUGCGGUUGAACUCAAGCAAAACAACGGUCGCUUAGCCUAGCCAUAAGUUGAAAAAGUAAUUUGCAUGAAACGGACUCAUUCACCGCCUGACGUCUUGAUUUUAAUGUAACAUUACAAUGUCGUAUGAACAUCAAACAACUUACAUGUAAAAUUGUAUUUUUAGACCGUAACAACACAAUAACGGCGAUACUCGUUUCAUAUUAUGUCAUUCUCCAUAAUUUGCAUAUGUGAUCAACGAAUCCGGCCAUGAUUCGGCCUUUUGCAAUCAUGAUCCAGCCAUGAUUUGGCCUUUUGCAAUCAUGAUUCGGUCAUUUGCUUUAGCUUUGAAGAUGUUGGUGCAUUUUUAUAGUAAAUUUCCGAGCUGAUGACUUGCAAACAAAUGACCUAUGAAAUAUGACAAAGUAAGGAAGUGACUUUUUGUAACCGGAAAAAAAAAAUUGGACGGUAAAUUUAAUAAAAUGUGGCCCAAAAUGAUUUGACAAAAUUAAGGGUAUUUUUAUCAUUUUAUCCUUAUAUUACGGAGAUUUUUCACAGAAUAAUCAAAAUGAUUGAUGGUAGAUAAAUUCAUCUUAUGAAUCAAUUCUAUUGAUUUUAAAUCUCAACUAAAUUGAGAAGUUAUGAUAAUUUCAAUUUCAGCUGAGUGAAUGGUAAGUUUUUUUCGGCCGGAACAGGUCAUGAACUCGUCAGAACAAUCUUGUACUGGAUGGAAGAGGAGAGAAAAGCCUCUCCAAUCAAAAGCUCUUGCCAUUUUCUCCCCCUCUCUUAUUUUAUUUUUUUGUCCUUCAAAGUAAGUGUUGAGGUCAGGAGGUGAGGAGGAACAAGAGACGACUUGAUACACUUUUUUUCUCCCUCACACGUUAAUCAUAGUUUUUUAUUUUUUAUUUAUUUUUAACAUAUCAUAGUCUUAAUUCUUAUAAUUUAAGGAAAACUAAUGAAAAUGACUUAAAAACUUUGAAUUUUAACGAAAAGAAUAAAAAGGUGUUAUAAGUAAAUAGUACUAUAAUAAAAUUUUUAGAAUAAAAAUGUGAUUUUUCGUUAAAAUGAACAAUACCAGAAAAUUUUCGUUAAAAUUUUCAAUAAUUUAACUGACAAUGACAAUUUCCUAAUAUUUGGUGGUGUGAGAGUGACAGAGUGGUGUGGGUGAAUUUCAGUGGAUCCCACACGUUAAAGUAGCAAUUACAGUGACUUGGUUAAUUAAUAUAUUGCAGUUGGAUUAUAAACAUAAGAGAAAUUUUUCUUUGUGUUUGGAAUAUGAGUAAUAUACCGCAUGUUAUUAUAUAAGCAAAUAAAAAUUUUAUUUUUUUAAGUUGUUAAUUUUUUACUAUAAGUAUCUCUUUACUUGUAUAGUGACACGUGAUAUAUCACCCGUGUUCCAAUCGCACUGAAAAAUCUUUCACUUGCUAGGUCUUAUCACAGGUAUAUGGGGAGAUCAAAUCUUUUAGGGAACUUUAACGAAAAGCUCCCGGUACCGUUCAUUUUAACGAAAAACCACAUUUUUACACUAAAAAGUCAAUUAUGGUACUAUUCAUGUUACUUUUUAUGUUGUCAUUAUCGUUAAAACUCAAAAUUUUCAAGUUAUUUUUAUUAGUUUUCUUAAUUUUUUAUGCUCAAAAUAGGUGUGGUCUUUACCUCUAAUCAUUAUUUGAUGCACAUUAAAUUUAUAAAAACAAAAUUAACAAAAAUUAAAUUUAUAAAUAAAUGUCGAUCAAUAAUUAAAGCUAGAGAAGCCACACUCAUCUUAAAGACAAAAAAUUGAUCACAUUCUAGGGAUCAAAUAAAUUGUAAAAUAGGGGAACUUCAACUCGAUUCCAAACAGGCAACAGAACUUUGUCUUUCAUCAAAGGACUUGGAUUGUCUGCCCUCCCAUUUCGGUGCCCUUUCCGUGCCCUCCUAUUUUGUGUGGUCACGGUUAAGCCACGUUAAUAUUUUAUAUUAUUUUUUUAUAAAAAUAAUAAAACAAAAAGAAAUAGUAAUAUAAAAUGUUGACGUGGCUUAACCGUGACCACAAAAACAGAAGGGCACGGGGAGGGCAGACAAUCCAAGUCCUUCAUCAAAAUGUUGUCCUCGAAGUGCGCACCCUAGCCAUCCCUUCUUCUGGUUGUCCACCCAACCUUUUCAAUUGAUUACUAAUUUCUUCUUUUGCAGCCGUCCAGAUUAAAAUGAAUAAAAAUGAAUUAAAUUAGUGUCACUCGUCAUAUGAAGAUAAAUACGUGUUCACUCAAAAGGAUAAUUACAACAAACAAAGUAAUAUGCGUCAAUCUCAAAUAACAAACAUAUCAUUAAAAAUAAACAGCAAGAUCAUGCAUCUAUGAAUCAUAAUUUUUAGAGUUUACUACCUUCUUAAUGAGAUGACUCCAAGUUCUAUUAAUUUUGAGCCACAUAGAUAUUAUGAUGGAUGAAAAAAUGAAGGCAAAAAAGCAGCAAUGUUCCGUGACUUAUGAAACACCCAACUUGAAACAUGAAAAUCUGAAAGAUAAUUCUCUAAAAACAAUUUCUUUUAAAAGAAAACUUAGAAGGCCUCACUAUAAACAUAACGAUCUGGGAGGGAAGAAACAUUCGGGAAGAGGGAGAGAGAGUUUAGAGAUGUGGUUUUGUGGUGUUUGGUACGUGGAGUGAGACAGAACAGAUUCGUCUCAUAUUUGAUGUGACAAAAAACGUGAAACGCACCUAUCCUUAGAAUGAUUUUUAGUCUAAUUUUUGUACCACACUCCCUCAUAAAAAAGACUUAUUCCACUCCAAAACGAACUUAUUUCACCCCAUGGAACAUAAAAAUACUCCUUCUGUUUUUUAAUAAUUCCACACCAAAUCAUAAAAACAAACCCACAAACCCUAAUCUUGUGUCUCGCUUCUCUUCUCGUAGCCUCUCUCCUCUCCUCGUUGUCUUCUCGGCGGAGAGGCUCCAUUCUCAACUUCGUUCUCUGCCUCUCUUCUCUCGUGGCAGCAUCUCAGCCUCUCCCCGCUUUGAUUUAAUUGUCAGUUUUUCUGGGUUGGUUGUGAUUUUCCUCAUUCAACUGACCACGGUUUUCUAAGUGUAGAAGUUGAAAACCCUAUAAAUUUAUGGGUUUUUACUGAAAUUGAAUUUUCGUUCCACAAGCUUUGUACUGUUUGGGGUUAAUGGUGUAAUUUAGAGGUAUACACCGUUUCUGUGUUUAUGUUUAUGCAACUAUUGGCUGCGAAAAUGAAUCAUUUCUUAAUUUUUCCUUCUCAUAAGCUAGAGAAUAUGGCUGCUGCGAUGAAUGUAAAAUAAUUACCCAGAAACACAUUAUGACCCAGAAAAUCUAAUAAACUUCUUCAUUACCAACAAAUAUUAAUAUUCAUUAAGCGUUAAGUAUAACAAAUAUAUCAUAAAUAAGCAAGGAUACGUUGGCUGUUUAAUCUUUUUGUUCAUUCCGUCUUGCGCGUACCAAACGUGAAACAAAACAACUGCCUCAAUUCAGCAUGCGCAUACCAAACAUGUGGGAAUCAUUGUUCCAUCCCAUUUUAUCUCGUCUACGCACUAAACGGUAUCUUAAUUCUUUUUAAAUUUGAAUUUUAAAUUUUUUAGUCUAAUUUUAUUUUUUGCGAUUUUAAAUGCCCAUAAACUAACCGAAUUGUGGAGGAAAAGUGGAGAGAUUUAAAUGUAAGAGGAAAUUAUAGUAAUAGUCUCUCAACUUUAACCAAUUGAAGUAAUAAUUCUUCAACUAAAAAUCCACAACUAUUGGUCAAUUUACUCAACAAAACGUGCAACUAUGGACAUUUUCGUCAACUCUGUUAUAACUUUCGUCAAAAUGAGGAUAAAUCAAAGGGCAAAUAUGAAAACCAAAUGAGAAAAUUAUAGCAAUGGUGCCUUGACCUUAAUCCAAUUAUAGCAAUGAUCAUUCCAACAUGACUCAUUUUGACAUAAUUUUGAUGGAGUUGACGAAAAUGAUCAUAGUUGCAUGUUUUGAUAAGCUAAGGGAUCAAUAAUCAUAAAUUUUUAAUUGAAAAACUAUUGCUCCAGAUGUUAAAGUUUAGACACUAUUGUUACAAUUUGUCUUAGCAGCAAUGUGGUAUUUUGCCAUAAAUAAAAAGGAAAACUAAUGAAAAUUGUAUGAAAACUUUUAAGUUUUAAUCAAAAGGAUAAAAAAGUGUUGUAAGUGAAUAAUAUCAUGAGUGACUUUUUAGAGUACAAAUAUUAUUUUCGUUAAAAGUAAACAGUGUCAGGAGUGUUUCGUUAAAAAUCUCUGAAUAAAAGUCUAUUACAUGAUUGGCUAAAAUUAAAGUUUAAUGGGGCAAUUGAUAGUAAAUUUCAAGUUUUAGGGGGAAUUCGACAAAUAGUUCAAUGAAACUAAAAAUCAUAGAGUUGAAGAAGAUAUAACCUCAAACAAAUUAUUUGGUUUUAAGGAAAAACAAGUAUAAUUGAAGCAAAAGAAAUGUAUCCCGCCACUAAUCAUCGCGCCUUCUCUUGAAGCGCUUACUCUCUCUCUCUGUCUAUCUCUGAGUUGCCGUAGCAUCGACCACCAGGUGCUCACUCCGCGUCUCCAGGUGCCACUAAUCACCGCGUCUCCAGGUGCCUCACUCCGCAUUCAAAUGUGAAGCAUUUCUAGGGUUUCAUUUCAGCAGGGCGUCUUCGGAGUGUUGCAAUUUUCAAGUUAUAAACUUUUCCCUUAUCAUCCCACUUCCAGCAUUCUCAAAUUUGCCAUAUUUUCCUUAUCUUCAACGCCUUUGUCCUUUUAGCAGAAAGCCCGUCGCCGAUUGAUUCAAUCCGUAGCAGAUUUUGGCGCGAAGAAGCUCCAUUGAUCCCGAAUACACAGAUGUGUUGGAGCAAUGAAUAGGGCACCUCAUAUGAGGCAAGAGUAAGAGGAACAAAGAAAUAGCCUUUUUACUUUGCAUUAUACUCCCGUUGCUUCCAUUGUUAUUUAUUCGGAAUUCGGGUAUGUGCAGUCGUCCCAAUCUGGGUCAAGAUUUCUGUGCCCAGACGCCUGUUAAAGCUAAUUUGUUGGAACAUGUCAAUGCACUUGAUAAUUUCUCGUGCCCGCAUAGUGUUCUGAGCUCAAAUUUUAUUUUCUCCUUACCAACACGAAAGCCUCUUGCCGAAGAGGCAAUGGUUUUCGGGUAUGUCGCGGUUAUAAGUGUUUUGUUUUCAUUUUUUGUUUGUUUGUUUUUUUUUUUUUGUACUGUUAUUUCAUUUUAUCUUGAGGAUUACUUAUUAUUUGGUGACAACUUGACAUCAGUUUUUGUAUUUGGUGAUUGUGGUCUUUUGCUUGGGUAAAAUAUAGCUCUUGUGUUUGUGUUAGUUACAUGAUUUAUUGUUUGUUUCAGCUAAUUUUAAGUUUCAUCUUACCUUAGCGAUCAGGGCCGGUUCUGAGAUUUUAGGGGUAUGGGUCCCUGCAUAAAAGAAUCCCGCUAUAGCGAAGCUAAUUUAUGUGUCUAUAGUUGUAUUAAUAUGGUAUCUAAAUAGCGUAUUAUUACUCAUGAGUUAUGGUUCAAAUCAACAGUAAUCAUGAAAGUAAAACACAAUUUAGAGCUAAACCAUCAGAACCAAACUAAGAAACAUAAAAGUGAUUCCUCUAAUACAGAUGGAGGCCAUAUGGUAAAGCAAUCUAUAUUUGGCGCCAAAAUCUUGCGGGACGCACAAAACGUCGCACAAACGGCCUUUGCGUGACGGCAAGUUGCGCGACGUCGGUCUUGGUCGCGCAAAACAAGUUUGCGCGACGUAGGUUCAGUUAAGUCGCGCAAAACACUUUUGAGUGACGUCGGUCUUCGUCGCGCAAACUUCCGUCGCGCAAAGUCCGUUUGCGCGACGCUUUGUGUUUGACGUCACGCAAACAUACUUUGCGCGACGAAUUUGGCUGCGUCGCGCAAGUUUUCGUCGCGCAAAGUGUUUUUUCUACUAGUGCAUUAUUCUCUUAUUCACAUACAAAUCCUAAAAAAGUUCCCUAGGAUGAAUUCUUUUUACGGAAACCAAGUUGGUACAUAUAUACAUAUGAUAUCAUCAUUUAGGAACCCCUUCAGAUUGGGGGCCCUGUGCAAGGGCACGUAUUGCACAUGCCCAAAGCUGCCACUGUUUGUGAUAGAUAUAUAUAAAUAUAGGAAUCACUUCCCAAGAAUGGGGAUCCCCUCUUGACCGUUAGAUUUGGCUUUAAUGAAAUUAUGUGGUUGAGAUUCAGUGACCUGUGAUAAUCUCAACCACAGAAUUUCAUUAAAGCCAAAUCUAACGGUCAAGAAGGUAUCCCCAUUUUUUUUGAAAAAUGGGGAUCCCUCUUGGGAAGGGGCCUGUAUAUCAUUUUAAGAAUGGAUGCCUUUGUGAAUUCCAUUUUUUGUUUUCCUCGAAUCAAUCAUUUCUGACUGUUGGAUACUCCUUGUUCUUGAUGGUAGACAUGGAUUUUUAUACAACUAACGAUACUACUACCUCAAAGCAUUUAACCUGGUAUGUAUCUUGAGUCUAUUUGAAUAUAUUUUUUUCUUUCUAAUAAAGGUUCUCUUUAUGCUUUUAGCUCAAUGGCUUGUCCAAUUCAAAAUACUGAAAGAUACAGAAUUCUUGAGUCUAUUUGGAUGAGGGGUAGUCAAUCUCAUUUGUCUUUUUAAAUUGGUUAUUUGGUUUUUUCAAUACUUUUGACAAACUGGGGUUCUACCAGCCCUUUCCUGCCAAAGUUUUUCUGGUUUGGCUUUUGCUUCUGAAUGGGAAGAUUUUGGCAGGCUUGGCAUGCCCUUUCCAAUCUUCAGAUUUCUUGUAGGAACUACCCAAAACCUGAAAAACUCUUCUAGUUAAGGAUGUUAGUGCCGAGUAUCGUCCUGAUGUUGGAAGAACUGCUUUGCCAAGCUCAUGCAACAUUGACAAGAGUCGCGUGCAUAUGCAAACGCAUCAAUACAUUAAUGGAACUAAUACCAGGAACAGUGAAGCAGGAACUUGUUUGGGCAACCCGCUUCCAUCAAGUAAUUUUAAUGUUGCAGAUGCAGGAAAAAAUCUUGGACGGCAAAGUCAGGUCAGAGCAUCAAUGGUCAACAGCUCUGAUGCUCGGGUGUUGGAUGGAUCACUUAGCAACAAUAGUGUUCAUACCAGCCAAGGGAAAGACUCUGCAGAAGUUUUUGUUAAUGACCUGGACGACGAUGAUGAUGACAUACUUGAGGUAAUUCAUAUCUGUUUUAGUCUUUUAGACUCUGCAAAAGAUUUUGUAAUUAUGUGUUGAAUAAGGCUACUGCCGUAAAGAUCUAGAUGGAAGUUCACUAACUAGCAUGUGGUUGUUACAGUUCUACUAAGUGCUAUUUUGUAUGGUGACCUAAUUGCUUCUAGUCAAUCCAUGUUACUGGUUAUCUAUCAUUUGGACUACUUGUGUGUAAAAUUUGAACAUGGUGUUAUGUUUCUAUUUUACCGAAGGCUUAUGUUGUGGUGUCUUUGUUCAUGCAAAUGUUGAUUUACUGGUUAUCUAUCUUUUACUUUGGUUCAGAAUAUUGAUGUUGACCAGAUAGUGGAACAGUACCAAUCAAGUUGCACACCUCAACCAUCAAGUUUCAAGCUUCCACCCAUUACUCCCUUUAUAGAUAAAGAUAAUAGACAAGAGGCGACUAGUUUGCCACCAGAAUUGUGUUCAAAUUGCAGUCAUGGGUUUAAGGUAUGCUUAUCAUCCAUAUUCUGCUUUUUGUGGCUCCAUUUAAUCAUGUGGGCAGCUUAAUGUGCCUAAUUCCUGAAUCUGAUACAGAUAGGACUUUGCCCAGAAGCUGGAAGUCAUUUGCAGGAAAUGAAGGAUACCCUAAUUAUCAUAUCAAAUCAACUGCUUGAUGAUGUUAAUGACCUCAGCCCAGAACAAAUAAAUAAGCUUCGCCAAGAUAGGUUUGCAUACCACCCCCUUUCAUCUUGAUUUGAUUUCCUUUAGAGUCAAGGUAGAUCUUUUUAGAGGGGAUUGUGGAUAAAAAUAAAUAAGUGAAAGAAAAGAACUGGCGGACAGGGCCGACCCUGAGAAUUUGGGGGCCCCAGGCGAGUCUUCGAAGUGGGGCCCUAAAAUUCUCUGAUCUCCGGUUCUUUGUAUAUUGAUUUGUAUAAAAAAGAAUUCGCUAAAUACAUAAAAAGUUCUAUUUUCACAUCAAUAUCAUUAAAAAUUAAUAUCAAAAGAAGAUAAAUAUACAAACAUUAUUUAAACAUUACAUGAUUCACGUUUCACAAAUGUACUAAAUGUUUGCAGUCAACAGUCUAAGAUUGAGAGUGAAGAACAAUAAAACUUGAUCAUCAAGAGAGUAAAUAACAAUAAAACUUGAUCGAUGAGUAUAAUAAAUUCAACGCCAACUGUUUCUCUUGUGUUUUUUUUUCUUUUAAAAUCAACAUCACACUAACGAAUUGAAUAUUAAAAUAAUCCAUUGAAUAAAAAGUUAUUUAAAAGAAAAAUAUAAAUUCAAAGUUUUGAUUACCUUAAAGUACAAUAUUUAAGACCGUAUGAUAGUUGGUUUAAACAUUCAAUAGAAAUAGAGAGAAUGGGAAGUUGGUUUAAACAUUCGAUAUAAAUGGAAAGAAUGAGAAGUUGAAAGAAAAAAGAUUGUAAAGAGACUUGAGUUUUAUAACUUUAUAUGCAUUUGGACAGAUGGAUUGGAAGUAAAUUUGAAAAACAAGAAAAAUUUAGUGACUAAAAGACAGCUUCGUGUUUCGAACUCAACACCGGCAUUAAAUUUGAAAAACAAGAAAAAUCUAGUGACUGAAAGACAGUUUCGUGUUUCGAACUCAACAUCCCAAAAGAAAAAUGAAGCCAACAUUUCCACUGCACUAACAAAUGAAUUAUGAUAUUUCUUACCUUUUUUUGUAUUUAUAUGUUAAUUACAUGAUAUAAAAUUUUUUUGGGGCCCUUCUGAAGUGGGGGCCCUAUGCGGGCGCCUACUUGGGCUACCCUCAGGGCCGGCCUUGCUGGCGGAAAAAGUUCUGAUUUACCACAAGUCAUGUAGCAUGCAACAAAAGCUUCAGAAUGUUAUUUUUGGAUUUUUGGUUUGUUUUACAUUUAUUAUUAUUUGUUAUAUUUUACAAAGAGAUAAAGAAAACAGUGAAUUCCCAUUGUUAGGUUACAAAGAGAUAAAGAAAACAGCAGCUUGAUAAAUAUCUUUGUAACAACUCAUUGGAUGAAGAAAGACGAAAGUCACAUUUUUCUGCAUCAAAAGCAACUCAUUGGAUGAAUUUAUCCAGUUUCUCAAAAAAAAAAAAAAAAAAAAAAAAAAAGCAACUCCCAGGCCUUUCCAAUGUGAAACACCUCAACAAGCUGCAUUCAGGACUGAUCCCAUGAGAUUUGAUUCACAGGUUCAUCCACAUAAUGAGUCUGGAGGAUAUGAAAGAUGUAAUUCAUCAUCAGUUUCAUUCUCUUCUGUUGAUAGGCUUGGUUUCUCAUCUUGUCCUGUUGAGAAGGAACCAUGCAUUUCAAAGUUUGUUGAAGUUAACUACAUUGAAGGUUCCAAGGACAAAAAAUGGAGUAGUGAUAAUUUUCCGUGGACCAAUAAGCUGGAGGUGCUGGUCUAGAUCAUUUUCAUAUUUCGUAUUUGUAUUAUCUUUCAUUGUUAUAUUGUAAUUGUUGUUCUACUGCUACCACUUUCAGGAUGGUAACAAGAAAGUGUUUGGAAAUCACUCUUUCCGUCUCAACCAAAGAGAGGUCAUUAAUGCUACGAUGAGUGGCUAUGAUGUUUUUGUUUUAAUGCCAACUGGAGGGGGUAAGAGCUUGACAUAUCAGGUAAAAGAAUUUUUUUUUUUGGAACCUCUUAUGAGAUAUGGUCAUAUCCGUUUAAGGCUUACCAUAUAAACUGUUCACUUAGGAGCAGAUAUAUUGUUUGGUCAUCUUAAGUCUCUAGUCUUUAUUUGUAUGGUCAUGCUUAGUUUACUGGUUCAGUUUCUUUACCGCAAGCUCUUCAACAUUUGUAUCAUCCAUCAAUAUGUAGGCCAAGUACCUUGCAUCUCCAUCAUUUGUUCGUUGUAGAGUAGUCUCAUUCUUUACAGUAAAGUAGCCAUUAGACUGUCUAUACUAUAGAGUUUACUUGGGUUUAUGUAUCUUGUAGCUCCCUGCGCUAAUUUGUCAAGGAAUAACAUUGGUUAUUUCUCCCCUUGUGUCACUCAUUCAAGAUCAAAUAAUGCAUUUAUUGCAGGUAAUGUUUCAGUCCAUCCUUUAGUUCAUUUAACUGCUUCACUUCCUGGUAUCUAUUACAAUGUAUGCUUAUGUCCUGUUCUGGUAUGUGCUAGGCAAACAUUCCCGCUGCUUACCUAAGUGCCAAUAUGGAGUGGACUGAACAACAGGAAAUACUUAGAGAACUAAAUUAUGAAUAUUGUAAAUACAAGCUGUUAUAUGUCACCCCAGAGAAAGUUGCUAAGUGAGUAUUUGUUACCUAAUAUGCUUGCGGACAUGUUCAUUUGUAUUCUCUCUGUUACUUCAAAAACAGCACUUUAUUGGUAGGUAUAGUGUCAAUAGAAAGGUACUGGAAACUAACAAGUGUGUUAUUUACAAUUACUAUAUGUGAUUUAGCUCUUUCAGUAGUCGAACAUGACAAAUAUAUCUUACAACUGAAAUAAGUAAUUUGUGUUGUAUGCUAUUUAGGGAGGGAACUGUUAUUAGCACUCCAAAAAUCUCAUUCUACACUCCUUGCAAGUGUAUUUUUCUUUCUAAUUAUGGAAAGUUUGGAGUGCCAAAUGAGAUUUUUGGAGUGCUAAUACCAAUUCCCUUUAGGGAAUAUUAUUAAGUGGCAUUUAUUUCUGGCUGUUUAUUGUUGGAAUCAUUGAGAACACUAAACACUUUUUAUUUAAUUAUCUUCUGUUACUUGAAUACCCAGCCUUAUAAUAAUUUCUGUUGCAAUUGCAAAUUGAACGAUUGUUAUAGUGUAAGUACUGUGUCCUAAUCACCGCGCUGACUCUCUCUCUCUCGCUCUCUCUCAACUGAAAUCUGAGUUGCCGUGGUACUUCUCCAGGCGCCUCACUCCGCAUUCAAAUGUGAAGCAUUUCUAGUGUUUCAUUUCAGCAGGGCUUCUUUAUAUUAUUGCAAUUUUCAAGGUGUAAACUUCUCCCUUAUCAUCCCACUUCCAGCAAUCCCAAAUUUGCCAUAUUUUCCUUAAUCUUCAACCCCUUUUUCCUUCUCGCAGAAAGCCCGUCACCGAUUCAUUCAACCCGUAGCAGAUUUUGGCGCGAAGGAACUCCAUUGAUCCCGAAUACACAAAUGUGUUGGAGCAAUGAAUAGGACAUCGCAUAUGAGGCAAGAGUAAGAGGAACAAAGAAAUAUCCUUUUUACUUUGCAUUAUAUUCCCAUUGCUUCCUUUGUUACUUAUUCGGAAUUCGGGUAUGUGCAGUGCAGUCGUCCCAAUCUGGGUCAAGAUUUCUGUGCCCAGACGCCUGUUAAAGCUAAUUUGUUGGAACAUGUCAAUCCACUCGAUAAUUUCUCGUGCCCGCAUAAUGUUCUGAGCUCAAAUUUCAUUUUCUCCUUACCAACGCAAAACCCUCAUGCCAAAAAGGCAAUGGGUUCCUGGUAUGUCGCGGUUAUACGUGUUUUUUUUUUUUUCAUUUUUGUUUCCUUUUUUUCUACUGUUUUUUCAUUUUAUCUUGAGGAUUACUUGUUAUUUGGUGACAAGUGACAACUUGACACCAGUUUUUGUUUUGGUUGGGUAAAAAUAUAGUUGCAGGAUUUAUUGUUUGUUUCCGCUACUUUAAGUUUCAUCUACCUUGGUGAUCAGGGCCAGUUCUGAGAUUUUAAGGGUAUGGGUCCCUACAUAAAAGAAUCCCACUAUAGCAAAGCUAAUUUAUACAUCUAUAGUCGUAUUAAUAUGGUAUCUAAAUAAGGAAUUAUUACUCGUGAGUUAUAGUUCAAGUCAACAGUAAUCAUGAAAAUAUAACACGAUUUAGAGCAAAGCCAUCUGAACUAAACUAAGAAACAUAAAAUGAUUCGUCUUAUACAGAUGGAGGCCAUUAUUUUUCUUAUUCAUAUACAAAUCCUAAAAAAUUUCCCUUCGAUGAAUUCUUUUUACACAAACCAAGUUGGUACAUACAUACAUAUGAUGUCAUCAUUUAGGACGGCAAAGUACUCAGUUUUAACAUUUUUGCCUAGAAAUUUGUUUGAACAGUUUCAUAGGGUAGCAUACAUAUAUUUUCUUGUGAUUGCUGUGCUCAAUCAGCUCACCCAGCUGGCGGUUUUGGCCGUGGAGUUUCCAUAUUGCCAUUGGCAUUUGUGUUUCUUGUUACUUCUGUUAAGGAUGCCUACGAGGACUAUAGGCGGCAUUGAUCUGAUAGAAUUGAGAACAAUCGUCUGGCAUCAGUUUUGGUUGGUAACCAGUUCCAGUCGAAAAAGUGAGGCUAUACCUUGUGAUAUGGUACUGCUUUCGACGAGUGAUCCAACUAGGGUUGCUUAUGUGCUGACUAUCAAUUUAGAUGGGGAGUCAAACUUGAAGACGCGGUAUGCAAAACAAGAAACCCUCUCCAAGUUGCCUGAUAAGGAGAAGAUUACUGGGUUGAUUAAGUGUGAAAAUCCCAACAGGAACAUCUAUGGCUUUCACGCAUUCAUGGAAAUUGAUGGGAAGCGGUUGUCACUGGGACCCUCUAACAUUGUACUUCGAGGGUGUGAGCUUAAGAAUACUCAUUGGGCACUUGGAGUUGCUGUAUAUGCCGGUCGUGAGACCAAAGUUAUGCUCAAUAGCUCUGGAGCCCCAUCCAAGAGGAAUCGCCUUGAGACCUGUAUGAACUUUGAGAUCAUUUUGCUCUCUGUGUUUCUUGUUACUUUGUGUACAGUUGUCUCAUUAUGUGCUGCUGUUUGGUUGAGCCGCAACAAUGAUAAGUUGGAUGACAUACUUUUCUACAGGAAGAAGGACAACUUGGAUGAGAAAUUGGACGAUCAUAACUAUUAUGGAUGGGGUUUAGAGAUUCUUUUCACGUUCCUUAUGUCUGUCAUUGUGUUCCAGGUCAAGAUCCCCAUCUCGUUGUACGUUUGUAUGGAGCUUGUCCGGGUGGGUCAGGCUUACUUCAUGAUCAGGGAUGGUCAAAUGUAUGAUGAGGCCUCUAAUUCAAGAUUUCAGUGCCGAGCUUUGAAUAUCAAUGAAGAUUUAGGACAAAUUAAGUAUGCAUUCUCAUUUCUCAGACAAAACUGGUACGCUGACAGAAAAUAAAAUGGAAUUUCAAUGUGCAAGCAUUUGGGGAGUAGAUUAUAACGGUGGGAGAAGCAGUUUGGAGCAAGUGGGGUACUCUGUUGAAGGUAAUAAAUGUUUUUCUUUUGAUUAUGUUUUCUUCUGAUUAGUACUUCCAAUUGUUUUACUAGUUUGCAAUUUCUUAUUUUUCUUGUUUGGUAUCAGUUGAUGGGAAAAUUUUGAGGCCAAAGAUGAAGGAGAAGGCUGACCCAGAACUUCAGCAAUUACUCAGAAGUGGAAUGGACACAAAUGAAGGCAAACAUGUGUACGAGUUCUUCCUGGCAUUGGCAGCUUGUAAUACCAUUGUGCCUCUUGUUGUAGACACGCCUGAUCCAAAUGUGGGAUUAUUAGAUUACCAAGGGGAGUCCCCAGAUGAACAAGCAUUGGUUUAUGCUGCUGCCGCCUAUGGUUUUAUGCUUAUU
rnacentral:lncRNA from 1 species